UUUUUUUUUUUUUUGUAUUUUUAAUUUUUUAAUUUUUUUAAUAUUGAAGUGGGCCUAAAUUGACAUGUGGUGCCCAGUAAUUGUCCACGUGGGCGCCACGUCAUCAGUUAACAGAAGUUCUAACAGAAAACUUAACGGAUGUAUGAGACUCUCUCAAAAUUAAUACUUUAGGUAUGACUCUGGGAUGAAAAAAAAUUGAUGUACUAAAUGUUGAAAACCAUGAAACUUGAGGGUAGUAAACAGCCUUUUACCCUAUUAUAAAUAACCAAUUUCUCCACUGCGUUUAGAUUUUGAAUUUUUUUCAUUCAAGUUUUCAUCAUCGUGGUCAUGCGGACAUACAAGGCAAAUGUAUAAGGGCAAAAAAGUGAUUUUCGUUUUGGUAAAUUGGGCACAAAGCCACUAUUUUACAGCUGCUAAUUGGACUUUCAGGACUAAUUCAAACAAAAGUACGAAGUCAACUACACUACUACAAAUUUUUACAUACAUAAUGCAGUUUAUGGGUCAUGUUAAAAGUUUAAUGACGCAAGGGUUUAGCGUCAUCUUUGUGGUGUCAUUAAAUAUAUUUUUUAUGACGUUGAAAAAGUGUCAUGUAUUACUUUUAAAGACGCCUAACAAGUGUCAUUGAAUUAAGAACUUGUGUUAUCUACUACCAUUUAAGACGCGGAAUAAGUGUCAUAAACAGAGGAAUGAGUUUCAUGGUAUACUAAUUAUGACAUACGCACAGUGUCAUGUAUAGCUUUUAGAGACACUUAACAAGUGUCAUUGAAAUAAAAAAGCGUGUCAUCUAUUUCAGUUCGAGACGCGGAAUAUGUGUCAUAAACAGAGGAAUGAGCGUCAUGAUAUACUAAACAUGACAUCUGUAUAGCGUCAUGUCUAUAGCACUACAACGUCAUUGAAUAUUAGCAACGACACACAAAGCUUGUCAUAAACCAUUCAAUGCAUGUCCUGAAAUAUGUUUGAUGACAUAUGUAAUGUAUUUUUAAUUUGAAAACAAGACUUACAUAAUUCAUCCAAGAAGUAAGAUAUUUACCUCAAAUAAAAUAAUAUUGUUUCAUAAAUUUGUAAUUCACCCACCACCAAAGUAUUACAAAAGACAAUAUAAUGUGUAGAGCUUUCCUUCUAAAAUAAAACUAUACGUUCACUUAAUUUAAAAUUUCACAAACUAGCUAAUCUAGAGUUUCAUCUAUUGGGCUGUAUUCAUCAACAUACUCAGCCCACUUUAUUCUUAAUGCAUCAAUUUCCUGUUGAGUGUAUGUAGCUUUUAUCCUUCAAACUGCUCCUGCAAAAAAUAAAUAAAUUGAAUGAGAGGAUCCUUACCAUAAGACAACAGAAAAACAAAUAGGAAAACUCUUUGUUGAUCACCGUGGAUCUUCCCGUCUCCCUUGUCCUCGUUCUUCUUUAUUUGUGCACAACUAAAUAGCAACCGUAAAUUAGUGGUUCAAUUUGCAGUUUAAAUUAGAGGUUAAAUAAAAAUAGAAUAAACACAUAUUUAUCCAAGACUUGAAAGCAAAGCCUAAACCUGAUGCAAUUUUUAUGAGGUCUGGGUGGAGGGCAAGUCUGUAGCAUACUAGCUGAGAUCGAACUUGUGGUGCUACAACUUAUCAUCUCAAUAAUUGAACUAAAAAAAAAUAAACAUAAAAUUUAUAAGAUUAUAUACUGAAUGAGCAGGAUACGAAAUUAUUCCUAUGACCAAAAUGAAGAUGAGUGAUAGAAAAAAGCAACACGCAUGCAGAGAAAGGGAGGGAGAGUGUACCUUUGGAGUGAUGUUUGUCAUCAUCACUGAACAAAAUUUUGAUUCUGAAAGACCUGUCAUGAUUCAUAUAAAAAAAAUCCAAGAACAAUUUUCAAAAGCAUAUAAAAAUCCUUUAGACAAACCAACUCUCUUAAAUACCAAUCCAUAAGAUUGCCUCUGCUUGCUUUACGAAUCUUGCAAAUAUCAGUCUAUUAAAUAUGAAUGAUGAAGACAAACCUACUCUCUUAAGCAUAAACCAGAUGCGUCACCACCGCCUGUCCAGAACCCAAUUCUAGGAGCGGACACUCGAGAAUGAAGACAUCAGACCAUAAUUGAAACAACUACAAACUAAACUGACCAAACCACUUAAAACCACACAACUAAGAUAAGAGUUUGUAUCAUAAAAGCAUAAGUUUGAGUGAGUGAAAAUUUGAGUACUGACAAUGGUUCACUUUUUCUUAGCAGCAGACUUGGUGACCUUGGCAUCGAUGGGAUCCUUCUUCUCAACACUCUUGAUAACACCAAAAGCAACAAUCUGGCGCAUGCCACAAACAACAAAGCAACCUAAUGGAUGGUACUCAGAAAAUGUCACCACAACCAUGGGCUUGGUAGGAAGCAUCUUCACCAUAACUGCAUCUCCGUUCUUCAAGAACUUUGUCUCCAUCUCAAUCUCCUUGCCAGACCUCCUGUCAAUCUUGGUAAGGAUCUCACCGAACUUCCCAACCUUGCGCAGUUGAUAAACAACGUGCUUUUCAAGCGUAGUGGCGUUAAAAAGAAAUAAUCUAUAACUGCUUGAGAGAUUUAAGGGAUAAAUCUUCCACUUUUCCUUUUAAAAUCUUCCGCAUAUUUUAUUGAACAACACAUUUUUUUUAGUUGCAUCAUAAUAUUACUUUAAUAACAUUUUUAAUAAAAGAAUGUCAUUAAAAAUUUUACCAAGUGUCAUGAAAGCCCUAUUUUGUAGUAGUGCUAGCAAAAAAGAAGACGAGAAAAAACAAUCCGUUGUACACAUUAGGAAUAAAAAAAGGAGAGGUUUGGGUGGGUGGUUGGGUCUGUGAAUCUCUUUCUCACUAAUUUAUGGCUUGUUACAAGCGUUUAGAUGGUGGUUGGACCCAUUGAUAAAAUGUGGUUAGAAUAAGUCUGGAUGGCAAGGGCGGAGGCUUGAAACAUGCUCUCCAACCCAAAAACCCUCCUCCAGCAGGCUAAGAAGAAGAGGGCAGCCUGAGCAACUUAUGCUCAGCCCUUACGCUAGCGGGCAAGGCUUUUUUGUUUUUUUUUGUGUCUGGCGAUUGCAAUGAACGCAUGAACUCAGCAAGUGAGCUAACAACUUCCAACUUCGAUUGUCGUGGGGCCCACUGCAUAAUCUAACAGCCACCAUCAACAUCUCUAUGACGUGACAAUUUGUGAGUCGUUAAAUUUUCAAUGGCCUAAUGUUCUGGACUAUCGGAUUUCCAAUUCCAACAGUAAAAAAUUGAAAAACUUAUCAUUUUGACAUGUGUCACAUUCUAAUGCAUAUGAUUUUAGAUAUGUUUGGAAAUGAAUGGCCAUGAUUAAUCCAACAGUUAAAAAUUAUAAAAAAGGGGAUUUUUUAUUAUUUAUUAUUCUAUAAAUAUUGAAUCAUCUUCUGCAUUUCUCUCAACACAAUAUUUAUUUUUACUACAAUCUUCUAAAUUUGUUUUCAACUUUUCAAAUCCUUUUAUUACUAAAAAAAAUGAAUGAGAAGGUACUUUGGUCGGUCGAGGAAGAUGUUGCUUUGCUUUGUUUUUCACUUUCCAAAUCCUUCUAUCACAAAGAAUAAUAUUGUUUAAAUAUCGUAGUUGGUUAUCUUAGGCCUCAUUUGGCUGCUCGGACUGUACUGACUAUUUCAGUCGGAUAGGAUAAUCUGUCAUCGGACUGUACUGACUAAAUUAGUCAGGCGUCUGGUGCAGUAUCGUAUUAAUAACCGUAUUAUUUAUAAUGUGUUUGGUACUGUACUGGAUAAGAGAUCGGAUUAUAUUAUUUUUACUAAAAAAAUUUGAUGACUAAUGAAAAAAAAAAUCACAACAACCAAAUGCAUCAAAAUAAAAAAUAAAAUAAAAAUAAUAUUGUUUGUGAUUUUGAACUUUGAUAUUGUAUUUUCUAUUUGUCCUUUAUUUAAACCAAAUUAUAAAAAAUAAAAAUAAAAAAUCCUUUCUUCCCCAGAUCUUCUCCAUCGCAUAGCCCCCAGACACCCUCACUCCCUUCUCCAGUUUUCCUUACCAGUUCAAGAAAAUCUUCCCCCUCUAUACAGAAGAAGCGGAUUGUCGGUGUUGGCAUCAAUGGCUAGUGAGAACGGCAGUUACCCAUAUCAAACUGCAGAUUAUCAACAUUUCCCAAAUUUAACGUACUGGAGAUUCCCAGUGAGAACGACAUUUACUUGAAGUAAUGAUAUGAACUGGAGAUUCCCAGUGACUAUAUGAUACCUGAUUUCCUAAAUUUAAUCCAUAAUUUUAUUUUCAAUUUAUCGAGAGGUUGCAUUGGAUUGUCGAUAUCGUUGAACGGUGUUGCAGCGAUGUUGGGCAGUAGGUGAAUGCAGGCAAUUCUAGUGCUCCGACGACGUGGGUUUCGGUCAGAUCUAGUUCAAAUCCAGGGUCGAUGGCACGUGAACCCGUGCGGGUCCCGCAUAAGGAACUAAAGAGGAGAGAGAGAGGCAAAAAAGAAGAAAAGAGAAAGGGAAGAAGAAAGGAGGAGGAAGAAGAACCUGAGAUUGACGAUUGAGCGAUUUGGUGAAUGGGUUUGAGGAGAGAGAGAAGAAGAAAGGAGAAGGAGGAAGAAGAACGAUGGUAACAGAAGUGAGAAGAGAACGAUGCGCCACACCGAUGAAGCGAGGACACGAACCCAACUAAAUAAUACAGAGAUUUCUGGAAGGAUAAAUAAGCGGGCAGACACCGGAUAAAAGAUGUGGGCCCAGUUUAAGUAAUACGGGUACUAUUUAGUACGUAGUUGCACCAAACACCCGGAUCCAUAUUACUUAUCCUAUCCGAUUCCUUAUAUGGACUACCAAACGAGGCCUUAGUAUUGUAAUACCCUGAAAAUUUUAAAUAUAUGAAUAUGUGGAGAAAAUCGAAAAUAAAUCGAUUUAUGAUUAUGAAGAAUUAAAUCGAGCAUAUUACUGAGCUUUUAUAUGAUUUUUCAAGAAUUUAUAAUAAUUUGUGUAAGUUUAGUUUUAAAUUAAACUAGUUAUGAGAUUUAAAGUUUGGACCUUAAUUAUUUAAAAUACGUAGACCUUUCGAGGUCAAAAAUCAUAUUUUUGAAUAGAGCUCGACCUCAUGAAUGCGUAGGCGCAAACUGUUCGUGAAACAGAGUUAGAACGAAGAAUUUAUUAACGUUUAAAGUUAGGGGCAUUUUAGUAAAAUAGUUAAGUUCAAGAUAAUUCCAGAUUUUUGAGAAAAAUCUGGAAGGCCACGUGUGUGGCCGAGAUUUAAAGACAGAAAAUGGGCGGUGUAGAUGGAAAAUAAAGGAGAGAAAGGAGGGAGAGAGGAGCCAAUCAGAAAAAGAGGGAUGAAAGGUGACCAAUGAGAGAAGAGAGAAAUGGGGAGAAAGGAGAGAAGAGAGACACGGGGGAUCGGGACCCGGGUCUUGGUGACCCGACCCGAUCGGCAUCAUACACUUUUCCGGUGGAUUUUCACCCCUUUUUUCCGGUGAAAUGCAUCAAACCACCCCUUGGAAACCCCCUCCACGAUCUUCCCUCUUCCUAUUGCAUCCCAAAAAUCAUAAAAUUUGGUCUUGAAAUUUGGAGAAAGAACACUCGGUGCCGCGACUUUCCUUGCUUGAAAUCCAUCAAAAUCUGAAAUGUUUUGGUUCAAUUACAACCACCAUUAGACUCCCCUUAAGAGCUGGAAUAAAGCCCAUUCAUUGGUUGGGGUGUCGGAGUUGCUAUGGAGUCGAAUUGAGGACACCCAAAUCUUAGGGUUCCGACGGAUUUUGAUGAAAUUGGAGCCUUUUCCAGGCCAAAUUGGCCUUGGUUGCAGGUGUGAAAGUUUCUCUACUCAUUGAGAUCUUCAUUUCUGUAAUUUUUGAGAAUUUUUAAAAAUAAUUGAAUUUUUAAGCGAACCGGGACGGCCGACCGCCACCCGCGGUGGCGGGUGCAGUAGCGCACGGCCAGGGAGCCUACAAGUGUGUUUUAUGCGAAUUUCGUUAUUUUAAUUAUGUUUUUGAGAUUUAAUUGAUGUGGUUUGAAUAUUACUACGUUUUUGGUAUAUGUUGGAUUAAAAGAAUAUUUUCAGGUUUGGUUUAAAUUUUGAAGUUUUGAACUACGAAAGGCUUGAUCCCUGUUGAGGGUACGUAGGCAGUCUAACGAGACGUUAGAUGCAGCCAUAAAAUAAAUGUGUUUAAAUAUUCAAGAAUUAGUAUAUAGAUGGAAAUUGAUCCAAGAGAGAAAAUAAAUUAGCUAUGUUUUUAGGUUGGGCCUAACAUAAUUAUUUUCCCGAAAUAUACAAAUAUUUCGGGGCAGUGGCAUUACAAAUAUGCUAUACUUUUGCCUUGUAUUUGAAAUUAGAUAAUCGUUUUAUUUUAAAAAAACAAACUUACUAAGUUCACACUUAAACAUAUUUAAACAAACUUACAAAGGUCAACACACUUGCAGAUAACACAAUUAAAAUUAAACAUACCAACAAACAUGGAUCACACUUACAAGGCCAAACAAAGCAUAUAUAUAUAUAUAUAUGUAUGUAUGUAUGUAUGUAUAUGUAUAUUAUAUUGAUGAACAGUAUUGCCCUUGCUCUUGUCUUUGCCCAACUGGUAGUAGAGUUGCACAGAGACAAAGUAUUGUUCAUAGUAAAAAGUACGGGCAAGCCAACUGCCUUGUUCUUACACUUGCAUUCUCCAAACGGGUGAAACUGCUAUUAUGAUCGGUCUGAAGUAGACGCGCUUAUUCUUGGGUGAGGAAAUUGUCAGUCUCCUUAACAAGAACAACAGCUAACUGGAGCUGAAGUUGGGGAUCCGGAACCCCAUCAUGUAGCUUUUCAUAUUGUAAGACCAAAUUCACCACGCUGCCCUCAUCAUGAACGCCUAAUUUUGGAGUAACUUGUAAAGUGAUCUUAAAGCUCUUGUAUCGAUCUAGAGGGUUUCCUUCAAGCACUGUGAAAGUCACCGAAUGAUUUACAUCGUCUAUGGCUUCAGUUAACUCCUUGGAAAAAGUUGGUUUCCCAUCUGCUAACAUUUCAUCACAAAAUCAAUUACUUGCUUCAUCCACAAAAAAACAUGUAGACAUAUACAGUAAGAGAACAAUCUUUGAGCCACACUUACCUUCAAUAUAAUCCCACAAGAAGACACAACCCACUUUACCCCAUUCACCUUCAAGUAAUUUAUGACUCGGAACUUUGUCGGGGCUGAUGUUGCAUAUUUCGUAUGGUGUUCGUGCGAAGAAUUCAUGGAACCUGUUUGCUUCAGACUUGAUUUCAACACUCGUCUCCACCUUGCUAGAAUUUGACAUUUUCCACUAGUACCAGAGUUGAAGGAAAAACGACUUUGGCCCUUACACUUAUAUAGAAGAAAAGAGGGAAACAAAAACUUUACAAGAACCUAAUUUGCCCAUCAGACAUGGAUGUAUUUAUUCACUAAAAAAAAUGCGUUAGUUGUAUUAUUUUACUAGAACCGAACAAUUUGCCCAGUAGAGAUGGAUGGUGGAAUGUCUUGAUCAAUAUUAUUCCUCGUUUGCUCUCGUCGUUUCUAAGAAAACAAUGUUUUGUGGUUUUAUUAAAUAGCUGGAGACAAAAUGUUUCGAUCUUGUUCGUUUCUCUGUUUGUAUGCUUUUAUACAUGUUAUUUCUAAACAAUUUGUUUGUUUUAUGGUGGGCAUCUUUAAAAGUAAGAUACCCAUUUGUUUUUAGAGAAAUGUUAUUGUCACCUAAAAAUUUAAGUGUGUAUUUAUAAUUAUUUAUAUUUAAAAAGAAAAAUAUUCUUACAAUAAAUGUACAAUUAGAUUUUUGUAGUGUAAAUUUUCUGUCUUCAAUUUCGACUACUCGAAAUAUAUGAUCCGAUUGACCCCCAACCAUUGAGGUUUAAAUAUUUAUGGCUGGGGAAGACGAAUUCACCCAAACCUCGAACUCCUUUUCUUAGGAAAUAAAUUGAAAGUUAUAAUCUAAGGCCAAAUUCAAACCGAAACAACAACAUUCUAUUCUAUAAUUUCUCCUAGUCCUGAUCGGUUAGGGAUUCUAGUUAGUUCGUUUACAAACUACGUUGGCUAAUAUAUUUCAGUUACAGCUUCAUAUAUAAAUGCAUUCUUCGUCGAAUUAACAAAUAAUCAGUUUGUAUAAUUAAUUAAGAACAAGAGGACUCGAAACAGAAGCAGCAAAACAUGACCAUGACCAACAACGACAACGUUUUGGAGCCGCCCAUCAAUUUCUCGAUGGUGGAUGAGGGCGUAUUCCGAUCAGGCUUCCCGCAGCUGUCAAACUUCCCAUUCCUCCAAUCCCUUCAACUCCGUUCCAUUAUCUAUCUCUGCCCUGAGCCCUGUUAGGGCUUAAAAAGACUUUACUACUUUGGAGAUGUUUAUCUCACAAAGAAGAAUGUAAUGCAGCGGAAUUGAUAGGCAAGAGAAAGAAAGAACACUCAAAGUUUUUACACAAGAUUUUUUAUUCACUCACAAACUAGUACAAGAGGAAACACUUAAACACUCUUAGAAGCUUUGUUGCCUCUUACUUCUCACUACUUGCUCUCUUGGUUGUUUCAAAUGGUGUGGAUGCCUUCUCCUUUUAUAGGCAUGGAUGGAACCUUGGAGAAACAUGGAAACAUCAUGCUAGAUAUAUGACAAUUCCACUACCUUCCUAUGCUAGAAUUAUCUACACUAAUCUUGUAUGUUGGUGGAAUCCUCACCAUUCUUCUAGACUCUUCCACCAACUUGAACUUUGCUAGAAUUCUCUAGCAUGUGCAUGGAUCUUUCUUUGUGCAUGGGCUAGAUCCAUUAUCUUUGCGCCAAGACAAGAUUACAAUUCAACAUCCCCCCUUAAUCUUGUCUUGUGACGCCGAUUGUGUUCCUUAAUCUGACAAAGUCUUUUUGCCUGAGUGGUUUGGUGAAUAUGUCGGCGACUUGGUCUUGUGACUUCACGUAUUCCACUUGCACAUCCUUUCUUGCAAUACACUCUCUUAUGUAAUGAUAGCGGGUAUCUAUGUGUUUGCUCAUGUCAUGGAAUAUUGGAUUCUUUGCUAGAGCUAUUGCAGACUUGUUGUCGACAUAGAUCUCUAUUGGCUAUUCUUGUGGCAUGUUUAAUUCUUUUAGCAAGUUUCUCAGCCAGAUUGCAUGAUAGACACAUGAGGUAGCAGCUAUGUAUUCAGCUUCGCAGGUAGAGAGAGUGACAAUCGAUUGCUUCUUCGACAUCCAUGUGAAUGCAGUGUUUCCCAUAAAGAACACAAAUCCAGUAGUGCUUUUUCUAUCGUCGGAAUCUCCUGCCCAAUCACUGUCGCUAUAUCCAACAAGUUUGUAGUUAUCAGAACUUGAAUAGAACAAGCCAAAGUUAAUAGUACCUUUAAGGUAUUGAAGAAUUCUUUUGGCGGUCUUCAAGUGUGUAGUUGUGAGAUUCUCCAUGUAGCGACUGACUAAUCCGACGGCAUAGAGAAUGUCUGGUCUUGUGCAUGUCAAGUAGCGCAAGCUUCCAACUAAACUCUUGAAAAAUGUUGGAUUUACACUUUCUCAUUCGUCAUGCUUGGUUAGUUUGACUCCGCACCCCACUGUCGUGCUUAUGGGCUUGCAGUCUUUCAUUUUGAACUUUUUCAGUAUCUCAUAUGUGUAGCUUUCUUGGGAGAUGAAAAUGCUUUCUUCGUUCUGCUUGACUUCAAUGCCUAGGUAGUAUGCCAUCAGCCCGAUGUCGGUCAUCUCAAAUUCUUUGGUCAUCACUCUUUUGAACUCUUCAUACAUGCUUGGAUUACUUCCGGUGAAGAUUAUAUCAUCCACAUAUAAGCACACAAUCAGAAUAUCUUCAUCUUUGACUUUAACGUAGAGAGCAUGUUCAUGAUGGCACUUGAUGAAGUUGUUUUCUUGGAAGUACUUGUCGAUGCAACUAUUCCAUGCUUGUGGCGCUUGUUUUAACCCAUAAAGGGCUUUCUUCAGCUUCAGAACUUUGUCUUCAUGCCCUUUGAUUUCAUAGCCAAACGGUUGCUGAAUGUAGACUUCUUUUUCAAGGACUCCAUUUAAGAAAGCAGACUUCACAUCCAUUUGUUGAAUCUUCCAUUUGUUUUGAGCUGCCAAAGAAAUUAGUAAUCGUAUAGUUUCCAACCGAGCAACGGGUGCAAAUACCUCAUCAUAGUCGAUUCCGGCUCUUUGACUAUAGCCCUUUGCCAUUAAUCUCGCCUUGUAUCUUUCGACCUCUCCGUUGGCAUUCUUCUUUGUCUUAUACACCCAUUUGACUCCGAUGGCUUUGUGUCAUUUCGGAGAAUAGUGAGUUCCCAUGUAUUGUUCUUAUGGAUUGCUUCAAUUUCUUCAUCCAUUGCUUUCCUCCACUUAGUAUCUUGCAUUGCUUCUUGGAAGUCAACUGGUUCACAAUCAGCAAAGAGACAGAAAAGUGUAGGAUUAUCAAGUCUUUCAGCUACCUCAUAGAGAUCUCGUAGACUUCUUAUGUGUGGUACUUCUCUUUCAUUUAGACUCCCACUUGAUGAUGCUGAUGCUGGUGAAUUGCCAUGAUUGGUUGAUGUUUGUGAAGCAGGUGGAAUAGUGGAUUCUUGUUGAACCCCUCUUGCUUGCUCCAUCAUCCCUUGUUCAUUCUCUUCUUCAAACUAAGGAAAAAAGUGAAGAUCACCUGCAUGAGAGCCAAAAUCCCAUUCUCAUUCUUCAUCGAACGUCACAUCUCGACUGAUUACCAUCUUCCCAUUGUUUGGAUUAUACAGCUUAUAGCCUUUUGAAUUUGAGUUAUAGCCGAUGAAGAUGAACUUCUCACUUUUGUCGUCGAGUUUGGUUCUCCUCUCGUCUGGUACAUGUACAUGGGCUAUGCUUCCAAAAAUUCUUAGAUGGGAGAUACCUGGUUUUCUUCCACUCCACGCUUCUUGCGGAGUCUUUCCCCACACACUUCUUGUUGGAGACCGAUUGGAUUGGUAGACAACACAUGAUACAGCUUCUGCCUACAACUCCUUAGGCAAUCUCUUACUUUUGAGCAUGCUUCGAGCCAUGUCGAGGAUGGUUCGAUUUUUCUUUCCGCCACACCAUUUUGUUGAGGGGAUCUUGGAACUGUCAAAUGUCGACGAAUUCCAUUGGCUUCACAGAAUUCUUGAAAUUCCUUCGAAGUGAAUUCUGCUCUUCGAUCAGAUCUCAUGGCUUUAAUCUUGCAACCACUUUCUUUUUCUAUAGCAGCUUUGAACUUCUUGAAUGCUCCAAAUACCUAUGAUUUCUACUUUAAGAAAUACACUCAGGUUUUCCUUGAAAAAUCAUCAAUGAAGAGAAGGAAAUAAUUUAUUUUUACCCAAAGAGCUUGGUUUUAUUGGACCGCACACAUCGGUGUGAAUGAGUUCGAGUGGCUUCUGGGCUCUUGUGGUUGACUCUUUUGGAAAGCUUUUCCUGAACUGUUUCCCAAGUAAACAUCCUUCGCAAGCUUGAUCAGGACGACUGAUGCACGGUAAGCCUCUCACCAUCUCCUUCUUGGAUAAUAACUCCAGUCCCCCAAAGUUAAGAUGCCUAAAACGAAGAUGCCAAAGCCAUGAUGUGUCUUUGUAACAUAUCUUGAGACACUUUGCAACAUUGUUUUGAAUGUUCAUGGGAAACAUCCUAUUCUUUGACAUUUUCACCUUGGCAAUUAAUCUUCCUUUGUCAUCUAUAAGAAAAAGGCUAUAAUUUUUCAUGUGAAUAUCAUAACCUUUUUCUAAGAGUUGACCCAAGCUCAAAAUGUUGCUUUUCAUAUUAGGCACGUAGUAGACAUUUGAAAUUAAUUGGUGACCACCAUUUUUUAAGGGAAUAAGGAUGUUACCUUUUCCUUUGAUGGGUAUUUUGGAUUUGUUUCCAAAAGAAACGUUGCCACUCUCCGAUUCAUUGAGCUCUACGAACAUGCUUUUUCUUCCGCACAUGUGGUUGCUAGCGCCGGUGUCAAGAUACCAUGUAUAGUCUUGGUCUCCAUCAUUGUUCUUGCAUGCUAGUAGCACAAUGCCAUUAUCUUCUUUCUUUUCUUUCACAUAAUUGACCUUCUCAUCAGGCCUGUUGCUUGGAGCUUUACAUUCCCAAGCAUAAUGCCCAAACUUUUGACAAUUGUAGCAUUGAACUUGAGAUUUUUCAUACCUCAAGUUUGAGUGUCCUCUUCCAUGACCAUUUGUUGAGCUUCCUCCUUUUUCGUAGUUGUUAUGAUUGUUGAAGUUCCAACCACGUCCACGUCCAUGUCCGCGACCUCGACCGCGACUUCUUUCGUACUGGCUUCUCUCAUUAUCCAAUCUUUCUUCUUUCUUCUUUGGCUGGACAUGCGUCUUGAGGAGCUGCUCAUCAUUCCCUUGCCUCUUCUUAUGUUUCUCUUCAUAUGCUUGUAGUGAACCCAUUAAUUGCUCUAUACUAAUUUCUUCCAAGUUUUUUGUUUCUUCAAUCGUCACGACAAUGUGCUCGAACUUGGGGUCCAACGAGCGUAGUAUCUUCUCCAUAAUUCUAACAUUUUCUAACUUUUCUCCGUUUCUUUUUAAUUGAUUGGAAACGGCUAAGACUCUUGAAAAAUAAUCAGAGAUUGAUUCAGACCCUUUCAUUUGUAGAGAUUCGAACUCACCUCUUAGUACUUGAAGACGAACCUUUUUCACUUGUUUGACUCCUUUGUAAGAGGUUUGAAGCUUCUCCCAUGCUUGCUUGGCAGAGGUUGCACUCGAGACUUUCUCAAAGCCAUUGUCAUCUAAUGCUUGGUAGAUGAGGUAGAGCCUUCUUGUCUCUCUUUCUUGAAUCUUUCAAACUCUCAUUCUGGGGUUGGGACAGAGUAGCUUCAUCUUCUGGCUCAGUGUAGCCUUUCUCCACGACUUCCCAUACAUCAUGUGCUCCCAAAAGGGCCUUCAUUUUGAUACUCCAAUUAUUGAAGUUGUUGUUGUCGAGCACUGGAACUUGGAAGGCUGUCAUAGCGUUGCUAGCCAUAGCUCUGGUACCACUUUGUUAGGGCUUAAAAAGACUUCACUACUUUGGAGAUGUUUAUCUCACAAAGAAGAAUGUAAUGCAGCGGAAUUGAUAGGCAAGAGAAAGAAAGAACACUCAAAGUUUUUACACAAGAUUUUUUAUUCACUCACAAACUAGUACAAGAGGAAACACUCAAACACUCUUAGAAGCUUUGUUGCUUCUUCUCACUUCGCACUACUUGCUCUCUUGGUUGUUUCAAAUGGUGUGGAUGCCUUCUCCUUUUAUAGGCAUGGAUGGAACCUUGGAGAAACAUGGAAACAUCAUGCUAGAUAUAUCUAGACAAUUCCACUACCUUCCUAUGCUAGAAUUAUCUACACUAAUCUUGUAUGUUGGUGGAAUCCUCACCAUUCUUCUAGACUCUUCCACCAAUUUGAACUUUGCUAGAAUUUUCUAGCAUGUGCAUGGAUCUUUCUUUGUGCAUGGGCUAGAUCCAUUAUCUUUGGGCCAAGACAAGAUUACAAUUCAACAAGCCCUACCCGGAGGAGAGUUUGGAGUUUCUUCCGUCGCAAGGCAUUCGGCUCUUCCAGUUCGGAAUCGAGGGCAAGAAGGAGCGGUCUACGUCUCCGCUGAUUCCAGCAGAGACUAUCUCCGAGGCACUGAAAGUUUUGGUUGAAAUUGAGAAUCAUCCGGUGUUGAUCCACUGCAAAUGCGGCAAGCAUCGGACUGGUUGUCUGGUGGGUUGCCUGAGGAAAUUUCAGAAUUGGUGUUUGUCUUCGGCGUUAGAGGAGUACCAGCGGUUUGCCGGCGAAAAAUCUAGGGGGACGGAUUUGAGAUUUAUCGAGACGUUUGACGUAUUGGGCCCCAGGGGGGAUGCCUUCACGGCAUUGUCCGCCAUUAUUAUUAAGCUUAUGCUUCCGGAAAGAGGCGGUUGUUGUACAAACAAGAGUUGCAAACCCAUAAACCCUAGGUGAUGUUUUAGUUUUUACGUGUUGAAAUUUUAUGCCCUUUUAGUUGUACCAUAAUGAAAAUUCCUUCAUUCGCUUAGUGACGGGUCCCACGUAUGGGAGUGAUUUUUUUGUUGUUGUUGAUUUAGCAUAAUCACGAAAUUUAGACAUGCUUAUAAAUUUAGUCCUCAAUUUAGGAGUAGGAAAUUUUUAUGAAUAUAUGACGUGCAUGUUUACUUAAAAAAUUAGAAUGAAAAAUUAUGAAUCCAGAAAGUCAAAAAUACAAUGAAAGAAAUUUAGGAGUAGGAAAUCUUUUGACAUAUUUUUUUCUAUUUUUAUUUUAUUUUUUAGUUGUUGAAUUAUCAAUGUAAAGUAGAACUCAAAUACUUUUUGACUCCACAUAACCACAUAAAAAUCAAGAAUUGAAACAGAGUAAUUCUAAUACUAGUUCGUACUCUAACCUAGUGCAAAAAGUUAGAAUUGUAAAAAUUUAGAGCUGAUCUUGGUGAAAUAUAGAACGUCAUAGGACCAUGAUUCUGGAACUCCUUUCCCUCCUUCAACUGUGGUCGGCCUGGGUCAGAUUUCUCGUUCAGGGAUUUACCUCUUCUGAAUAGUCCGCCCUUGAUGGGUCAACUCUAGUUAGUUAAUCCAAGCAUAGGAAGAUGAGACAAAAUACACACAAAGUUGUUAGGAUAUCUUUUCUUUUUAUAUUUGAGCGAUAUUCUAAUCUAAUCCAAAUUCAUGGGAGGAUUCAAAUUUGGCUACACUCGGAUUCACAUAUUCGGAUUGAUUUUAAAUUAAAUCCAGGUUGAAACAGAAGAUAUUGAAGUUGGGAUUGAAAUAGAAGAUAAAGCGUAAUAUAAAGUUACAUUACAAUAACAUGUUCUAUUAAAUGAAAGUGACUAAAGAUUGAAAAAAAUGCUACACUGCGUGAUCAACUCCGGCAACGAGCAUUAGCACUGCAUCCACGGUUGUAGGGGUUACUCUGAUUCUGAGCACCCGGCUUGCAGUUGUUGGAGGAAGCACCUCUCUGAGAGCAAGGCACAGUGUUUCUCUGCAGAGCUUCAUAGCUUAUGUUUCGUGAGGUGGCUAAGAUGUGUUGAAUUAUAAGUCUCUAGCUGAUUAGAAAUAAGUUGUGAUGUUAAUAUGUGUAUGCACUUAUGUUAAAAUACUAAGUGAGAAGAUAUAUAGAUGUAAAGGCCAUGAGUGCCAUGUGUGAUGAUCUUAUAGAUUAGCUAAAUGUGUGGCUGAGAUCUGUUAUUUUGAAUGUCCAUGAUCCAGCUCAGGUUUUGUAAAGCUAUAUAUCCUCUCUUGCACGUUGAGUGCAAGCUAGAGAGACAUUUAAUGAAAACAUUAUUCUUCUGAGUAAUUGCAGAAGAAAGAACCACCACCUUCUCUCUCUGUUUUCUUUUUCUCUUUCGAAUUUGCUCUCUUUAAAAUACUAACAUGGCCUCAGAGCCUAUGUUCGAUUAGAUCUGGGCGUGUUCUGUGCACUCAAACAUCACCGGUUUUGGGUUCGGUGAAGUUUGCCGGAGUUUAUUUGUGAUCUAAGAACUACGUGUUCCUGGAUUCACACAAGCUCACGAUGGCUGAAUCUGGGAGUACUGAAGUAAGGACCCCGAUCUUCUCCGGUGAGAACUACGAGUUCUGGAGAAUCAAAAUGGUUACCAUUUUCAAGUCACAUGGACUAUGGAGUCUGGUGGAAAAAGGAAUUUCAACUCCCGAUUCGAAGAAGAAGAAAGCUAAGACUGAUGAAGAUACAGAUGUUGAUACUGACGAUGAUGAGAAAAUGGCUGCAAUCUUCAUGAAAGAUGCAAAAGCUCUCGGAAUCAUUCAAGGCGCAGUCUCCGAUCAGAUCUUCCCUCGAAUCGCAAACGCAGAUUCAGCAAAAAUGGCAUGGGAUCUGUUAUAUGGCGAAUAUCACGGUGGGGAUCAGGUAAGAUCGGUGAAACUUCAAAAUCUUAGACGAGAAUUUGAAUACACUAGAAUGCGUGAUGAUGAAUCUUUGACUGUGUAUCUUACUCGUUUAAAUGAUCUGAUUAAUCAAAUGAAGACGUUUGGUGAAACUCUGUCAAAUGAGAGAUUAGUUCAGAAGGUGUUAAUCAGUCUCACUAAGAUGUAUGAUCCUAUAUGCUUAGUGAUAGAAAAUACCAAAUGUCUAGAAUCUGUUGAACUGCAAGAGGUACUAGCUAUAUUGAAGAGUCAAGAGCAGAGGUUUGAUUUGCAUUCCACCGAUGUAACUGAGAGAGCAUUUUCUUCUCUUACUGUUAAUUCAAAAUGGCAGAAUCGAGGUUAUGCUCAGUCUAGUAUUUUUAAAUCACAGAAAAAUUGGAAUAAAAAGGGUAAGAAGUGGGAUUCAAAACCAAAGUUUCAGCAAAAAUCAUUCACAAAUGUUGCACAGAAUAGUACUUCUUCACAAGUUAUGGGUCAAGAGAGUGUAAAACCUCAAUGUAAAGUGUGUUCAAAGUUUCAUUAUGGUGAAUGUAGAUACAAUGGGAAAUCGAAGUGCCAUAAUUGUGAUAGAUUUGGACAUUGGGCCAAAGAGUGUACUGUUGGAAAGUCUGUUCAAAAGGCAAACUGUGCAAAUCAAAUGGAGGUGACAGGAAAUCUAUUUUAUGCAAAUUGUGCAGUUGCUGAGACUAAGGUCAAUGGAGAUUGGUACAUAGAUAGUGGUUGCAGUAACCACAUGACAGGAAAUGUGGAUUUGCUGGUUGAUGUGAGAACCAACAUAGCUGGCAAAGUUCAAAUGCCAACUGGAGAUCUUGUGAAUGUAGCUGGAAUGGGAUCACUGGUGAUAGACACAAAUAAGGGCAGAAAAUAUGUGAGAAAGGUAAUGUAUUUGCCUGGUUUAAAAAAGAAUCUGCUAAGUGUAGGUCAAAUGGAUGAGCACGGAUAUUUUCUUGUGUUUGGUGGUGGAGUGUGCAGUGUGUAUGAUGGUCCAUCACUGGAAUGUUUAAUCAUGAAAGUGAAGAAGAAAGUGAACAUGUGUUAUCCACUGGUUUUAUUAUCUGAGAAUCAAGUAGUCUUAAAGGCUAGUGUCACUCACUCCACUGAGAUUUGGCAUAAGAGAUUUGGACACCUGCAUCUUGAUGGUCUCAAACAGUUGAGAGACAAGGAUAUGGUACACGGCUUACCUCAGCUUGAAGACUACAAUGGAGUCUGUGCAGGUUGUCAAUUUGGAAAACAACACAGAGAAGAGUUUCCAAGAAGUCAAGUACAGAGAGCAACUUCUCCACUUGAACUUAUACAUGUUGAUCUGUGUGGACCCAUGAAAAAUGAGUCAAUUGCAGGAAAUAAAUAUUUCAUGCUUUUGGUAGAUGAUAUGACCAGGAUGAUAUGAAUCUAUUUUCUGCGAUACAAAUCUGAUGCAUUCAACUGUUUUAAAAAAUUCAAAGCCAUGGUAGAACUACAAAGUGGUUUCAAGAUCAAGUAUCUGAGAAGUGAUAGAGGAGGGGACUUCAAAUCAUUCGAAUUUGACUCGUUCUGUGAAAAAGCUGGAAUUCAAAGGCAGUUUACCCUUGCAUAUACUCUACAGCAAAAUGGAGUAGUAGAAAGGAAAAACAAGACUGUGGUUGAGAUGGCUAAAUCUAUGUUGCAUGAGAAGAGUUUACCAUAUUUUCUCUGGGCAGAGGCAGUUCACACAUCUGUGUAUGUUUUAAACAGAUGUCCCACAAGGGCUUUGAAAAACAUCACACCUUUUGAAGCCUACUCGGGAAGGAAACCAGGAAUAGCUCAUCUGAGAGUAUUUGGUUCAGCAUGUUAUGUUCAUGUUCCAAGUGAGCACAGACAUAAACUUGAGCCUAAAAGUUUCAAAGGGGUGUUUGUGGGAUAUGCAACUUGUGAAAAGGGAUAUAGGGUGUUUGAUCCCAUAUCAAAGAAGUUGAUAUUAUCAAGGGAUAUUGUUUUUGAUGAAGAAGCUGUAUGGAAUUGGGAAGUGAACUCUGAGCAGCCUAUCUCUACUACUGAAAACCUUGUUUAUGAUGAAUUAAGAACAGGAAGAAAUGAAGGAAUGAUGCAGACUCCUACCUCAUCAACAGCAUGCUCACCUAGGAAUGUUCUUAGUAUUGGAGAUUCUGUCCAAUCUAAGGGACUUACAUCAGGUGAAUCUGUAAACAACUCAAACUUGAGUGAAAAGGAUACUCAAGCAUUUGAUCAUACACCAUUGAAGUGGAGAAAACUGGAUGACGUCUUAGCACAAUGUAAUCUCUGUAUUAUGGAUCCAGAGAAAUAUGAAGAUGCCAAACAAGAUGUGUCUUGGUUAAAAGCCAUGGAGGAUGAGAUGUUCAUGAUUGAAAAGAAUGGCACCUGGAUGCUUGUUGAUAGACCAACUGAGAAACCUGUCAUUGGGGUUAAAUGGGUGUACAAAACCAAAUUAAACCUUGAUGGUUCAGUGUUGAAGAAUAAAGCAAGGUUAGUUGCAAAGGGCUAUGCUCAAAAGCCUGGCUUGGACUACAAUGAGACCUAUGCACCAGUUGCUAGGUUAGAUACUAUUAGAACUUUGAUUGCCUUAGCUGCACACAAGAGCUGGAAGUUGUAUCAGUUAGAUGUGAAAUCGGCUUUUUUGAAUGGAGUUUUACAAGAAGAGGUCUAUGUUGAACAGCCCGAAGGUUUUGUUGUUAAAGGCAAGGAAGAAAAAGUGUACAAACUUCCUAAGGCUCUCUAUGGUCUAAAACAAGCUCCACGAGCUUGGUAUGGUGAAAUUGAUAACUAUUUCACACAGUGUGAUUUUGAGAAGAGCCUAAGUGAACCAACUCUAUACAUAAAGGCAAGGGGAGAAGAUGUCUUGAUUGUUUCCAUCUAUGUAGAUGACAUAGUCUACACUGGAAACUGUAAAACAAUGCUAGAAAAAUUCAAGGAAGAUAUGAAGAUGAAAUAUGAGAUGACAGAUUUGGGAUUGUUACAUCACUUUCUUGGAAUGGGGGUGAUCCAAACCGACUCUAGCAUCUUCAUUCAUCAGAAGAAGUAUGCAAGUUCUUUACUAAGCAAGUUCGGUCUGAAUGAGUGCAAAUCUGUGAUCACACCACUUGUGGCAACUGAGAAAUUAACUAAAGAUGAUGGAAGUGGAGCAGUAAGUGAAGAGUUAUACAGAAGCAUUGUGGGAAGUCUUCUAUAUCUCACUGCUACUAGGCUAGACAUCAUGUAUGCAUCUAGUUUACUUGCUAGAUUUAUACACUGUCCUACUAGCAAGCAUUUUGGAACUGCCAAACGUGUGCUCAGGUACAUCAAAGGGACUAUAGACUAUGGUUUGGAGUAUACAAAGGGCAAGAAAGCAAUGUUGAUUGGCUAUUGCGACAGUGACUGGGGUGGAUCAUCAGAUGAUAGCAAAAGUACAUCUGGAUAUGCAUUUUCUUUUGGAAGUGGAGUUUUUUCUUGGGCUUCAGUUAAACAAAGUUAUGUGACAUUAUCCACUGCAGAAGCAGAGUACAUAAGUGCAUCAGAGGCUACUACUCAAGCUAUAUGGCUGAGAUUUGUCUUGGAAGAUUUCGGAGAACUACAGACUGAAGCCACUUCUCUUCACUGUGACAACACUUCUGCCAUUGCAAUCACUAGGAAUUCUGUCUUUCAUCAAAAGACCAAACACAUAGACAGAAGGUAUCACUUCAUUAAAGAUGCACUGCAAGAAGGAAUCAUUGAUUUGAUUUAUUGUCCCACUGAAGAGCAGAUAGCAGAUAUUUUCACAAAACCUUUAGCCAAUGAUCGGUUCAACUAUCUCAGAAAUUUGCUUGGAGUGAAAUCAGCUCAAGACUUAAAGGGGAGUGUUGAAUUAUAAGUCUCUAGCUGAUUAGAAAUAAGUUGUGAAGUUAAUAUGUGUAUGCACUUAUGUUAAAAUACUAAGUGAGAAGAUAUAUAGAUGUAAAGACCAUGAGUGCCAUGUGUGAUGAUCUUAUAGAUUAGCUAAAUGUGUGGCUGAGAUCUAUUAUUUUGAAUGUCCUUGAUCCAGCUCAGGUUUUGUAAAGCUAUAUAUCCUCUCUUGCACGUUGAGUGCAAGCUAGAGAGACAUUUAAUGAAAACAUUAUUCUUCUGAGUAAUUGCAGAAGAAAGAACCACCACAUUCUCUCUCUGUUUUCUUCUUCUCUUUCGAAUUUGCUCUCUCUAAAAUACUAACAUCGCCUGCUAAUCUCCGAGUCCAUGCCAAACUCAUCAUCACGAUCAUCCAUACACUCUGCUACAGAACCCUCGCAGCGAGGUCUCACUGGAACCCAGCUCACCCCAUGAUCGCCGCCUGCAUCAACGGAGAUGAUCAGAGCGGCCACGAAGGCCAAGGAAAAGAUAAUCGCUGAGGAAUUGGCCAUAGGUUUUGGUAUGGUCUGUGUUUUUAGCUGCCAACUUGUAUUUUGUUGUACGCCUGUUUAAUUACAGAGGGAGACAGAUGAGGCGGCAAGAGAGAGAAGAUAAAGUUGGUGAAUUCUUAUGUGUAUAUUAUUGCACUCCAUUGUGUUAUUUAUAGUAGUAAAAAGUAUAAAAAAGGGAAAGUCCUUGUUCUUUAAUUAAUCCAUAGUAGUAAGAAGGGAAAAUCCUUAUCUUUCAGGUAAUCCAUCUUAGAUAAGACACAAUCUACAAGAUAUUCUGCAGUCCCAUAAGGAUUUUUUACACACAUUCCUAGUAAGUUUGGACUUUGAUAUAUUUAAAUUUGAUUAAAUGAAAAAUUGGAUGCUGAUUUCUUCAAGGAGGUGAUUGUGGAUGCAAAUUUCUCCCUUAUUGAUCUUGGACAAAAUUGCACCUACAAAACAAUUAACACCUUAGGAUCAAGGCCAAGAGCCUCACGCGCCCACGAUGAACGCCGGGGGGGGGGGAGCUUUGGCCGAAGAACCUCUGAUGCCAAAGUUAGAAUUUAGAGAGAAAAGUGUUUAGAGAGUAUUGAGAAUUUUGCAAGUGUGUUGGACCUAGGUUUUGGUGAAAAUGGGAGUCAAUACAUAGGGCAUAGGGUGUAACUUAUGGUUUAAUGUGUGAUUUAAUGGAUUAAUUAGGCAAUUAAUCCAUUGAUUGGUUAAUCAACACAUUUUUGGAAUAAAUAUUUUGGGGGUUAUGUAAUUUAUACCUUGUGGAAAAUAUAGAAUGAGGAUGGAUGAAAUAACUUUGAAUUUGUUACUUAUUUUGGGCACGUUUGAUUUGGUUGAAGGAUAAUUAACCGCUGCUCGCACGUAGGAAUGCCGUUGUAACUCAAGAGUAUUUUGUCUUCUUUUGUCCAAAAAUCCAUGUGUUGCCUUGUGAUUAUUUUUGGCUCCAUAGUGAUUACUUAAAUGACUUGCACUAAUUAGCCUUAGGGCUAGUUUGGUAUUCCUGUGCUUUGAAAAAAAAACUGCUUCUGCUGUGAAAUAAAGCGGUAGAGUGUUUGGUAAACUUUUUUGUAAAAGUGCUUUUAGCAAAAAAAUCAGUGUUAAAGUGCUUGGUAAAUUUUUAUAUAAAACUGCUAUGAUUAUGUUAAAUGACUAAAAAUGAUAUAAUGUUAAAUUUAAUAUAUAAUUUUUUAUUUUUUAAUCUCUAUAAUUGUCGAGUCAUCCAAACUCUUCCAUUUUCCAAAUCCCAUUUAUAAUUCUAGAGUCAUCCUUUUCGCCUAAUUUUUUUUUUCAUUUGACUUUCAGAUCCGAUAUGUUAGCGUUCCGUUGGUCAUCAGACAGGAUCACACUAAGCGUAGGCUGUUUCCGGAUCAGAUCUAGCCGAAGAGCUCUCCCCCUAUAACUUGAAUAUGGCAGUUUCCCACUAGCCGCUUAAAGGAGUACUCAAGGAUUACCCUAUUACCAAUCUCGAAUUGGCCUCCUACUGUCCUCGCUAAGAAAGAGUCUGCCCGCUUAAUUCAAUGAAGGAGUUGAUAUUUAUCUAUUAAAGUAAUUUAUCAAUUACGGAAUUCAAGGUCGGAUGAUAUCAGUUCUCUGUACCCAAGAAGUUCGGGGAAAGGAAAUAGAAGCAAUGCAGACUGAAUUUGACGAACUCCCCACCCAUACUAAAAAGCAAAUAAAGACCCAUGUUUAGCGUCCUCCACUCUAAGGACCACAUUAUUGAAUAUGAUAGUAGACAGAUGGCAUUAUCCUGUAUUGACAAAUGUCAUAAUCGUGUGAGAUCAUUGUUGAGAUGUUAGCUUAGUCAAUAAGCUACUAUGUUUACUAUAAAUAGGAGAUUGCACCACCAUGUAACUAAGUCUUUUGUAAUUCAUUACAAUCAAUAUACAAAGAUAUUUUCUCUCUAUCUCUCUUUUUCUCUAUUUCUUUCUUCCUUGUCGAUGGGUUUCUUGAUUUCUACUUCCGCAACUCUGUUAUCAUGGUAUCCAAAGCCAAGUUCUCAAUUCGAUCUUCAGAAUUAAUGCUGGAAUUCAAAGCGGGGGAUGGUCUUGUGAAGGGAGUUAGAAUUUUUUUUGAGGUGGUGGAGAUUUCUGUUCGUCGGUGCCGUGUCGGUGUACUUCAAUCUCAUCUUCAUGCUGAUUUCUUUGAAGAUUUGAUGGUAUCUGUUCUUAUUCCUCUAUAAUUCAUACUUUGUUGAUUUCAAUUCAAGGCACGAAGCCAUUCUUGAGCACGAAGCUGAUUGUCUUUUCCGGUGAAAUUGAUCAUGCAAAAUUGGUGUUCUCUUGAGUGUAUAUUGGACAAUUGUUGAUUGUAUAAGCAAGAAAUGUUAGGGCACAAUGCCAUACUCUUGAAAAUUGUUUCCAAUUGUUGAUAUUUGUUGAGUUCUGAGAUAAUUGAAAAGUUAGGGCACGAAGCCAGAUUGUUGAGAAAACUUUGGGGCACGAAGCCAGGUUCAUUUUGUAAAUCUUGAAGGUUAUUGUUGAAUUGGUGUGUAUUGAUUCUGUGGUUCAUGAUGGCGUCUUCGUUUAAGAUUGAUGGUUUGUUAGGCAUGUUUACCAUUCGUUUGCAAGAAGACAAUUUUGCCAAAUGGUCAUUUCAAUUCUGUUUUGUGCUUGAAGGGUAUGAUCUGUUCGAUCAUUUUGAUGGUACUAAUGUUUGUCCGCCUAAGUAUCUGAUUUCUUUGGAUGGUGGUGUUACUAAAGAACUCACACAAGCUUAUAAGGAAUGGAUUAAAACUGAUAAAGCUUUGUUGAGUUUACUCAUCGCCAUACUUGGUGACGAGGCUAUUGAAUAUGUUGUUGGUAGUAAGACUACAUUUGAAGCCUGGACUAAUCUUACUGAUAGAUAUGCUACAGUUUCUAGGGCUCGCAUUAAUCAUCUCAAGACUGAAUUCUAUACAAUCAAGAAAGGGUCCGAUUAUAUUGAGAAAUAUUUGCUUCGGCUGAAGAAUUUGAAAGAUCAAUUGCUUUCUGCAGGGGAAGUGAUUUCUGAUAAUGAUUUGAUAGUGGUUGCUCUAGCUGGUUUACCUUCUGAGUAUAAUAUCAUUCGUACUGUAAUUGUUGCCAGAGAAACACCACUUACUCUUAAAGAAUUUCGAGCACAGUUGCUCAGUGCUGAGAGGACUGCUGAAGAUUUACCAAGUUCUCUUCAUUAUCCAAUAGCUGGAAUGUACUGUCAAGGAGAGUCUUCGAAUUCUGGUGGCUAUAAUGGUUUUCAUGAUCACAAUACAAGUAAUGGGAGGCAGUUUUAUCAUGGAGAGUCUUCGAACUCAGGUGGUCAAGUUAGUUCUCAUUCUACUGAAAACUAUGGUUUUGUGGGGCAAUACAACAUCUCUAAUCCAAGGGGUCAUUCGAGUGGGAGCUUCUCUCAAGCACAUAUUCCUCAGCAAUAUAAGUCUCAUAGACCUAAUAGUAAUAAUGGUGGUUCCAAUGGUUCUCGGUAUAAUUCCAGAUCAAGAUUCAAUGGGGGUUUUAAUACCAGACACAAUGGAAAUAAUGGUUUUUCUAGUAGCAGUGGUUCAAACAGUAAAUGGGGCUCUUCAUGGAACAAUUGGAAUGGCAAUACUGGACAGAAAUCUCAUGUGAUACCCGAAUGUCAAAUUUGCAGUAAGAGAGGGCACACUGCUCCCAACUGUUAUUAUAGAAAUGAACAGCAGCCUAUGGUUAAUCAAGGUAUUCCUGAGUGUCAAAUUUGUGGCAAGAGAGGUCAUGUUGCUCUUAAUUGUUUCCAUCGAAGCAACUAUGCAUAUCAAUGAGCAAAUCCACCUGCAACAUUGACUGCUAUGACUGCUCAAUCUUCCUCUGAUUUUAAUGCAAACCAAGCCUGGAUUAUGGAUACUGGUGCUACCCACCACAUGACUGAGGACCUUCAUGAUCUGAAUGUUGUCACACCAUUUGAAGGAGAUCAACAAAUCACAGUUGGAAGUGGAGAAUGUCUUCCAGUGAAACAUACUGGUUCCAAUUCUCUUCACACUUCUUCUAAAACUUUGAAUCUUCUUACUGUGUUACAUGUUCCUAAUCUUGCAGCUAGUUUAUUAUCCAUUUAUACCUUGUGUAAGGAUAACAAAUGCUAUGUAAUCAUGGAUGAAUUUGGUUUUUGGGUGCAGGACAAGGCAAUAAGGGCAAUUCUAAUGAGAGGAAUGAGUAGUGGCGGUCUGUAUUACAUACCAAAGAGUUUGUUCUUCAAGCACAAUCAAUUGCGACAGUCUGAAUCUUUUCCAAAAGCUUAUCUUGGGAAAUUGGUGCAAGCUUCCUUAUGGCAUCAUAGACUAGGUCAUCCUAGUAAUGCAGUGUUACAUAGUAUGCUUUCUCAUUCUCAGAUUGUGUAUAGGUCUGAUAAAAAUCAACAUGUAUACAGUGAUUGUUUGAGUGGCAAGAUGUCUAGACAAAGUUUUUCUUCUAGUUCUCAUAUCUCUGUAAGACUUUUUGAAAGGGUUUGUAGUGAUGUAUGGGGACCAUCUCCGGUUGUAUCAAUUGAAGGCUAUAAAUACUAUGUGAUUUUUGUUGAUGACUUUACUAAGUUUACUUGGUUCUUUCCUUUGACUUAUAAAUCUCAAGUUGCAUCAGUCUUUGAGCAGUUUUAUGCCUUUAUUCAGAACCAUUUUAAAACCUCAGUACAAUACUUUCAAUCUGAUGGAGGAAGUGAAUACAUGAGUUCAAAUUUUCAGAAGUUUUUGAAAGCUAGAGGUAUUAUACAUUUAGUUUCUUAUCCUUAUACCCCUCAACAAAAUAGGAUGGCUGAGAGGAAACAUAGGCACAUAAUUGAGACUGCAAUCACACUGUUGAAUUCAGCUAAGUUACCUCAUAAUUUCUGGACACAUGCAUGUAUUCAUGCUAUCUUUCUCAUAAAUCGAAUGUCAUGUUCUUCUCUGGACAUGAAUUCUCCUUAUUUUAAACUCUUUGGAAGUCAUCCUGUGUUACAUUCUGUUAAAGUGUUUGGGACUGCAGUUUAUCCUUAUCUUAGACCCUAUGUAAAGAAUAAAUUGGAACCAAGAACUGAACAGUGUGUUUUUCUGGGAUAUAUGUUGGGUUACAAAGGUGUGGUCUGCUAUCACAGGUCCAGAAAGAGGUUGUUUAUCUCUAGGCAUGUUUUUUCCUUUUCACAAACCAUGCAUAGUUCAAAGCAGACAUGAUGUUUCAUCUUCUUCUACGAUCCAUCCUAUCAUUGUUCCUUCUGUAUUUUCUGUUCAAUUUGCAAAUUCAGCUAGUAUGGUAGAAUUGGGUGAUCAUCACGAUUUUGGUCUACUUAGAUCUUCUGCAGUACAUACUUCUCAUUGUGCACAUAACAAUGGCUCCUCUUCCAGAGUAACAUCUGCUAGUUCAUUUUCUUUACAGGCUUCAUCAAAUUCCACUACUCCACUCUCUUCAUCAGCAUCUUCACAUGCCCUGUUGCCUGUCCCAAGUUUGCCUCACCCUGAGGUACAUUCCCAUCCUGUUACUUAUGCUAAUGUACCAGUUAAUGAUGACAAUAUUGUUGCUUCUCCUCUAUCCUUGUCAACUCAUCCAAUGCAAACAAGAUUGAAGACGGGAACCAUUUCUCGAAAAGAUUACACUGCAUGUUCAGCUAGUACAUCUCUUGAAUCUUCUGACAAUUCAUUUGGUUCGAGUGUUUUUCCUUGUCUUGGUUUCACUGAUGUCUUUGAUAUUAAGGAACCUACAGAACCAUCAUCAUAUAAACAGGCUGUUACUUGUGAACAAUGGAGAGAAGCUAUGAAAGAGGAAUUCAAUGCUCUUCAUAAACAAGGAACAUGGGAACUUGUUCCAAUGCCUACUAACAAGAAUGUCAUUGGCAGUAAAUGGGUAUAUAAGAUCAAACGAGAUCAGAAUGGCAAGAUAUCAAGGUAUAAGGCGAGAUUAGUAGCUCAAGGUUUCAGUCAAGAACAUAGUUUGGAUUAUGAAGAAACUUUUAGUCUAGUGGUCAGACACAGUACUGUUCGGAUUGUUCUUGCUUUAGCUGCUACAAAUAAAUGGCCUUUAAGGCAAUUUGAUGUUAAAAAUGCAUUUCUCCAUGAAGAUUUGCAGGAAGAGGUUUUCAUGAAGCAUCCUCAAGGUUUUACAGAUUCAUCUCAUCCUGAUUAUGUCUGUAAAUUGAUUAAGUCCCUUUAUGGCCUUAAACAGGCACCUCGGGCAUGGAAUUCUAAAUUUACAACAUACUUGCCUUUUCUUGGUUUUGUGGUUUCCGAAUCAGAUACAAGUUUAUUUGUCAAGACCCAAGGUGAUGCAGUUGUUAUUCUUCUUCUCUAUGUUGAUGAUAUAAUCAUCAUUGGAUCUGAUUCAGUAUUGGUUCAACAAGUUAUUUCCAAUCUUAGAGAGGUAUUUGAUAUGAAGGAUAUGGGGGCUCUCACAUUUUUUCUUGGAUUACAUAUUACUUACCAAGUGAAUGGCGAUUUGUUUCUUUCUCAAUCGAAAUAUGCCAAAGACUUGAUAAAAAAGGCGGGUAUGACUACUUGUAAGCUUUCUCCUACUCCUUGUAAACCUCAUACACAACUAUUGCGAAAUGAAGGAACUCCACUCAUUGAUCCUACUAUUUUUCGAAGUUUAGUGGGUGCACUGCAGUAUCUGACUUUUACCAGGCCUGAUAUUGCGUUUGCUGUCAAUUAUGCAUGUCAAUUCAUGUCCAAUCCUACUGAUGUACAUUUUGAGUUAGUCAAACGCAUUCUGAGGUAUUUACAAGGGACUGUUGAGUGUGGUGUUACUUAUUCAUCUGCUGAUACUAUGGAUCUCACUGCAUUUAGUGAUGCUGAUUGGGCAUCGGAUAUCAAUACCAGAAGGCCCACAACAGGAUAUAUGGUGUUCUUGGGACAAAAUCCAGUGUCUUGGCAGUCUAGAAAACAAGGUAGUGUUUCAAGAAGUUCGACAGAGGCCGAAUAUAAAGCUCUAGCCAAUGCUACUGCAGAAAUAGCUUGGAUUCGAUUGAUUCUUAAAGAUUUGAAAGUGUUUCUGCCUUCUCCCCCACUUUUGCAUUGUGAUAAUGUUUCCACUAUUGCUCUGUGCUCUAAUCCUGUUUUUCAUACCAAAAUUAAACAUCUCGAUACGGACUUUCAUUUUGUUCUUGAACGGGUUCAAAAAGGAGAUUUACAAGUGGAGUACAUUUCUUCUACAGAUCAGGUUGCUGAUAUUCUUACAAAAUGACUUCAUGGACCUGUUUUCUUACAUCAUUGUCUUAAUCUCAAACUGGGUUCCCCAGUUGCGAUUGAGGAUGGGGUAUUGAAUAUGAUAAUAGACAUAUGGCAUUAUCCUGUAUUGACAAAUGUCAUAAUCGUGUGAGAUCAUUGUUGAGAUGUUAGCUUAGUCAAUAAGCUACUAUGUUUACUAUAAAUAGGAGAUUGCACCACCAUGUAACUAAGUCUUCUGUAUUCAUUACAAUCAAUAUACAAAAAUAUUUUCUCUCUAUCUCUCUUUUUCUCUAUUUCUUUCUUCUUCCUUGUCGAUGGGUUUCUUGAUUUCUACUUCCGCAACUCUGUUAUCACACAUUAUCCAGAAGUUCAUUCUCAUUUACCUCAAGAUCAUCGACAAGAUCGAUCUUCCAAUUUCUGAGACUGAGAUUUCUACCUUUUUUCCCCCUAGUUAUAUAACUUCCACUACCACUAGUUUCCCAAUUUCAUCUCCCCUACCAUCCAUGGCGUCUGCAAGCUCUCACAAACACCCAUCUCCUCUGUCAUCCACUACUUUCCCCAUCACUUUCCCACCUUCCUCUUGGAGUUGUAGAAGGAGCUUGCUAUGAAGAUCUGUUGUGUGAAAUUGUGCAUCUUGGAUUGAAAACUUUUUUAACACUGGGUUUUGGAUUUGUUUCCUGGUCUGCAAUGCGACGACGAGUUGAAAAAUACUCUGAUCAGAUUUCGAUUUCGAAAAUUAAAAUCUGGUAAAACAAGAAUAUCAACGAUGAAGAUUCGAUCUCAACCCAAUGAGAAGGAGAAACGGAGGAGCGUAUUUUUGAGAUUGUGAAAGUUUCAUUAAAAUCUACUGUUCACCCGCCUUCUUGAAAAAAUAAAAGCUGGUUUUGAGAAGCAGCAAAAAUGCAACUUCUGAUUUUUGCCACUUUUCAGCUUAUAAUGACCUGUGAUUUUUAAAAUAAGCAGAGUUACCAAACACAAAUUGUACUCCAAUUUUUUUUCAUCCCAGCUUUUAAAAUAAUUUAAGCAGUACCAAACCUUACCUUAUUCUAAUUGCAACAAAGAAAGCUGAAACUGGAAUAAUUCGUGAUUUGUUCAAACCAAGAAUACGAAAUCAACAACCUACUAGAAAAUAUGCUCGUAGAGAUUUACGGGUUGUUUCAGCAAGUAAUUUUGCUAAAAGCGCUUUUAUUAAAACAACGUUGAUAAAUCACUUUUAUAAUGAUAUAAGCAUGCCAAAAGAUUAAACUAGUUUACAACAUCAAUAUUAUAAUGAUAGUACUCUCAGUUCAUUCUUGCUCAUAGAAUUAAAGAGAGAAACCGAACUAAACAACAAUGCGGACUAGCUUGGUCAACUCUCAGGCCUUUAUUCUUGAAGAUAGCAAAAUUACUCAAAGUUCCAUAUCAUAUGUAUGCAUAAAUCUUGUGCUUGGCACUUAUUCCUUGAGAAGAUGUGCAUCAAUAUCUUUAAUGACAUUGACCAUAAAGCUGAGGUACUUCUGUGGAGGCGGAUCGUUCUCGUUGAGUUUUUCAUAUUCUAAAGUAAUUUUCACAAAACCUCCUUCACUCUUUGGAGUGACCUGGAAAAUGAUCUUGUAGCUUUUGUAAUUGUCCAGCACAUGUGAUCCUUCCAGAGCUGUAAGACUCACCCACUUGUUUACUUCAUCUAUUUCCACCUUUUCCUUGAAUGUCUCGACAUUUCCAUCUACACGUCACAUGGAAAAUUACAAUGAUACAUCUAUUCAUGGAGAGAUUUUUCAAUGCUCAGAACACUAGGUGGUACGACACAUUAUUAUACAAACGAAUGAAAAUUAUUUUCAAGUGUCUUUUCACUUAUAUAAUGAAAUAUAAUUUAUGUAUCCAUGUUCCGAGCACACUAAAAAUUCUCUCAUGUCCAUGAUCCGAUUCUUUAUAUAUUCAUCGUCAGGUAAUGCAAACCUAAUGGCGCAUGGAUGGCCUGGUCAAUAUAUUUCAGUUUUAAUUCUAGAAGAAUCUUAUACGUACAUAUACAUAUCACGUUAGCAUGUUUAUUUCAUAGCAGGUUAGUUUGUGUUAUUAAAAAAAAAAAAAAAUAAUAAUAAUAGUAAUAAUGUUACAGUAUUAACUAUAAACGUAACAUUAUUAUUAUACAACUUUUUUUAACAAACAAUAUUAUCUACAUUAAGGGAAAGAGGUGAGCUUAGCCUCACAAUGUUUGAACGAUGGAAAUAAAUUUGGACUUUUGACAAAAUUUAGAAUUUAUAAAUUAACAUGCACCAAUUCUCUUGUCUAGAUUCAUAAACAUAGAAAUUUAGAAUUUCCGCGUGAAAAAAGGGAGAAUUUGAGACCUCCAAUUCCCAAGUUUAAAUUUCAUGUAAAUAAGUCACUCAGUAUUACAGUCUUAUAGUAUUUCUCUUCACUUGAAAGUGAGAGGUUAUAGGUUCGAAUCUUGUUAAUGACGAAUUUGAUACCAAAUUAGGCUACCCAUUGUGUGGCUUUGCCGAACUCCCCCUCCCCUUAGUGUAAAAAUAUCGAUGUACUAAAAAAAAUCAUGUAAAUAGGUGUUAUUCCAAAUUUUUAUGAGUGAGAGUUUAAAGAUAACAAAUUCUAUAUUGAAUUUAUAUUAUUCUUUUAAGUUAGUCAAACAAGAAAAUUUACAAAUUCUAGAAAUAAAAUUUCAUAGUAAUUUUAAAUUUUCUCAUUCAAACAUAAUGUUAGAGUCAUGAUGUAACACCCGUCGCUUUUUAUUUAACAAAAUUAAUUAUUAGUUUAACUAGGUUAGGAGGAGAGAGGAGGGUGAUUAAUUUCAUAUUACCUAGGGUGUAUUUCCAGAGCUUGACAGAGCCAGAAGUUUCCCAGUCACCUUCAUGUACUGCAACAUCGUGUAUUUUAUCAGAGGCUGCUUUGGGGACGUCGUGGUGCUGGUUGCUGAUGACUUUGUACAACUUAUCAGCGUUGGCUUUGAUCUCUACCUCAACCUCCACAGUCAGCUUGCAAGCACCAGCUCUGUUGAAUAUAUCAGUCCACCUCAUCAUUCCAGCUCAGCAAUAGUUAGUUAGGCUGUUAUCAAAUUAGUUAGUUAAAUAGCUUAGGCUGUAAACUAGUCAUGAUGGCUAUAUAAACUGUAUUCUCAUAGUUGUAAAGAUUAAUUCAGUAUCAAUGUAACCAAUUACUGUCUCUCUCUCUUAUUCCCUUUUCUCUCUUCUUCUUCGGUACAUGCUCUUUCUGCAACUCUUCAUUUCUGUUAACAUGGUAUCAUCGCCAUGGAUGAUCUUUUGACUUCCGUUGUAGUACCUCUGAUGGGUAGCUGAUCUCUGUGUAAGGUUGAUGACGUUUUGCUGUUCUUGGGAGGCUUCGAUACUUGUCUAUGGAGUUUUCGUUGGUGAUGAAGAUCUGUGCGCUCCAGGUGUUUGAUAAUUUGUGUCAGCCAAUUGUCGGAGUUUGCGAGGAUUCUGGUAUAGGUGUGUCAUCGCCGGAGGUCGGUUCUUGGUGAUUUGUUGCUCUUCCGCUGUGGGUGAACAAGCUUGGAUGUUCGAGUGCGUUUUCUGGGUUUCAAGAUUCAAGUUCUCAGGUUUUGUUUCUGAUUACUAGUUUUCUUUCCAGCAUAUCAACUAUUGUGACUCAGUGAGAAUUUUGUUGGGAAUUUCGGAAGUGUCAAGGCCAAUAGCCGUAUACUUCAGAUUUGUGAAGAGUUCAAGGUCGAAUGUCAUAUUUGAGAAUCUUUAAGGCAAAUUGCCAUUUCUCAGUUGCUAUAAAAUUGUUGAUUGUAUUUCCCUAAGGCCGAUUGCCGGGAUUUUAUGUUGUCUAAAAGAUUGUCUGUUAAUUGGGUUCUCUGUGAUUGUAUGCUGUACUCCCUUAAGGCCGAUUGCCGGAGUAUAAAGCUGUCUGAAAGUUGUUUUCUUGAUGCAAAGUGUUUGUUGGGAUAGAGAGGCCGAUAGCCAUUUCCCUUUUAUGUUUCACUUCAGAAAGGCCGAUAGCCAGAAGUGUGUGUAGAACAUUAACUGAUUUAGAAGAAUAUGAAGGCCGAUUGCCAUUUCUUCUAAGAGAAAGAUUGUUUAGUAGGAUUUGAAGGUCGAUUGCCAUUGUUGAAAGAUUGCUGAAAGAUUGAAUCUUUGAUUCAUUAUUGGGUAUUGUUUGAUUGUUUGUUGGGUAUUGUACACUCAAGAAGGCCGAUUGCCAAGAGUGUCUUAGUUCAAGAUUCUGCAAAGUUGUUCAUAUUCUAUCUGCAAAAGUGAUGUGUGAUGAUAAUGGGAUGAGCAACCUGUUUUAGUUUUGGCAAGUUUGAAAGGAUGAUAACUAUAUGUGGUUGUACCUUAUCGCAAAAGAAAAUAGUAGCUACAGAGGUGUAGAAAUCAGUUUGAGGGGCUGAAAUUCUUUGGGCAGUUGAUGGAUGAGUAUGAAAUUGCAUCGUUCUUAAGUAAUUUUCAAUGCUUGCAGCCAUGGAGGAUUAAUUGGUGAGGAGCAGCAGAGCUAGGAGUAUAUGGACAAGAAGGACUUCCUAAGUUCUACAUUUCUCAAAGCACUCAUUCAAUCUCCAACUAGGAAACUCAGUUGAGAUUGAGGGGGGAUGUUGAAUAUAUCAGUCCACCUCAUCAUUCCAGCUCAGCAAUAGUUAGUUAGGCUGUUAUCAAAUUAGUUAGUUAAAUAGCUUAGGCUGUAAACUAGUCAUGAUGGCUAUAUAAACUGUAUUCUCAUAGUUGUAAAGAUUAAUUCAGUAUCAAUGUAACCAAUUACUGUCUCUCUCUCUUAUUCCCUUUUCUCUCUUCUUCUUCGGUACAUGCUCUUUCUGCAACUCUUCAUUUCUGUUAACAAGCUCCACUCACUGCCAUUUUCUUUUAUUUGUUAUUAGUAAUAUGUGAUUAGUCUGGGGAAAUUGUAGGAGACGUAUACUAACCUACAGGUUUCAACUUCUUAUAUAGAGUCGCAAAGUUGUAAAUUAACAUGUUAUAAACUGAUAGUUAUGGAGGCAGCGUGUGGAUAUGAUCCGAUCACUUAAUUAAAUAGUUAUAUAAUAAUAUUGUGUCUGUGGAUCUUCCACGCAGAGUUUUAUUAUUACACCUACCAAACUUAAGAGCACCCGCAAACUUGAUGAGACAUAUAUCAACACGUGAGAACAAUGAUUGAUCAACAUUACCUCCAUAGUAUUAUUAGAGUGAAUGAUUGUAUGAUAUUAAUUAAGCAUUAAGAUCUUGGGAACUUUAAUGAAAAAUUUCUGGUAUUAUUCAUUUUAAUAAAAAAUUAUAUUUUUACAUUAAAAAGUCAAUCUUAAUACUAUUCACUUUAUUCUUUAUUUUGUCCUUAUUGUUAAAACUCAAAAUUUUCAAGCCAUUUUCAUUAAUUUUCUUUAAGAUCUUUUGAUUUGGCAUGCGGAAGUGUGUGUUUGUAUAUUAUAUAGGGAUAAUACUAAGUUAGGUUCAUAUUAUCUUAACUAGUGAUAAAUUAAGGGUUCUUUCGAGUUAUUCGAAACAGUGGUUUAUAUUAUCUUGACAUACGUGCAACCAAACACAAAAAAGAGAGGCUGUAUUGGCUUCCAAAAUAAAACUAGAUGCAAACAAUAAUGUGGAGUUCCGGUUACUCUUUUGGAAUCAACCAAAGCUGAAUCAUUGAUGCCUACUUUCAGAAAGUUUUCCUUUUCUGCAUGCAGAUCUUUUCAAUGGAUGUAGCUCGUUUUGGGAGGUAACCACUUACUUCUUCGAGUUCAUUAAUUUUAGUCAAUCUAAAGUAAUUUAAUUAAGUUUAUUAACCUUACAAUUUUGAGCGUUAAUACUCAAUUUUGGAGGAAUUGCAUCACGUUUACGUAAAGGCAAUCGAAAUAAUAGAGUGGAAUUAAAUUUCAAUUACGGAAUACUCCAGUAUUUACUAAAUAUUGGAGAAUAAAAAAUUUGAUAGCACCCACUCAAUUUUUUUAAUCCAAUACUAAUUCAUACUCAAAUUUUGGAAUAAAAAAUCUAAUACUAAUUCGUACUCAUCAAAUGAAAGUAAAAUCUAAUUCUUCAUUUUUUAAGUACUUAAUUAUUGUAAUGUGAGUAAACGCAUGAAAAUCAUGAUUUAGAAUAUUUUCUAAUGCAGACUCUAAGUCUGAAAUUGAAAUAUAAAGAUAGCCCUUGAAGGGUCGAUUCUGGUUAAUCUAGGCAUGAGAAUACGAAAAAAUACACACAAAGUUAUUAAGAUAGCUUUCCUUUUUUAUAUUUUAGCGAUAGUCUAGUCUAAUCCAACAUUAGACCACAUUCAGUAAUUCAAACUAAGAGAAGGGGGAUUCAAACUUGGCUACACUCGGAUUCUCAUAUUAGGAUUGAUUCUGAAGUAAAAGAAUAUAACCAAGUUGAUCAAGAAAUUUCAAAAUUUCUAAUGGAAACUUAUUAGAAUUUUUUUGUGAAUGUGUUGAAGUUGGGAUUUUUUUGUUUUCGUAUUGAAGUUGGGAUUGAAACAGAAGAUAAAGCAUAAUAUAAAGUUUCAUUACAAUUAACAACAUGUUCUAUUAAAUGAAAGUGACUAAAUAUUGAAAAACAUGCUACGCCGCGUUGAUCAACUCCGGCAACGAGCAUUAGCACUGCAUCCACGGUUGUAGGGGUUGCUCUGAUUCUGAGCACCCGGCUUGCAGUUGUUGGAGGAAGCACCUCUCUGAGAGCAAGGAACAGUGUUUCUCUGCAGCGCUUCAUAGCUUAUGUUUCGUGAGGUGGCCAAGAUGCGCCUGCUAAUCUCCGAGUCCAUGCCAAACUCAUCAUCACGAUCAUCCAUGCACUCUGCUACAGAACCCUCGCAGCGAGGUCUCACUGGAGCCCAGCUCACCCCAUGAUCGCCGCCUGCAUCAACGGAGAUGACCAGAGCGGCCGCGAAAAUCAACGAAAAGAUAAUCGCAGAGGAAUUAGCCAUAGGUUUUGGUACGGUCUGUGUUUUUAGCUGCCAACUUGUAUUUUGUUGUACGCCUGUUUAAUUACAGAGGUAGAGAGAGGGGGCGGCAAGAAAGAGAAGAGAUAAUCGGUGAAAUUUUGAUGUGUAUAUUCUUUCACCCUAUUGUGCUAAUUAUAGUAGUAAAAAGGGAAAAUUUUUGUCUUUCAAGUAAUUCAUAGGAGUUAGGGAAAAUCCUUGUCUCUCAAGUAAUCCAUCUAAAAUAGGACAUUAUGUAAAAGAUAUUAUACAAUUCCAUAAGGAUUUACACAAUCAUAUUCCUAAUUAAAUUAAGACUGUGACAUAUUUAAAUUUGGUUAAAUAAAAAUUGGAUGUUGAUUUCUUUAAGGAGGUAAUUACUUAAUUGACAUGCUUUAAUUCAACCUUAUUCCAAUUGCAACAAAGACAGCUGAAAUUGAAAUAAUUCGUGAUUUAUUCAAAACCUAACAAGAAAACAAAAUCAACAACUACUACAAAAUAUGCUCGUAGAGAUUUCCGGGAUGUUUCUGCUCUUAAGUGUUUUUGCUAAAAGCUCUUUUAUCAGUACAAGGUUGAGACUUUAGUUAAAAAACUAAGUUGUUCUCGAAAAAAUAUAAGCAUGCCAAUAGAUUGAACUUGUUUACAACAUCAGCAUUAUAAUAAUAUCACACUCAAUUCAUUCUUGCUCAUAGAAUUAAAGACAAACCAAAUCAGAAACCGAAAUAAGCAACAGUGCUAACUAGCUUGCUCAGCUCUCAGGUCUUUAUUCUUGAAGAUAGUAAUAUUACUCAAUGUUCCAUAUCGUAUGUAUGCAUAAAUCUUGUGCUUGGCGCUUAUUCCUUGAUAAGAUGUGCAUCAACAUCUUUAAUGACAUUGACCAGAAAGCUGAGGUACUUCUGUGGAGGCGGAUCGUUCUCGUUGAGUUUUUUAUAUUCUAAAGUAAUUUUCACAGAACCUCCUUCACUAUUUGGAGUGACCUGGAAAAUGAUCUUGUAGCUUUUGUAAUUGUCCAGCACAUGUGAUCCUUCCAACCCUGUAAGACUCACCCGCUUGUUUGCUUCAUCUAUUUCCACCUUUUCCUUGUAAGUCUCGACAUUUCCAUCUACACGUCACAUGGAAGAGUAUAAUUAUACAGCUAUCCAUGGUCCGAUCCUUUAAAUAUUCAUCGUGUGGUAAUGUAAACCCUAUGCAUGGAGGUCUUGUCAUUUUUAAUUCUAAAAGUACAUAUAUAUGAGGUAACGCAAACCCCUAGCUUGCUAGGUUUCAAGUUAGCAUGCCUAAUUAUUUUGCAGCAGGUUAGUCUGUGGUAUUAAAAAAAAAAUGUUAGUCAUAAGUAUAACCUUAACAAUGUUUGGUUGUAAUUUGCUUGCUCCUUCAUGCAAUCUCACAGUCUCACUACCACCUCCACAAGUUUGCGGAGUAAGCAUCUUCAUUCGCCCCAAAAGGGCUUCGUUUCACUAUCUUUUACACAGCGGAGGCUGUAUAAAGCUACGACAGAACAAAAUUCGGCACCCGGGAGAGGGACGAUCUCCAGAGAUUCUUUAACAUUUUUUGUAUUUCUUUUUUUGUUGAAUCAUUUCUUGUAAUUUAAACAUUUAGCGUCAUCUUGUAAUUUAAAUAUUACCUAUGGUGUAUUUCCAGAGUUUGACAGAGCCAGAAGUUUCCCAGUCACCUUCAUGUACCGCAACAUCGUGUAUUUUAUCAGAGGCUGCUUUGGGGAAGUCAUAGUGCUGGUUGCUGAUGAAUUUGUACAGCUUAUCAGCGUUGGCUUUGAUCUCUACCUCAGCCUCCAUAGUCUCCAGCUUGCAAGUACCAGCUCCACUCACAGCCAUUUUAUUUUAUUUGUUCUUUAUAAUAUGUGAAUAACGAUAGUGUAAGUCUGGGGAAUUGUAGGAGACGUAUACAAACCUAUAGGUUUCCACUUCUUAUAUAUAAAGCCAUGUUAUAGUUACGGAGGCAGUAUGUGGAUAUUAUCCGAUCACUUAAACAGUUAAAUGAUAACAAUGUGAGAGUGGAUCUUCCACGUAAAAUUUUAUCACCACUACACACCUACCAGAAUAAAACUUUUUUCUUUUUUUUUUUAAUUAAAAGAAGAAAUGUCAAUUUCAUUCCGCAUUAUUAUCAUGGAACAAGACAUUAUUUUGAAUACAUUGAAGAAGAAAAAAAAAUAUAUAUAAUAAGUUAGAGGGGACAUGAAGCCUAGCCCUAACAAGAAGUAGAAAACUAUUUGAAACAACAAUCAAUUAAGACAACUCCUAAGAGAAACAAGAAUUUGGAAACACCGAAAGAUUAUGAGCAAAAGUCAUAACUGCACAUGACGGAUAAGAAUCACACAAAUAAUGAAAACUAACAUGAUCAACAUAAUAGUUUGCUAAACAAUUUGUUACAUGAUUUCCUUCCCGAUUAACGUGAGAAAACUGAACAUGCAUGGAAGAGAGAAUGGUAUAGUAAUUUGUCAAAUCAACCGAUAAACUAUGGUGCAUUGCCAAACAAGAAUUACACUCAUUUCAAAGAGAAUGCUGCUAACCCCUUUCGAAAGCAAUAUAAAUAACAUGAAUAAUAGCUUUAAGUUUCACUUCCAAAGCAGUAACAAUGCCAAAAAAAUCUUGUAUUAAAGCAUCAAAGAGACCCAAGUGAUCACGAAAAAUACCACAAAAACCAGCAAACUUGAUGAGACAUUUCAACACGUAUAUAUAUAAGAGGAUCAAUGAUUGAUCAACUUUACCUCCAUAGCAUUAUUGGAGUGAAUGAUUGUACGAUAUUGAGGCGUUUGUUUGGAUUUGGCACGAGGAAAUGUGUGUAUAUAUUGUAUAUAUAGUGAUAAAACUAAUUUAGGUUUAUAUUACCUUAACUAGUGAUAAAAUUAAGGGUUCUUUAGAGCUAAUAGAAAUCAAUGGUUUAUAUUAUGUUGACAUAACCUAGAGAGAGAAAAAAAAGAGGUUGUAUUGUCAUCAAAAUAAAAUUAUGACACAAACAAAUAAUGUGGAGUUCAUGUUACUUAUUUGGAAUCAAUCAAAGCUGAAUCAUUGAUGCCUAAUUUCAGAAAAGUUUUUCUUUUCUGGAUGCAGCAUCUUUUCACAGGAUUUUUUUUUCGGUUGUUGUAUUGUGAAGGAACUUCUUGGAUAGUUUUUUUUCCCUUUUACACUAGCUUAGUGUCUUCCUGCCAAAAUAAUGACACAGAAAUUUUCAUCAAAAGGGUUGGCGAUGUCGGGCAGCAAAUGUAGUUUCCCGUGAAAUUGCAAAACUUGCUCACAAUCUGAUGAUUUUGUCUCUUGGGUUGGCUCUCCCUUCUCCUAACUGCUGAAGACUGAUGAAGCAGAAAUUUAAUCAUCAAUGAAUUUCCUUGACUAAUCCAUUAUCUUUCCGUUGCCCGUUCUCUUUGAUUUGUUCAUAAUCCGAUUAUUGUUCAUUCCAAUUCCAAGCGCGUAAACGUGCCCUCAUAGUUAUGGACUUGUUCGCAUCGUUUAAUUUUCCUUGAAUACCUGACUUUGUCGCCUAUGGUUUCACAAGAAAAUAAUCUCUUUGUUAAACCAGAAAAUUUAACGGUUCAUUAAUUAGCAACUAUUUCAUUUUUUAACAAUAUUUGGCUACUCAAAGGAUGAGUAAGAGUUCCUACUCAAACCUAUUUGUUGCCGAUCCAUAGAACUUCAUGUUUAUAAUAGAGCAGUUCAUAUUAGAAAUCACUUUAUAAAAAUUGUCUCUACAAAAAAUCAAUUAGACUAAGGUCGUUUAGUAGUCGAACUGUGAAAAAACAAAGGAAAGAAAUUGGUGAAAACAUUACAAACCAUUUAUGUAUUUACUAGAAUAAAUUGACUAAAUGACCUUAAUUUUAAUUCAAUUUUUGCAGAAAUGAUCUCCACAGUGUGAUUCAUAAUAUGAACAGUUCUGUUCAUAAGCACAAACUUCAGUGAUUCGAACAUGAAAAAUUUUGAGUGGGAGUUCUUACUCAUCUUUGAGUAGCCAAGCAUUGUUCUUCAUUUUUUUUUAUGUCAGUAAUAGUCUGACAAAGAACAAUAAUAAGUAAACUGUGAAAAAAAAAAUAUUUUACAAAUGGAAAAACAAACAAAAUGAAAAAGAAAAUAAAUUAAUAUUUUAAGUUGUUUUCACUUUGAAAAUUUUGUUUUAUUCAUUCCCUCUUUAUCUAAUUCUUAGCCUUCAUGUAUUGAAUUAUGCAUUGUAUUGUAGAAUCCAAAAAAAAAAAAAAAAAAAAACUUUUUUGGAAUCCAUAUGUGUAUAAGCAUGAAAUUAUAGCCCACCCAUAUGAAAAUUUUGACUCCGCGGUUGCAUGUAAGGAUAAACAUGCCAAUAGAUUAAACUUAUUCACACUAUAACAUAAAAAUGCUAUUACACUCAAUUAUAGAAGUUGCUCAAAAGACUAAAGACAGUCCAAGUCGGAACUAAACAACAAGGCUAUAGCUUGCUCUUCUUCCAGCCUUUAUUCUUGAAGAUAUAAGAUUAUCUCCCCUCUUAAUCUCUCUUUCCAUUCCUCCUCUCCUAUUUAAAUGUUUACCGCGUCAACAUCUUGUUUUAAAUUUAUUAUAUAGAGAAAAAGACAAAAAGAAAAGUGUAAGAUGAGGAGGGAGAAUGAAAUGGUAUUGGAAGGUAGAGAAUCCUACUCCAAGUGUUCGUUAGGGGAGAGGGGGACCCUGAGAGCAGAAGACUCUUCAUCUUCAGGUUUGAGAGUAAACGCUUUACUGUUGAAGAUAUAUAGUGAUUGACACAUCAUCAUAAGUGCUACAUCAGCUAUUGGAGUUAGUUAGUUUUUUAAGAAUCAGUUACACAAGUGGCUUAGCUGAUAAGCUACAUGUGCAGACUAUAUAAAGGAAUCAGGGGUCUUUUGUAUCUCUCUUCAUCCUUAUGAAAUAACAAAACUUUUACUCAUUUCUUUCUCUAGUUCUCUCUCUAUUCCUUUUGAUCUUUCUCUCUCUAUUCCUUUGAUAUUGCUUGCAUACAUUCAUCUGUUAGUUGUUAGAUGAAUGUUAUCAUGGUAUCUUCGCCGAGGGUUCGAUCUCGUGGUGUGUAUUUCCGCUGUGUUGUGCCAAAAGAUUGUCUUGAUUGCUGUGCUGUGCUUUAGUGGGUUAAUGAGCUUUUGGCGUUUGGGAAGUCAGACUUCGAGUUUAUCAGGUGUUAUUUUUCUUUUUGCACUCCAAGUGUGUGUGUAAUUGUCGCAAUGAUGAAUCUUUUGUGAAAGACUAAAAGUUGAAGGCCGAUAGCCAUUUCUUGAUGUUUGGAAUAUGAUAUUGAAUGUCAAUAGCCAUUUCUUGAUGUUUGGAGUAUGAUAUUGAAGGCCGAUAGCCAUUUUUCUGAUUGAAUAAUUGUUGAAGCGUUUUCUGUCAAAGCAUAAAGGCCGAUAGCCAUUGCUUUUGUUUGAGUGUUUGUUGGGUUUUUUCACAAGAACAAGGCCGAUAGCCAGUAAUGUGUGUUCUUGGAGUUAUUAUACUUCUUGAAGAUUGUUUGAGUACUUGAUUUCUUGAUUCAGUUUCUAUCAACAAUAUGGCGUUUAGUUCUAUCAAAAUUGAAAGUCUUUUGGGCAUGAUCACUGUUAAGUUGAAAGAAGAUAAUUUUGUCAAAUGGGAUUAUCAGUUUCAAUAGGUGCUUAAGGGGUAUGAUUACUUUGAUUUCUUUAGUGGGGAGUCUCAGUGUCCUCCAAAGUUUGUAAUUAAUACUGAGACUGGGGUCACUAAAGAAAUUACUACUGCAUAUAAAGACUGGGUUAAAACAGAUGUCUCUCUAUUGAGUUUGUUGAUUGCUACACUUUCGGAUGAAGCUAUAGACUAUGUCAUUGGGUGUAAAACUUCUCAAGAAGCUUGGAAAUCUUUUCAGGAACGAUAUGCAUCUGUAUCUGUUGUCCGGGUUAAUCAACUCAAGACUGAGUUUCAUACUGUACAUAAAGGUGCAGAUUAUGUUGACAAGUAUUUGCUUCGAUUGAAGGUUAUCAAGGAUCAACUGGUUGCUGCAAGGGAGAGAAUCACUGAGAAUGAUUUGGUCAUUGCUGCUUUGUCUGGUUUACCUCCAGAGUUUGAAAUGAUCAGGACAGUAAUCUUAGCAAGAGACACUCUGAUUUCAAUGAAAGAUUUUCGAGCUCAACUAAUUGGGGCUGAAGGCAGUAUUGAGUCUCGACUGACAACUUUAUCAAGUUCUAUGGCUGCCAUGUAUGUUCAGGGCAAUGGCUCGAAUACACAGGGAUCUCAGGGAAAUACUCCAAGUUAUGAACAAUGGGAGAGUUCAAAUGCACAAAGGUCUCAAGGGAGGAAUAAUUACAAUAGUGGUAAUAACAACAGGAGGUAUAAUGGGAAUAAUUUCAACAAUCGAAAAUUCUCUGGUGGUUAUAAUGGUGGGAAUAAUAAUUACAGGCCAUAUUCUACUUUUGGGAAUAAUGGGAAAGGUGUUCAAAAUGGAGGUUCUCAAAGUUAUUUUUCUGGUAAUGGAAGCAAACAAGGAAACACUUGGAAUGGUGAUACAAAUUACAGAAAUGCUAUAUCUCCUGAAUGUCAAAUCUGCUAUAGAAGAGGUCAUACAGCACCAAAUUGUUACUUUGGAGCUGAUAACAAUCAAUCAUCUGGAGGGAUCUUGGUAUGUCAGAUAUGUGGGAAAAUAGGUCAUCGGGAUUUGGAAUGCUUUCAUAGAAAUAACUUCUCAUAUCAAGGCAGUGCACCACCCACAUCUCUUGUUAGGAUGGCUGCUCAAGGCUCAAAUGUUGCAACUGAAGACUCAAAUAUCCAUGGUUUUUCAGCUGCUGAUACAUAGGUAGUUGACACAAGUGCAACUCAACCACAUGACAUCACAUGUCGAAGUUUUAAAUCAUAUCACUCCUUAUAAUGGUGAUGCCACGAUCACUGUUGGUAAUGGAGAAGGUUUGGUGGUUAAAAAUAUUGGUUCUUCUGUUCUUAACACUCAACAAAAGUCACUCAUUUUGCAAAAUGUGCUACAUGUUCCACACAUUACAAUGAAUUUGUUGUCUGUUAAGAAAUUAUGCAGAGAUAAUAAUUGCUGGUUUGUAUGUGAUGAUCUGAUCUUCUUGAUACAGGACAAAGCAACUCGAAGGAUUGUGUACCAAGGCCAGAGUGAUGAUGGGGAGCUCUUCAAGAUACCAAUAACAGUGCUGUCGAGAUCCAGAGUACCAAGUAUUGAAAGAUGUGCUGCUUUUGUUAGAAAGAAGCUAAAGACUGCAGUUUGGCAUAAAAGGUUGGGUCAUCCAUUUGAAGAAGUGCUUACUGCAAUGUUGAAUAAGUCUAAAGUAUUAGCUAGUAUAGAUUUGUCUCCAUCUAUAUGUACUGCUUGUAUUCAAGGCAAAAUGACUAAGUUGCCUUUCUCUGUAAGUCCCGAUAGGUCAAAAGUUGUAUUUGAAAGGAUACAUUCAAAUAUAUGGGGUCAUUCACCGCAUAGGUCAAUAGAGGGUUAUAGGUAUUACAUAAGCUUUGUAGAUGACUGCUCUCAAUUUGUAUGGAUUUUUCAGAUGGUUAAUAAAUCCGAUGCUUUUCCAAUCUUUACCAAGUUUCUUACAUUUCUUGAGAAUCAGUUUAAUGCUUUUGUUAAAGUUCUUCAAUCAGAUGGUGGAGGUGAGUAUAUGAGUAAUGUGUUUAGACAGUUGUUGGAGAUAAAAGGAAUUAUACACCAAGUUUCAUGUCAUCAUACACCACAACAAAAUGGUCUUGCUGAACGAAAACAUAGACAUUUGGUUGAGAUUGCUAUUAGUUUGCUAUCAGAUGCUCAAUUACCUUCAGCAUUCUGGUAUCAUGCUUGUUUUCAUGCUGCAUUCUUAAUCAAUAGGAUGCCAUCUAGAACUUUGAAGAUGUAGUCUCCCUAUCAAGUUGUGUUUGGUUGUGUUCCUGAAGUGCAGCAUCUUAAAGUCUUUGGUACUGCAGUUUAUCCUCUAUUGAGACCAUUUAAUAAAAAUAAAUUGGAGCCAUGGUUAGCUCAAUGUGUAUUUCUUGGUUUUGCUCAUGGAUAUAAAGGAGUUAUUUGUAAUGAUAUCAAGACUAGAAAGUUCAUUCUGUCAAGGCAUGUAGUACAUGAUGAAGAUGUAUAUUCGUUUAAACAAGUUUUGCCAUCUAAGGAUUCUACACCUACAAAUAGGUGUUCUCAGACACUUGUUUUGAUUCAGUUACAAGUUCCAAGUGAAAAAGUCCUGCCUCAUACACACAUACAACAUGAUUCACAAGCAGCUAGUUCUAUACAUAUAUCAGCAAGUGAUACUGGUUCACAUCACAGUAUUCCUGUAAAUGGUGACAGUAUAAAUAUGGUUGGUGAAUUGAAUGUUUCUAGUUCGGACAAUACACAGGUGAUUCAACCUAGUGAUCAGGAUACAAAUUCGACUGAUACCACUACUCUACAUGCAUCUCCAAGCUCUUCCCAUCAUCACUCUGGUACACAAUCCUUGUUGCAUGUCCACUCCGAGUCACAACUUGAGGUAAUCCUUCCUGAUUUAUCUCCAUUUGAUCUCAUUUUACAUACUGCACCAUCGACUUACUCAAUGGUCACUAGAUUGAAGAGUGGAACAAUUGAGAGACAAAAUUAUGCUGCUUUAAUAGCACAAUGUCCUGAGCUUUGUUCUCUCCAAAUCACUAAUGAAGAACCUUUCACGGGUGGCUAUUCCUUUCUUUCUGAGAUCACUGAUGCUUCAGAACCGAAGACAUUUCGGAAAGCGGCUACUAAUCCACAGUGGCAAAAGGCAAUGCAGGAGGAAUAUGAUUCACUUCGAGCACAAGGAACUUGGCUAUUGGUUCCUGCACCUGAAGAUAGAACAAUUGUAGGAAGCAGAUGGGUGAAGUGAAGAAAAACCCCGAUGGCAGUGUCUCUGAUGUGAAAAUUACUUGACACACAAAUUAAACCCUAUUGAUGACAAUUGUAGCAAAGAUGUUAGUAGGGAUCGUUCUAAACCGGGAAUUAACUAGGGCUGCUAAUCUACUCAAAUUAAACUCUAAAACACUAAACUAGACUUAAAAACACAAGAAUAGACUCUAUAGACUCUAAACUGACCUAAGACACUCAAAUCUGCAAAACUAAGUGAAAUUGACUCAAUUCUAAACCUAACAAGUGAAUUGGACGAAAUUAAAACUUACUUUGACUCAAAAGAUUAAAAGAAAACAGAUUGUAACUUAACUAACUUAGAAAACACUUAAAAGACUCAAAACAGCACAAUACUAACAAUUAGACUCAAAACAGAUUCUAGAGAUGAAAUUGGACGAAUUUAAGACUAAACUAAGACCCAAACAAUGGUUAUGGACUAAACCUAACCUAUAUUGACUCAAAACACUCUAAAGAACCUAAUUAGGACAGAUUCUGACCUAAUAACAUAAAACAGAAAAGGGUGUUUGAUUUCUGACGAAAUUGAAUUAAAACUAAACAAAUUGCAAAUCAAAGUAAACUAAAACGAAAUUAAGAUGAAUUCAAGGGUGAAAAGCUAGUUAGAGGAUCCUUCUCCACACAUGAACAUAUGCAACAUAAAUCGAUUUCCAGUAUUGUUUCUUUAAACCAUGAACGACAAUGCCCCAAAUUAAUCGUGAAUGCACAAAUUAACUCUCAGAUUUCCCUAAAUUCAUUGAAUUGGAUGAAUGCAUGCAACAACCCAAAUUAUUCUUCUCAAGUUCCCUAUAUGAACAUCAUGAUAGAGAUACAUUCAAAGAUCAUUAAAUUCCAUGGAAAUCAUAAGCAUUGACAAGGCAAUUAUAACUAUGAACUGCAUGAUACUUUUGCCAAGAAUCUACUUAACACGAUUGUGACUAACAAUCUCCACUACUUGUAAUUAUAAGUUUCUAACGAUUAGGUGAAAGUCCCUUAUAAUUUAGCAUCAGAUUCAAGCAUGCAAACUAAGUAGGCCUCCUUAAUCAACACACAAGAAUAAGUUAUCAAUCAAAUAGAUAAGUAAAUCGCAUUCAUGUUUUACGAAACAAUAACUGAAAGGAAUCAAUUCAUAUUAACAUAUGUCCAUGGCUUCAAAUUCACCACUAACUAAUAAGAGUUUAGUUCCACAUGUUCAUAACAAUUGAAACGCAAAUUAAAAUAAACAUCGAAACUGAAACGAGGGAAGAAAAAACUAUGAAAACUCCCAAGGAUGCAGAUGGCUUGCGCACAAGGCCCUCCUUCAUCAAUGGAAUGCACGACAAGGUUCUCCUUCUUCUCCAAAAGGUGCGGCAGAGAUGUAUAUGGAUGUAGGAUGGUGUUUUGUGAUGUAGAAUGGUGAUUAGGGUUGCGGCAAGGUGUUUCUGAAUGGUGAAGGGUGGUGACAAAUUUAGGCCUUAAAAACACAUAUAUAUAGGCAUGGCAAAGCUAGGGUUUUCACAAAAUUUGAUGGGAAAAGGUUAGGGUUUUGGAGAUAAAAGGCUUGGCCCAUUCAAAGGAGAAAAGAAUUAGGGUUUUAUGCAGAUUCCUAGGCUUCUAGAACACUAGGUGCGGCACAACCCUAGGGUGGAUGGACUAGGGUUUAAAUUUAGCAGAAAAUAAAGGAUUAGGGCCCUAGGGUGCGGCAUGGGCUUAGAACAAAGCUGAAAAAGGAUUAGGAAACUUCAAAUUCAAGAGUAGAAACUUUCAAGAAUGGAAACCUCCAAGAAUAGCAACUUCCAACUUUAGAAACUUUGGUUUCCAAUUCUGAACUCUUUGCUCUUCAUGUUCAUUUCUUCAUUUCUUCCCUCCUUUGAUCUUCAAUUUCGUUCAUCCCUUUGGCUCCAAGCAUGUGAUAUCCAUUUUAUGCUCAAAACUGCUUCAAAAGGCUCCAAAUUGCACUUUCUCGCCAACUUUGUCAUUUGGACCUAAAAACACACGAAAAUAGCUUAAAACACUAUAAUAACCACAAACUAACUAUAAAAGUGCAAGAAAACAAGCUAACUAAGUUGCAUAAAUAUGCUCCUAUCAGUCUCCCAGUAUAAAGCAAGGCUUGUAGCUCAAGGGUUCUCCCAAGAACAUGGUAUUGACUACUUGGACACAUUUAGUCCUGUUGUUCGACAUACUACUGUAAGGAUUAUUCUUUCUUUAGCUGCCAUGAAUCAUUGGACUCUUCGACAAUUAGAUAUCAAGAAUGUUUUUCUACAUGGAGAUUUACAAGAAGAAGUUUAUAUGCAGCAACCACAAGGGUUUAUUGAUCCAUCAUAUCCUUCUCAUGUUUGCAAAUUGGUCAAGUCAUUAUAUGGCUUGAAACAGGCUCCACGCGCGUGGAAUUCAAAGUUUACAAGUUAUUUGACAGUUAUGGAGUUUCAUGCCUCAGCUUCUGAUACAAGUUUGUUUGUCAAGAAGGAUGACUCUGAUAUCAUCAUCUUAUAACUUUAUGUUGAUGAUAUCAUCUUAACUGGUUCUAAUCCUUUGAAGAUCCAAAAAGUGAUUCAAGAAUUAUCUGAGGUAUUCGAGUUGAAGGAUAUGGGACAGCUUACAUAUUUUUUGGGUUUACAAGUUCAAUAUAAAGCGGAUGGCAGUGUUUUUGUUAAUCAGUCUAAGUAUAUCAAAGAUCUUGUCCAUAAAGCAGAUAUGGAAUCGUGUAAACCAGCAACCACUCCGUGUAAACCUCAUCAUCAAAUGUUACACUCUGAGGGACAAUUGUUGACAUAUCCAACUUCCUAUAGAAGCAUUGUGGGAUCUUUACAAUAUCUGACCUUUACUAGGCCUGAUAUUGCCUUUGCUGUAAACACAGUAUGUCAGUUUAUGUCCUCACCAACUGAUGUUCAUUUUGGCGUUGUUAAACGCAUCAUUCGUUAUCUUCAAGGAACCAUGAAUAUUGGUAUUACUUUUUCUGCAAACACAGUUUCAAAGCUUACUGUGUUUUCUGAUUCUGAUUGGGCUGCAGACUUGAAUACUUGUCGGUCUAUCACUGGUUAUGUUGUGUACUUAGGCAAUAAUCCAAUUUCUUGGCAAUCGAAGAAACAAAACUCGGUAUCCAGGAGUUCUACUGAGGCUGAAUAUAAAGCCUUAGCACAUACUGCUGCAGACAUAGCUUGGAUUCGCAAUAUAUUGAAGGAUUUGGAUGUACUUUUGGAUGCUCCACCAACAAUUCACUGUGACAAUAUGUCCGCUAUUGCCUUAAGUGCCAAUCCGGUGUUUCAUUCAAGAAUCAAACACCUUGAUACAGACUACCAUUUUGUACGCGAACGAGUGCAGCAAGGCGAUCUGGAGGUGUUGUAUAUCCCAACUGAGGAGCAAACUACCGAUGUUCUUACCAAAGGUCUUCACAGUCCUUCACUUGUCAAACAUUUUUACAAUCUCAAGCUGGAAAAUCCCGGUUGAGAUUGCGGGGGGAUGUUGAAGAUAUAUAGUGAUUGACACAUCAUCAUAAGUGCCACAUCAGCUAUUGGAGUUAGUUAGUUUGUUAAGAAUCAGUUACACAGGUGGCUUAGCUGAUAAGCUACAUGUGCAGACUAUAUAAAGGAAUCAGGGGUCUUUUGUAUCUCUCUUCAUCCUUAAUGAAAUAACAAAACUUUUACUCAUUUCUUUCUCUAGUUCUCUCUCUAUUCCUUUCGAUCUUUCUCUCUGUAUUUCUUUGAUAUUGCUUGCAUACAUUCAUCUGUUAAUUCUUAGAUGAAUGUUAUCAUUUACAUCCUACACCAUGCUAAUAAUAUCCACCAAUUCUCUAUUUUAUUUAAAAAUAAAUAAAAAAUAUAUAUGAGGUAACGCAAGCUCUAGCUAGGUUUCAAGUCUACCAUGUUUAUUUUGUAGCAAGCAAGUGGAAUUAAUUAAGAAAAAUUUCAGUUUGGGUUAGGAGGAUAGAGGAGGGUGAUUAAUAUUACCUUUGGUGUAUUUCCAGACUUCACAGAGCCCGAAGUUUCCCAGUCCCCUUCAUUUACUGCAACAUGGUGGUACAGUAUCAGAGGCUCGGGAAUGUACACGUGGUGCUGGUUGCUAAUGACUUUGUACAAACGAUUUAUCAGCGUUCGCUUUGAACCCCCCAGUCUCCAGCUUGUAAUCACCAGCUCCACUCACAGCCAUUUUUUAUAAAGGAAAUUAAUGAAAAUGAUUCGAAAAUUUUGAAUUUUAACUAUAAUAAUAAAUAAAUGGUAAAGUAAAUAGUACCAUGAUUGAUUUUUAGUGUAAAUAUAUUAUUUUUCCUUAAAAUAAACAAUAUCAGAAGUUUUUCGUUCAAAUUCUCUUUUUUUUAAUUAGUAAUUAAUAUUAAAGUUCAUCUAAGAUUAUUUUUUAAAGGAGAUAUAUAUUAAAAGUAUCAAAUAGAAAAACAAGACAGCAUCAUUUAAAAAAAGGAAAACUAAUGAAAAUUGCUUGAAAACUUUGAGUUUUAACGAUAAAGACAAAAUAAAAAGUAAAGUAAAUAGUACCAGGUUUGACUUUUUAAUGUAAAAAUGUGGUUUUUCGUUAAAGUGAACAAUAUCGCUGGUUUUUCGUUAAAACUCCCUUCAAAAAAAGGGAAAGGGAUCAUUUUCGGAUUUGUUCUACCUAAUCAUCCUCAUCAAAUAAUCCGAGCUUUUAAAAUUUGAUCUAACGGCUAAAGUUAUUAUAACUUUUAGAAUUAGCCCGUAUUUUUAACCGUUUAAUCAAAUUUUAAUGAUCUGAAUUAUUUGAUGAUGAGAAUUAGAUAAAAAAGAUUGAAUGAUCGCUUUUCCAAAAAAGGAAAAAGAAAAACAAGACAGCAAGUUUCUUUUAACAGAUGAAUUUUAUUAGAGGUGGAACUGGUGUCCAACAUCCCAGGUGUUUUCUGAUAGCAUAACCCAAUAACGUCAAAUCCAUUAAUUUGAUUAUUUAAUAAAUGGCUCCCACAAUAGGAUUUGGAUCCUCUCCGAGGCAAUUGGUCGGAUCCUUCUGAUCAAUGUUUGUGGACUGUUAGAUUUUUAUUCAACGACUAUAAAUAAGGGGACAUUCUAAAGUUAUAAUAAUUGUAGUCGUUGGAUAAAAAUUCAACGGUCCAUAUACAUCGAUCUGGAGGAUCCCGACUCGAAGAGGAUCCAAAUCCCCCACAAUACACCAAUCACGUACCCCACCCAACCAAUUUACACAAUUUUUAACAGUAGGUCCCACAAUAUAUAAGAAAAAAGAAAUUUGACUCAUCAUUUGAAAAAAUAAAAAAAAAUUAACAUUUAACUUCAAAUACUCAUUUUAGUCAUUAAAUAAAAUUUAACAAUUUAUAAAUGAGUAAUGUUAGAGAAGCUAAUUUUUUAGACUAAAUUUUAUAAAUUAUAUGUAUUUGUUAACGAUUAAAUUAUUAUUUAAGUGUUGCUUAAUGUUUAUAUAGAGCCACAACCCACAAAGUCCUAGACAAAUAGCAUGUUUUAGUUAUGGAGGCAGUUGUGGUGGAUAUGAUCUGAUCACUUGAAGAAAAUGACGAGUCUGCGGAUCCUUGUGCAUCUUCAUCUUUGACAUGGGAGGUUUUAUGACUAGACCUACCAAAUUUAAUCACAACAGCGAACUUGAUAAUGAGACAUCAAUAAUUCAACGAUUCAGAAAACUUCAAUUAAAUUGGGACCCAUAAAUAAAUAUGCUAUUACUUCUUUUGUAAUCAAAGCUGGAUCAUUGAUGCCUAAUUCAGAAAGAGAAGUGUUAUUGGCACUUCAAAAGUCUCAUUGUACACUCUUUACAAGUGUAUUUUUCUUUCUUAAUAUAGAAAAUUUGGAGUGUAGAAUAAGAUUUUUGAAAUGCUACUAACAAUUCCCUUAAAAAAAAAAAAGGUUUUUAUGUUUUGCAUGCAACAUUUGGACACAGGAAUAUUCUUUGGGAUUCUAAUUGCGCAUACGUAUUAUCUUUCAAAUAUAUAAAAUUUGAAGUGCAAUUAAAUUUUUAGAAUGUAAAUAAAAGGGGAAACUUGAUAUAACUUCAAUUUUUUGAGCCAAUAGUAAGAAUAGUCCAAUUUAUUAAAAUAAGUCCAAUUCUUUAAAUUUAAUUAUUUUAUUAUCAAUAAUUAUCUCUUAAAAGAAAAAACUUAUUGUAAAAAUCAAAUUUCUUCCUAAUUAUCUCUUUGAUUAUUUCUUUUUAUUUAUUUAUUUGUUAUUUCUUGUUCUUCCUCCUGCUUUAACCCAUUUAUAGAUUUUUUUAAAUUUUUAUAAUCAACCUAUAUCAUAGGUUAAUUGUAUUUAUCUACCUAUAUGACAUAUUCUCUUUCAUAGUCAACAUGUCACAUAUUAAUGUGUCUUGCUUGUAGGUAUAUUAUAUUUUUUUCUACUUUUUAGUUAGGUUUCAUAUCUCACUUAUAGGUAUAAUAUACAUUCAUAUAUUUGCUACUUGAGUUAGGGUUUACUGUUUUGCAGAUAGAUUUAUGUUAGUAUAUUAAUUUUUUUUUGUUUAUAAGAUAUUAGUUAGAUAUUUUGGAGUUGAAAAAUGCAUAAUAUUAAAAUAUUUUAAUUGAUUUUUAAUAUUUUUAGAAAAUAUAAAAGGAGUAUAAAAGAAAUAAAAACAUAUAAUUAGAUAACUGGAGUCACUUCUAAAAACACUCUAUGUUUUUUGACCUGGAUCUAAAAGCCCCUAAAUAAAAUUACCUUCUUUUAUUGGUUUUUUUUUAAGGCUCGCAAAAAUGGUUGUCUUUGUUGUUUGGCGAAGGAACUUCAUGGAUAUCAUCAUAUUGUGGUCUUCUUUUUCACUUGUAUUGCUAAAAAAUAACUAAUUACAAAUCAAUUUUCAUCAAAAGGGUUGUUAAAUAAGAUAUUAAUUAAUGCUAUUUUUUUUCUUGAUACUGUUUGGGUCUCUCAACCUCGAUCUAUUAUUUUGCAUUUUAUUUCUUCCAUGAUCAUAUGUGUCUCCAUUGUUUAACAACAACUAAAAAUACUAUUGUUUCUUUAAAAAAAGUACUAUGUAUUUGACUAAGGCGAUUUUAUAUGACGAUGAGCAACAAAGUGGAGAUGGUGCACUACACCUUUUAUUUUGCAUACCAUAGUUCAUACAUUACAAUCUCACAUAUGAUAUCCCUUCACGUACAUUUGUUACAAGGCAACUUACAAAGCAAAGCAUUUUAAUUACUUGUAAUCAAGCAAAAGGCACGCAUUAUUAACACAAAUAUUAUAUACUAACGAUGGACGUCACACUGUUUCACCAUUGCAUUCUUUUCCUUUCCUUAAUUUAUCAUGCCUUGAUAAAGUGAGCAUCAAGAUCCUUGACGAUGUUAACCAUCAAACCGACGUAUUUGUCCGGACUGCAACAUCCUCAGUCAGUUUCUCAUAUUCAGUCGACAAUUUUGCAAUGUUGUCUUCAUUCUUUUGAGUGAAUUGAUAGACUGGCUUGAAGCUCUUGUAAUACUGGAAGACAUCUCCUUUCAGUCCAUUCAGUGUUAUGGAUUUGUUCUCGUUGUUUGACUACACUUUUUCCUUGAAUACUCGAACUUCGUCCCCUAUGUAUUCACAAGAAAGUGGUCUCUAUAUUGACCAAGGAACAAUAUAAAGGGAGCGUUUGAUAAAUAAUUUGUUUUAAGUUUUCACAAAAAUGAAAAUUGAAGUUAUUUUUGUCAGUUUUCUAAAUUUAUAUUAGUAAUUUUUAUUUUUUGAAGACUGAAAUAACAUGAGAUGGUUGAAUUAUUGCGGCACACCUCGAUUCUUUACCAACAUAUUUUGUUCUAAUUAUCCAUUAUAUCAAUAUAUAUUUUUCACGUAUGGGUUAAAAGUUGUUCGCUUGUGAAUCAGGGUUUAGUUAUUGCGAUCCUUCUAGUAUUGCUGGAUUAUGAUUAACAUAUAAUUGUGUUCUGAUCUUAGAGAAAAAAGGUACAUACCAUGUUAAAUACAUGAAGGUAUUUAUAUAUAAAUAUAGAGCUCGUUUGGAUGUGCUUUUAAAAUGGUUAAAAACACUUUUAGAGAAAGAAAAAAAUUUGUUCCAAAAGCACUUAAAUUGCUUUCUGCAAGAAGCAACAGUUAUGUGCUUUUCCAGGAAGCACUUUAAAUGCUUUUCCAGAAUUAACUUACAUUUUUACCAAGGAUUGGUUUUAAAAACAUUUUCACAAAAAAUGUUUUCAAUCAUUUUAAAAACAUAUCUAAACAAACACAUAUAUUAUGCACGUAUACUGAAAUUCCAACUUUUGAUAGAUCGAGCCAUGAGUUUCCUCCUUCAUGCACGUGAACUCCCUGGAUACUUCCAGAAUAAAUUUUUGGGACGUGUGGCGAGCCUGGCUAUUGAAGAUAUUGUAGAACUUCUCAGCAGGUGCCUUAAUUUCAAUCUCUGUUCGUGCAGAGUCAUGUUUAUGAUCAGUUGGGAUGGUGCUCAACAAUGCGUCGCCAAGGCCUGUUCUAAAGAAAACUUAAGGUCACCCCUCUACUGCUACAGUUAAAUUAUGCAAUAUUAAUUUAUGCUAUAACUUUGAAAAAGUAGUGCUUCGAACGAUCGCAUGAAAAACAUUCGUUUAUUAAAAAAAAGGUAAAUCGUCAAAAUGGUCCUUGAGAUUUGUAUAACUUAUCACUUUGAUCUCUAAGAUUCCAAAUCGAUAAAAGUAGUCCCUGAGAUUGUCUACCAUCCAUCAUUUUGGUCAUUCGGUUAAAAAAUCCGUUAAGUGUCCCGGAGCUCUUAGCCGGAGGUUUGGACAAUUUUCAAAACUUCGUAACUCAAUCGUUUCUUAACCAAAUUUGACCCAUAAUAUAUCAAAAUGAAGAUAGGAAAGUGUAGAAUAAGAUUAUACCUAUUUCAAAGCCCAAUGGUUGCCGAAGAUUGUCAGAAAAUAGCCUCAAAGUUGACUGGUUCGAGUGAAAACUUGAAAACUCGCUGGAAACUGAGUAAACUUUAAACGUUCAUAACUUCUUCAAUACUCAACGAAAUCAAGUGAUUCAAAAACAAAAAUCAUACUUCUCGAUGAGAUGAAGAGAAUGAUACCUUUUUAGAUGGCUAAAUCGUCGUGGUUUGGCCGGAAAGCAGCUCGAAAGUGGCUAACUCGAGACCAAGAUAGCCACUUUCAAGCCGUUUUCCGGCCAAACCACGGCGAUUUAGUAGUUAAAAAAGGUACCAUUCUCUUUGUCUCAUCGAGAAGUAUGAUUUUCAUUUUUGAAUCACUUGAUUUUGUUGAGUAUUGAAGAAGUUAUAAAGGUUUUGAAGUUUACCCAGUUUCCGGUGAGUUUUCAAGUUUUCACUCUGACCAAUCAACUUUGAGGCUAUUUUCUGGCAAUCUCUGGCAACCAUUGGGCUUCGAAAUAGGUAUAAUCUUAUUCUACACUUUCCUAUCUUCAUUUUGAUAUAUUAUGGGUCGAAUUUGAUUAAGAAACGAUUGAGUUACGAAGCUUUGACAAUUGCCCAAACUUCCGGCCAACAGCUCCGGAACACUUAACAGAGUUUUUAAUGGAAUGACCAAAAUGAUGGAUGGUGGACAAUCGCAGGGACCACUUUUAUCGAUUUGGAAUCUCAGGGACCAAAGUGAUGAGUUAUGCAAAUCUCAUGGACUAUUUUGACGAUUUAUCCUUAAAAAAAAUUCAGAUAAAGAAAAUGAGAAAUUAAUUUCUCAUCCCUCUUUUUUCUAUUACAUUGAUUAAAAUCUUAUUUUUGAUCAAGGUCCUAACUUUCAAUGAACGUCAUUAUUUCUGUUAUAAAUUAUUUAUAUAUCAACAUAAUUAAAUUUUAUUUUUGAAAUAUAUUCAAUUAGUAUUAGAAACAUUACAUUUGGUACAUUUAUAUUUAUCAUUAAACUUUGUAUCAUAUAUUUCUAUUUUUAGUUUGUACCAUUUUUAAUUGGCAACCCUUUUUUAAUUUGUAUCAAUUUUCUUUUUAAUUUUAAUGUGUACCGAUAUAUUAAUUUCAUUUUGUGCCCAUAAUUUUUUUUAAAUUUUUUUAUACUCAUAAUUCAUUUAUAAUGUACCCAUAUUUCAUUAAAACUCUUUUUUUUUCUUUAUAAAUGUACCACUUUGUUAUAUGUAAGAUGUACCAAAUUGUUUUUUUUGUAAAUGUACCAUUUUUAUGUAAAAUGUUCCCAUAUUUAAUGUAAAAUCUAUUUAUUUUUUUAUUAAGAAUGUGUACAUAUUUAUAAUAAAACGUUCCCCUUUUCAAUUUUUUUGAACACUAUGGGUACAUUUGUUUGACAUUUAUUAUUUCAAAGGUAUAUUGUUACCUAUUUUUAUCUAUUUAUUCAAUCAAAAUUUUUGAGUAUUUUUUUUAUUGUAAUCGUUUUUAAUUUAUAUGCUAUAUAAUAUGGGAUUUUAAAUCUCAUAACAUGUCAAGUAAUUAAUAUCAAACAAUGAAAAUACAUAUUAAUAGCCAUAAUGAGGUGUACCUUUAAAGUCAAGGGACUUUGAUAAAAAAUUGAAUACUAUUAAAGGUUUAGUCAAAUAAUGUUAUUGACUAGGGACUGAAUCCAAAGUCUCUCUAAAAAAUAUAUAUAUAUAUAUAAGACAAACGUACGUAAUCACUUUCGGUUCGAUUAAGAACAUGAUUUGGAUCAAUAAUAUUAGGGUGCUAAUAUUGAUAUCAUUAGAUUUCAAUUACUAAUCACUGGUUUUUUUGCAAUAUUAUACUUUUACUCAACUACCACAUUUUUUCCCUUCUGGAUGUAUGAAAAUUUAGGUAUUGCGUUCGUUCUUUUUUGAGAAGUCAUCGCCAACUCCCUUGCCCUACUAUUUUUAUCAAGGAAAAACUCCCCAUGUUUAAAAGCUGUAUAAUUAACCAGGAUGAAUGCUGGACAACUGUCGAAAGCAAAACUCAAAGUUCAUUGUAUAAUUAUAACAGUGAGACUACAGCCUGACGAAGAACAUGAUUGUCAAAAGUUAUAUAAAAAAAAUGAUAUCAGAGUAAAUCUCCAAUGAAUCGGAAAGUGAGUCUUUAAAAUAUAGAGUCUUAAGUGGAUUAGUGUAGAAUAUCUUUUGUACUAAAAAAAAAGUUAUGUAUAUAAUGUUGAGAAUGAAUCCCACAUUGAUAGGAGGAGUGAUAAGGAUUUUUAUCACCUGCAAAUAUAAGGAUAAAAACACUUAAAAAUACUUGCAAAAGUACAAGGUUGUCGUAGUAUAGCAGUUCAAGCAAGGUCAUUUUUCACAGGAAUUGAAUGCAUAGUUUAUGUUUAUACUAAUUCUUAGCUAAUUAUUUAGAACAAAGAUUGGAAAAGGUUGAUUUUGAAUUUAAAAAUAAUAAAAACGAAUUUAAUUAAAAACAAUUAAAGGAAUUUACUAGAGAACAAUUUAAAGAAAGUCAAUUUGUAAAGAUUAGGGUUCCGCCGUUCCCUUAACAAUCCUACGCAAUUUUACCAAUUACUUAUGAAUUUCCACACACAUGCUUUGAAGGUUAGGUUUUCCUAAUGCAUAUUUUUCUCGUGAUGUUCAAGCGAAAACAUAAAUCUAACAUGCAACCCUUUUGUAAUGUUCAGAUCAAAUAUAAACAUGCAAGACUCAUUAAGCUUUGUGAAAACCCUUUGAAAAACCAUGGAACCCUUAAGAGCGUGAUGUUCGCCUUAAGUGAACUUACAAUUACUAAUCAUAAGAAGCCCUCCUCAAUUUCAGGGUGAUGUUCUGUCACAUCCCGGCAUCGUGCUAGGUAGAUAUGAGAAUAUACAUAUAAGGAUCACUCCCCUGGGCGAUGUGGGAUCUUACAAUCCACCCCCCUUAGGGGCCUGACGUCCUCGUCGGCACACCACAACCAGGGUUAGGCUCUGAUACCAAAUAGUCACAUCCCGACCUGGGCCCCCAUCACAUCCCGGGCUCGACUCCACCGUAGCACGAUAUUGUCCGCUUUGGGCCCCGACCACGCCCUCACGAUUUUGUUUCUGGGAACUCACACGAGAACUUCCCAGUGGGUCACCCAUCUUGAGAAUGCUCUCGCGCGAACUCGCUUAACUUCGGAGUUCUUAUGGAACCCGAAGCCAGUGAGCUCCCAAAAGGCCUCGUGCUAGGUAGAGAUGAGAAUAUACAUAUAAGGAUCACUCUCCUGGGCGAUGUGCGAUCUUACAUGUUCCAACCGAAAUUGCAUCAAAUUACUUGUCUAAAAAUCCUAAUGGUCGCAAAUUACUAAGACAAUUAGAUAGCUUUAAUCGCAAUGAUUAAUAAUUCAAAGCAAGCAUGCAUCCAUUCAUAAGGAAAUUAAUAAAAUCACAUAUUCAUGCUAAGGCUCAUGGCUUCGCCCUAGCAAACAGAAAUUAGUUACGAACUAUAAAAACUAAAGAAAAUAUAUUAACUAGAAAAAGGAUUGAAAACACCUUGUAGGUAAAAAGUCUGAAAUUCUCCAAAAUAAUGUGUGCCUUCUCCCCCUAACCUUAAUGGCUAAAAAGCCUUAUUUAUACUACUCCAAAUUAAAACCCUCAUAGAAAAGGUUUUCUAAAAACUAGGAAAUAAAAUAACAAAAGGAUAACUAAGAAUUGCAUUCCUAUUAUGACUAUGAAAUCUGCCCAUAAAAAAGAUAGCCAUGUUUCUGGAUCUUCAGGGUUCCAAAACAGACCCAAAAUGGCUAGAAUUAAAGAUUAGGACCUCCUCUUCAAGUUAGAAGAAGAACCCAAGUCCAAAAUCCAUCAUCUUCCAACCCAAAAGUCACAAAUAAGCUCUGCAGCCCAAUCUGCCAGCACUGCACGCUGGGCAUAAAUUAAUUCACCACGAUCUGAUGCUUUGAGAUAAAAUUAUGAAAUUCUGAUACAAUCUUCUUGACAGACUCACGAACCCACUCCAAUUGGAAUCACUAAAAAAUUCCACCGUUUGAGUACUUUAUGAUCAAAACAAGUUCGCAUGUCCUACAAUAAAAACAUAGAGCAAAGCCUCAAAAUCUCACUAAAAUAAUAACCAAAAUAUACCAAGAAUAGGGAAUAAUAUAUAGUAUAAAAUUGACUCAUUAGGACAUUGCAUGAACUUAUAAGUAAGUUGGGCUACUUUCUAUAUUGCCAAUUGGUUUUAUGGUGUAACCUUAACUUUCUUCAUACCCAUGUGUGAAGCCAAAAGACCACGCACGCUCCAUGUCACCCAUUUGUGUUGUUCACGUAUUAGACUUGAAAAUUCGCCACACGUGAGGGCGCGUAUUAAGAAUGAAUCUCACAUUAAUGGGAGGAUAAAUCUUGCAUGCACCUAUAAGUAGGUUGAAAAACAAUAUUGGACAAAUAUUGUAGAGUACACCACAUUUUAUUUUAUAGAUGCGAUCGACAACCAUAAUCUAUUACAUCACAAUGUCAUAUAUGACAUCCUUCGUACAUCUUUUACAAUACACACAAACCUAAUUAAGAAAAGCAUUUUAUUUAAGUAGGUACGCAUUGAUGAACAUAUGCAUGCAUGAUUACAUAUAAUUGAACCCUUUUUAACAAGACCAGCAAAAGCUCUUUCCAACCGUUGCAUAUGACGUAUGGUUUUUAUUCAUUAAUUAAUUAAUUUAUGCUCCCAGAAGGUGAGCGUCAAGAUCCUGGACGAGUUUAACCAUCAAACCGACAUAUCUAUCUGGAGCUUUAACAUUCUCAUGCAGUUUCUCGUAUUCGAUCCACAGGUUGGCAAUGCAGGUGCCUUCAUCUUUUUGAGUGAAUUUAUAGACACCCUUGAAGCUCUUAUAAUACUUGAACACUUCUCCUUCCAAUCCUUUCAGAGUUGCGGCUUGUUCCCAUCGUCUAGCUCCACCUGUUCCUUGAAUAUCCCGACAUGAUCCCCUAUAUAUAUGCAUGCAUGCAUUCAUGGUUAAUUUCAUAACAACAAAAUAUAUAAACUUUCUCACCCUCUCUUAUUAGGAUCUUGUUUCCACUGUAGCAAAAAGGGGGCAAUAUGACUUAUUUAGGAAACAUGUAUUUACUGUAUAUGACUCUCAUUGUCUAGAACAAAAAUUGAAGGAAGCAUUGAAAUAUAUAUAAGAGGUCAUAUAUGGUAAAUACAUGAUUUCUACGAUUGUUCUAUCUCGACCUUGUUUUUGCUACAAUAAAUCAGAAUUUCUGCGAAAAAGCUGUAAACAUUGAAACUCGUGCUAUGAACGUAUGAUGAUUUGAGCGCAUCUGUUAAGGUAUACAUACAUAUAAAGUGAAUAAUUAAACAGGAAAAUUGAAUUAAGUAGCGGUACCUAGUUCAUAUUUCCAAAUCUUAACAGAGCCGUGUGUUUCCCAAUCUCCUUCAUGCACAUCAACUCCUUUGAUAUGGGUAUUAGAGAUGUUUGGGAUGAGGUGGGCGCUCUUGAACAUGUUGUACAACUUGUCAGCUGGUGCCUUAAUUUCUAUUUCAGUCCCAAUUUUACCAUGCAAAACCAUGUUUAUGAGCAGUUUUGAUGGGUGCUACUCAGAAAUUAUAAGAGAAGAAUGUUAAAGGAUAUGUAUAAUUUGGGCUCCUACCCUCCUUAAAUAGAAGCGACUAGAGUUAAAUUGCGAGAUAAAACUUAAUAUAUCCGGAACACGAUACAGUACGCCAUAUAUAUAUAAUAUGUAAUAUAAAUAUGGAGGGAAAGUUUUUUUUUUUUUUUUUUUUUUUUUUUGCAAGUGUUUCUCUACUUGUGUAGACGUAUGUACCCGUGUUCUAGAUAUUAAAAAUUCUCCCGUAAUAUUUUAAUAGUGGGUAAUCCAAUUUAAAAACCAAAUCAUGCAACACGUGAUAAAGAUUAAGUCAUAUAUUUUUUAAAUCAUACUUCUCGGAUAAUUGGAAUCCUAUGAAGUAAUGAUCACAAGUUCACAAUAUGCAUGGAUAGAUGAAGGGUUUGCUCAUGAUUAAUGUUAGGGAGACCAAAUUUCUAAAUCAAAAUUUGUAAACAAAAUAAUGUGGAGGUAAAUGAUUGAAUUAUUAUUUAAGUGUUAAUUAAUAUGCUUGUUUCUUAUUAAUAACAUAUCAUUUGAUUUGCAUUCACGCAUGCGAUAAAGAUUAGAUUAGUACGAUCACACUAAAAAUUUAUAUGUAAAUGUUUUAAAAUAAAAUGUAAUUUAUCUGCAAAAUGUUUUUUUUUUAAAAGGUACGAUAUUCUUUAAUAACAAAUUUAUACGUACAUCAAUGAGGAUAGGGUGUAAACAAAUGGCCUCGAUAAAAACCUUGCCGGGGUUUUUAACCCGAUCGAAGAGAGAUUUUUCAAUGUGACCGUCACACAAGGAGGUACACCACGUGUCUCUAUGUAAAUGGUUAGAUAUGUGUGUUAAAAGAUUAAUAACUUAAAAAUUAAAAUUUUCCACCACUUACAUAAAAAUACGUGGUGUACCAUCCGUGUUCCUGUCACAACUAAAAAUUUUCCCCGGUUGAAGGGAAAAAGAGUGUCCCACACCAACAUAAUUAAUUAAGAAUUGCUAUCCUAAAAAAGAAGAUCAAGAAUUACAUUAGGAAGUUCCUCAGACCAAACCACACAUUGUUACCAUAACUCAAGCUCAUACGUGCUAGCCUGUGUGCCACCUUGUUCGUCUCCUUUUGACUAAAUUCAACCUUCCACUUGGACAAUGAAUGAAUAAUUGCGUGUGUCGUUUAGAAUGUUUCCAAAGUGUGAGGUGUCAAUACUUCCUUCUGCAAAAUGUUUUAGAAUAAAAAGUUUUAUAUCUUGUAGGAUCACAUCUAUUUAUUUAUUAUCAUUAUUAUAUUUUUGGAAAGAUCGAUACGUAUGGGCCAUGGCGUCUGGUUCUUUUGUUAAAAAGCCAUCAAAUGGGGAGGCAUGGAUGAGGUAUUAGGUAUCCACAAAUGUCAGUUCACAAAAUAUUAUACUAAAAGUAAUUGAAAAGAAUCAAACAAAUAUUAAUUCUUUUCCCAAGAUAAUCCACUAAAAUGAGGGUCCACAACAUAGUUUUUCGGGAACUUUAACGAAAAACACCCGGUACUGUUCACUUUAACGAAAAACCACAUUUUUACACUAAAAAAUCAAUCCUGGUACUAUUCACUUUACCCUUUAUUUUGUCCUUAUCAUUAAAGCUCAAAGUUUUCAAGCCCUUUUCAUUAAUUUUCCUUAGUUUUUUCCACUAGAGUUUAUUGAUCCUUGAAGACUAUCAUUGACGAUUGAUCAUCCAACAGGUGCAUUAUUUAUUUUUUAACAAACGGUAAUAGUUACUAUUUCUUGAAUUGGAUAGGGGUAUCGAUACUAUUUCUUAAAUAAAACAUUAAUACUAUUAUUAUUCUUAAACUGAAUACUGGCACUAUUACUAUUUUUUAAACUGAACAUUCAUUAUUUCUUAAACCGAGCGCUGGUACUAUAACUAUUUCUUAAACUGAACAUUCAGUAUUUCUUAAACUGGACAUUCACUAUUUCGUAAACUGAACACAAAUAUUAUUACUAUUUCUUAAACUGAAUAUUCAUUAUUUUGUAUACUGAACACGGAUAUUAUCAUUAUUUCUUAAACGUAACACUAAUAUUAUUACUAUUUCUUAAGCUGAAUACUGACUAUUUCUUAAAUUGAACAAUAACUAUUUUUAUAAUUGAAUACAAGCACUGUCCCUAUUUCUUAAACCAAAAAUAGUGAAUUAGGGUUUAGUUAUUACGAUAUAUUACUGGAUUAUGAUUAACAUAUAAUUGUGUUCUGGCCUUAGAGAAAAAAGGUACACACCAUGUUAAAUACAUGUAGGCAUUUAUAUAUAAAUAUAUAUUACAUACGUAUAUAAUUCCAACUUUUGAUAGAUCAAGCCAUGAGUUUCCCAGUCUCCUUCUUGCACCUGAACUCCCUGGAUACUGCCAGAACAAAUUUUUGGGACGUGUGGCGAGCCUGGCUCUUGAAGAUGUUGUAGAACUUCUCAGCAGGUGCCUUAAUUUCGAUCUCAGUCUCAACCUUACCGUGCAGAGUCGUGUUUAUGAUCAGUUGGGAUGGCACUCAACAAUGCGUACAAGGCCUGUUCUAAAGAAACUUAAGGGCAGCCCUUUUCUGCUACAGUUAAAUUAUACAAUAUUAAUUUGAGGUAUUCAUCAAUUUACCUCCUAACUUAUAAGAAUUGGUCAAUUUUCCUUAUCAACUUUCAUAAUUAAUCAAUUUGCACCAUACUAUUAAUUUUUUAAAAUUUUUCAUCCUUUCUUCUGUUAAGUAUGUCAAGUGUUAUCCGCAUGACUGCCUUUAAAGGGUAAAAAGGUCAUUUUACCUACACCUUCCGUCUUCUUUCUCUUCUCCGAACUUUCUUUUCUUCUUCUUUUUCACCAAGCCGAGCCCGUACUGUUCCACCGUGCUCCACAGGCACGAUUUUCCCGGCGAACACCAAAAGAAACAGUGGGAGGGAUCUGAGCUCGUAGAUCCGCGUUCACUACAUCCCCUUCUUGCACUCCUCGCAAACCCUACCCUCCGAUUCUAAUGGGACACCUCCCCCGUCGCCACUGAGUUCCUGAAGAAGAACCGCGCAUACGACUUGGCCACCACCGCCGCCACUCCAACCACUCCCAGAGCCACAGGCGCGUGCUCCCCCGAAGACCCGCACCUGAAGUUGGCGCCCCCAAUUAUGAUCGAGUACUUGGACUUUCUCUUUCCCGGAUCCACGAAGCGCGUGGAGUAGGAGGCGGGGAGGUUGCAUAGCGUGUAAGACCCUAGCUUGGCGAUGUGGGGAGAAGAUGAGAUGGAUUUGAUCAAAGACUUGCCGAAGAAUCUGGGGAGAAGAUGCGGGGACUUUCUCUCCCGUAUUACUUAUCCUAUCAUUUUCCUUGUACGGGCUGCCAAACGAGGCCUUAGUAUGCUAUUGCCUUGUAUUUGAAAUUAGACAAUCGUUUUAUUUAAAAAAAAACAAACUUACUAAGUUCACACUUAAACAUAUUUAAACAAACUUACUAAGGUCAACACACUUGCAGAUAACACAAUUAAAACUAAACAUACCAACAAACAUGGAUCACACUUACAAGGCCAAACAAAGCAUAUAUAUAUAUAUAUGUAUGUAUGUAUGUAUAAUGUAUGUAUGUAUAUAUAUGUAUAUUAUAUUUAUGAACAGUAUUGCCCUUGCUCUUGUCUUUGCCCAACUGGUAGUAGAGUUGCACAGAGACAAAGUUGUUGGUAUAUGGUCCAGCCCAUGAUCAAUGUUCUAGAUUAUUCUAGUAAGCAAGAGAUGAGGCUGAAGCUUGCUAGACAAUUCUAGAAUGUUAUUAAGUUGAUGGAAGAAGCUAGAGAGUACUAGCUUCCUUGGUUGCAAAUGGAAAGAUCUAGAAGCUACAAGUAUAUGGCUAGUCUAGAUUUUUCUAUACUAGAGGUUUGAAGAAGGAACUAGAAACUAGUAGAAUGCCAAACCCUCACCUAUAAAUAUGGGUGUGAUGUAACCAAUUGAGAACCAAGAGUGAGUAGCAAAGGAUCAAGUCCAAAGCUAGAGUUCCACUCCAAGAGUGAGAGUGAGAGUGUUCCACUACACAUUGUGUGAGUGAAGUUUAGAGUGAUAGAAAGUGUGUGUUAUACUUUCUUGUAUCCAUCAAGCCUUGUCUUUGGCUUGGUAAGACUACUCUUGUUGUAUUCAUCUUUUUCAUAUAGUGAAGAUUGAUCCUUGUUUGGUGGACGUAGGCAUAAAUUGCCGAACCACAUAAACUUUUCUUGGCGUCCAUUUUCUACUUUACCUUGUGCAUUCUCUAUCUUGUAGUACCGACAUUCCUAACAAGUGGUAUCAGAGCCCGGUUGGCUCGUACUACGAGAUGGAAGGAAGUGGCACUAUGAUCAAACUCACCAACUCCAAUUGGGUAACAUGGAAGCCAAGGAUGGAGGACAUUCUCUAUUGCAAGGAUUUGCAUGAGCCAAUUGAAGGAGAUGCCGCUAAGCCCGAGAGCAUGUCCGAUGCCGAGUGGAAGAAGAUGAAUCGCAAGGCUAUUGGCACAAUUAGACAAUGGGUGGACGAUAGUGUUUUUCACCAUGUGUCUAAUGAAACCAAUGCUCGCGAGUUUUGGACAAAGCUUGAGUCCUUGUUCGAGAAGAAAACUCCAGCUAAGAAAGCCUUCUUGAUCAAAGAGCUCAUCAAUGUGAAGUACAAGGAUGGUUUAAGUGUAGCAGAACACUUGAACAAUUUCCAGAAUAUCAUCAACCAGUUGGCUACUAUGAAAAUGAUGAUCGAGGACGAGCUACAAGCGCUCUUGUUACUUGGAUCCUUGCCAGACAGUUGGGAGACCUUUGUGGUGAGUAUAAGUAACUCUGCUUCUAAUGGUGUUCUUACUCUUGAUAAUGUUAAAAAUAGCAUGCUCAAUGAAGAAACAAGGAGAAAGACUUCUGGCACAGAUAGCAGCCAAGUAUUUGUCACAGAGAACCGCGGAAGAAGCAAGAGUAGAGGGCCUAGAGGUCAUGGCAGGAGUCCUAGCCGAUCCAAGUCAAAGUUCAGGGGUGCAUGCCACCACUGUGGCAAAGAAGGCCAUAUGAAGAAAAAUUGUCGAGUUUGGAAGAGAGAGCAAAGGGAAGGAAACAAUCAGAAGAAAGAUGAUACUGGCAAUACCACCGCUGUCAUCUGUGGUGAUGUACCAGAAAUAUUGUCUGUUGGUGAAUGUCUGCAUAUGGGCAACUCUGACAGAGACAUUGAAUGGAUCUUUGAUAAUGGAGCUUCCUUCCAUGCUACGUCCAAACGGGAGUUCUUCAGUACAUACAAAGAAGGUGACUUUGGCAUAGUGAAGAUGGGGAAUGAAAGCUAUUCCAAAAUUCUUGGAAUUGGUGAUAUCUGCUUAAGAACUAAUCUCGGCUGCCAAUUGAUGUUGAAAGAUGUGAGACAUAUUCCUGAUAUACGUCUCAAUCUGAUAUCCAUCGGUACCCUUGAUCGACAAGGAUAUUAUCACCAUAUUGGCGAAGGAAAAUUGAAGCUUACUAAAGGCUUAAUGGUGGUAGCAAAAGCACGACUUUGUUGUACGUUGUACCGGUCAAAUGCACAGGUUUUUGAAAGGUGAGUUGAAUGCUGUGGAGGACUCAUCUCUAGACUUAUGGCAUAAGAGGCUGGGCCACAUAAGCGAGAAAGGCCUACAAGUUUUGGCAAAGAAGUCUCACAUUCCCUUUACCGAAGGUACGUCGUUAAACUCUUGUGAGCAUUGUUUAUUCGGAAAACAAAGAAGAGUUAGUUUUUCUGUUCCAUCUACAAAGAAAGGAAACUUGUUAGAUCUUGUUUAUUCAGAUGUGUGUGGUCCCAUGGAAGUCGAGUCACUUGGAAGAAAUAAAUAUUUUGUUACUUAUAUUGAUGAUGAUGCUUCACGAAGGGUGUGGGUGUAUUUGUUGAAAUCCAAAGACCAGGUGUUUCAGACAUUCCAGGAGUUCUAUGCCAUGGUGGAGAGGGAAACUGGGAAACCUCUCAAGUGCCUUCGUAGCGACAACGGCGGCGAGUACACAUCUCACCAGUUUAGAGAGUAUUGUGUAAAACAUGGCAUACGUCAUGAGAAGACAGUUCCUGGAACUCCACAACAUAACGGUGUUGCUGAAAGAAUGAACCGAACCAUCAUGGAGAAAGUCAGGUGUAUGUUGAGGACUGCAAAGUUAUCUAAGCAGUUCUGGGGUGAAGCUGUAAGGACAGCCUGCUAUUUGAUCAACCGAUCUCCAUCAGUACCAUUAGGUCUUGAUGUUCCAGAGAGAGUAUGGACUGGUAAUGAUGUGUCUUACUCUCAUCUGAAGGUGUUUGGUUGCAAAGCUUUUGUGCAUGUGCCCAAAGAGCAGAGAUCGAAGUUAGACUACAAAGCUACACCGUGCAUCUUUCUUGGUUAUGGCGGUGAAGAUUUUGGUUACAGAUUAUGGGACCCAUACCAGAAGAAGUUUAUCCGAAGUAGAGACGUGGUCUUUUAUGAAGAACAAACAAUUGGGGAUUCGGAUAAAGAGGCACAACCAGAUGGCGCAGUCAGAGGAGUUGAUCCAUUAGCUUCAGAUGAAGAAAGUCACGAUGACAUCCCUGAAGCAACUGCCAAUGAAGUGCCUGCAGAAUCAGAUAAUGCUAAUCAAGAGGAGCCUGAUCAAGAUGUGCCAAACCAUGAGAUUGCUCAUCAGGGGAGCCUAGUCAAGAAGAGCAUAUUCAAGGAGAACCCAAUCAGGGGGAGCCUCCAGCCCUACAAGAGAAUGAAGAUCAGGUCAGAAGAUCCAUCAGAAGUCGAAGACCGUCUACCAAGUAUUCUUCAUCAGAGUAUAUCAUGUUGACUAAUUAUGGAGAGCCCGAAACAUAUGAGGAGGCCAGAGCUCAUAACGACAGUGACAAAUGGAUGAAGGCAAUGGAGUCGGAGAUGGAUUCCUUAUCAAAGAAUGAUACCUAUGAGCUGGUGGAGCUUCCAAAGGGCAGGAAAGCAUUGAAAAACAAGUGGGUGUUCAAAUUGAAAAGAGACGACAACAUGACAAGGUACAAGGCUCGUUUGGUUGUCAAAGGUUUUGGUCAAAAGAAAGGAGUUGACUUUGAUGAGAUUUUCUCACCGGUGGUGAAGAUGACUUCCAUUCGAGUUAUCCUUGGUAUGGCAGCAAGCAUGGAUCUUGAGCUCGAGCAGUUAGAUGUUAAAACUGCAUUUCUCCACGGCAAUUUAGAAGAGGAGAUAUACAUGGAGCAACCCAAAGGCUUUGAAGUCAAAGGUAAAGAAAAUUUGGUGUGCAAGCUCAAGAAAAGUUUAUAUGGUCUUAAGCAGGCUCCGAGACAGUGGAAUAAGAAGUUCAACUCACUCAUGGUGAGUAAUGGGUACAAGAGAACUCAUGCUGACUCUUGUGUCUAUAUCAAACAAUUUUCUGGAGGUAAAUUCAUCAUCUUAUUGCUUUAUGUUGAUGACAUGUUGAUUGUCGGACAAGAUACCUCUAUGAUUAAAAAGCUCAAAGAAGAGUUAUCUAAGUCCUUUGACAUGAAGGACUUAGGGCCAGCCAAGCAGAUUUUGGGCAUGGAUAUAAUUCGUGACAGAAAAUCCAAAAAGUUGUGGCUGUCACAAGAAAAGUAUGUUGAACGGGUGCUUGAAAGGUUCAACAUGAAAGCAGCCAAAUCGGUAAGCUCACCUUUAGCCAAUCAUAUCAAGUUGAGCAAAGAGUCAUGUCCAAAAACAUAUUGAAGAAAAGGAGAAAAUGGCAGUUGUUCCCUACUCUUCAGCAGUAGGAAGUAUCAUGUAUGCAAUGGUGUGCACACGGCCAGAUAUUGCUCAUGCAGUAGGUGUGGUGAGCAGGUUUCUCUCUAAUCCAGGGAAGGACCACUGGGAAGCUGUUAAGUGGAUUCUCAGAUAUUUGAAAGGGACUUCUAAGAUGUGCUUGUGCUUUGGCGGUUCCAAACCAAUCUUGGAAGGAUUUACAGAUGCUGACAUGGGAGGUGACCUGGAUGGUAGAAAAUCUACGUCUGGGUACUUGUUUACUUUUACAGGGGGAGCCGUGUCUUGGCAAUCCAAGUUACAAAAGUGCAUUGCUUUGUCCACAACCGAGGCUGAAUACAUAGCCGCUACAGAAGCAUGCAAGGAGUUGUUGUGGCUGAAGCGGUUUCUCCAAGAGUUGGGUUUGAAGCAAAGUGAUUAUGGCGUUUAUUGUGAUAGUCAGAGUGCUCUGGACUUGAGCAAGAACACUACAUAUCAUUCACGCACUAAGCACAUUGAUAUUCGUUAUCAUUGGAUUAGAGACGCUAUCGAGAACAAGUUGCUGCAGCUGAAGAAGAUUCAUACCGAUAAUAAUUCUUCAGACAUGUUGACAAAGGUAGUCACAAAAUCAAAGUUGGAAUUCUGCAUUAAGGCUGCUGGGAUGAACUCCAGGUAACUUGGAGUCAUGAUCGGAAUUCCUCCCUCAUGGACUGGAGGGGGAGAUUGUUGGUAUAUGGUCCAGCCCAUGAUCAAUGUUCUAGAUUAUUCUAGUAAGCAAGAGAUGAGGCUGAAGCUUGCUAGACAAUUCUAGAAUGUUAUUAAGUUGAUGGAAGAAGCUAGAGAGUACUAGCUUCCUUGGUUGCAAAUGGAAAGAUCUAGAAGCUACAAGUAUAUGGCUAGUCUAGAUUUUUCUAUACUAGAGGUUUGAAGAAGGAACUAGAAACUAGUAGAAUGCCAAACCCUCACCUAUAAAUAUGGGUGUGAUGUAACCAAUUGAGAACCAAGAGUGAGUAGCAAAGGAUCAAGUCCAAAGCUAGAGUUCCACUCCAAGAGUGAGAGUGAGAGUGUUCCACUACACAUUGUGUGAGUGAAGUUUAGAGUGAUAGAAAGUGUGUGUUAUACUUUCUUGUAUCCAUCAAGCCUUGUCUUUGGCUUGGUAAGACUACUCUUGUUGUAUUCAUCUUUUUCAUAUAGUGAAGAUUGAUCCUUGUUUGGUGGACGUAGGCAUAAAUUGCCGAACCACAUAAAUUCUUGGCGUCCAUUUUCUACUUUACCUUGUGCAUUCUCUAUCUUGUAGUACCGACAUUCCUAACAAAAGUAUUGUUCAUAGUAAAAAGUACGGGCAAGCCAACUGCCUUGUUCUUACACUUGCGUUCUCCAAACGGGUGAAACUGCUAUUAUGAUCGGUCUGAAGUAGACGCGCUUAUUCUUGCGUGAGGAAAUUAUCAGUCUCCUUAACAAGAUAACAGCUAACUGGAGCUGAAGUUGGGGAUCCGGAACCCAUCAUGUAGCUUUUCAUAUUGUAGAACCAAAUUCACCACGCUGCCCUCAUCAUGAACGCCUAAUUUUGGAGUAACUUGUAAAGUGAUCUUAAAGCUCUUGUAUCGAUCUAGAGGGUUUCCUUCAAGCACUGUGAAAGUCACCGAAUGAUUUACAUCGUCUAUGGCUUCAGUUAACUCCUUGGAAAAAGUUGGUUUCCCAUCUGCUAACAUUUCAUCACAAAUCAAUUACUUGCUUCAUCCACAAAAAAACAUGUCGACAUAUAUAGUAAGAGAACAAUCUUUCAGCCACACUUACCUUCAAUAUAAUCCCACAAGAAGACACAACCCACUUUACCCCAUUCACCUUCAAGUAAUUUAUGACUCGGAACUUUGUCGGGGCUGAUGUUGCAUAUUUCGUACGGUGUUCGUGCAAAGAAUUCAUGGAACCUGUUUGCUUCAGACUUGAUUUCAACACUCGUCUCCACCUUGCUAGAAUUUGACAUUUUCCACAAGUACCAGAGUUGAAGGAAAAACGACUUUGGUGGUUCCCAACGUGAAAAUGGCGGGGUUUAGUGCAGCAACAAAGAAAAUGGCGGUGGCUGCUGCAAAUGGAUGUGGUGAUUCCCUCUCCCGCAGAAAAGAAGAUAAGUUUUUCUUACAAUAUUCUAAUUAUUCUCCAUGAUGAUGUCUGCCAUCUGCAAUAAAAAAAUAAUAAAAAGAAAAAAGACAGCCACUGAUGAUUGGUGAAGUGACGAGAUAAUCAUCAACUAGCUCAGCUCCACCCUCAGCACAACUGUGACGAAACCCACUUUUCUGAGAAAAUCACGAGAAAAGCAGAAAGCAAAAGAUAAAGCAAAAGGAAGACACAUGGGGACACUGCAAAAGUAAGGAAUAAACAUCCCACCAGAAUGAUGUAAUUUAUUUUUAUUAUCUUUCGGAGACAUCUGUAUAAACCCCAUCAGAGGGUAAUUAAAAAAAAAAAGCCCAAAAUAAUGGGCUGCAAACCCAAAAUAAGGGGCUACAAUGUCAUGGGCGAAGGCCCAUAUGCCCAAAAGACCCAUACCCUCUAUUACCACCAACCAGGUGAUCAAAAGUACGCCCAGUACUCCACAAUUAUUCGACAACCUGCCGCUAUUACCACCAACCAGGUGAUGAAAUGUACAACCCGUACUCUAAAAUCAUUUGGCAACUAGUCAUUCAUGCCACCAACCAGGUGAUGAAAUGUACAACCCGUACUCUCCUUCAUGCCACCAACCAGGUGAUCAAAAGUAUGCCCAGUACUUCAUAUUAUACAUGAACAUUACUCAUGUCAAUCAUACACAAACAUUCAUGAGUAUCACUCAUAUCAAUCAUACAUAUACAUUCAUGAGUAUCACUCAUGUCAACAUUCAUGAGCAUCACUCAUGUCAACAUCCAUGAGCAUCACUCAUAUCAAUCAAACAUUCAUGAGCAUCACUCAUGUCAAACAGCUUCAAAAGCUUCAUUUACAAAAGCUCUAGCUUCAAAAGCUUCAUUUACAGAGCUUCAGCUUCAAAGCUUCACUUAUAAAGCUUCAGUGCAGGGUAUACAAAUACCGCCUCCGAACAACCGCCACUUCGGCCCAUACAUGGAUUCAAUUUGAAGUCUCCAGCUAACAGACUCUAUUGACCGAAAAGACUUGGGGGACUACAUUAUAUACCAUAUAUUGGGCCUCAACUGGGCCUCAUAAAAAAUACUUGGGGGACUUAGCCCAUUAUCUAUGUACUGAGGAGCGAACCCUUAUUCUAUAAAAGGGACUUCCUCACUUUCAUUAGAGAGCAUCGCCGCCAGCUGAGCAACCGCCUCGCCGCGAGCAUCACUCCUAACCCAUCACUUAUGUAUUGAGGAGUGGGCCCUUAUUCUAUAAAAGGGACUCCAUCACCAUCAUUAGAGAGCAUCAACUCUAGCCCAUUAUCUAUGUACUGAGGAGCGAGCCCUUAUUCUAUAAAAGGGACUCCAUCACUUUCAUUAGAGAGCAUCGCAGCCAGCUGAGCAACCGCCUCGCCGCGAGCAUCACUCCUAACCCAUCACUUAUGUAUUGAGGAGCGGGCUCUUAUUCUAUAAAAGAGACUCCCUUACCAUCAUUAGAGAGCAUCAACUCUAGCCCAUCAUUCAUGUAUUGAAGAGCGAGCCCUUAUUCUAUAAAAAUGACUCUCUCACCUUCAACGCCACAAGCCGAGCCAACCAAGGCAACAUAAGCCACGAGCCGAGCAGCCUCGCAGCAUGUGCUACUUCUAGUUGAGCAUCAUCUCAGAUUGAGCACCGCCUCAUAUCGAACAUCAGUUCAAGACAACGUCUAGUUACUUCGGCCCACACAUGGACUGAAUUUCAAGUCUCCAGCCAAAAGACUCUCUUGACUGAAGACUUGGGAGACUACUGUUUAUACCAUAUUUAGGGCCUCGUAUUUAGAUCUUGUACAAAUACUCAGGGGACUUAAAUGUAAUUAUGUGAUAAAAGAAGGGGCAAAUAUGUAAUAAGUGAGGAGUCCUUAUUCUAUAAAAGGACCCCUCACCCUCACAAUUAGAGGAGGCCAAUUCCUAGGCCCUCUCACCCCCUCUCAACGCUCUCACUAUCAGUGCUCCCUCUCCCUCAGAUAAAUACAUAAUCAAAGUGGACGUAGCCCAAACCUUGGGGUGAACCACGAUACAUCUUGUGUCAUUUACAUUACUUGCAGAUUCACGGUCGGAUUUACGUUGUUCCAAAACCUCCGGUUUUGUGCAUCAACAGCCCUUACAUUUAUAUAGAAGAAAAGAGGGAAACAAAAACUUUACAAGAACCUAACAAUUUGCCCAUGCCAUCAGACAUGGAUGUAUUUAUUCACUAAAAAAAAUGCGUUAGUUGUAUUAUUUUACUAGAACCGAACAAUUUGCCCAGUAGACAUGGAUGGUGGAAUAUCUUGAUCAAUAUUAUUCCUCGUUUGCUCUCGUCGUUUCUAAGAAAACAAUGUUUUGUGGUUUUAUUAAAUAGCUGGAGACAAAAUGUUUCGAUCUUGUUCGUUUCUCUGUUUGUAUGCUUUUAUACAUGUUAUUUCUAAACAAUUUGUUUGUUUUAUGGUGGGCAUCUUUAAAAGUAAGAUACCCAUUUGUUUUUAAAGAAAUGUUAUUGUCACCUAAAAAUUUAAGUGUGUAUUUAUAAUUAUUUAUAUUUAAAAAAAAAUAUUCUUACAAUGAAUGUACAAUUAGAUUUUUGUAGUGUAAAUUUUCUGUCUUCAAUUUCGACUACUCGAAAUAUAUGAUCCGAUUGACCCCCAAACAUUGAGGUUUAAAUAUUUAUGGCUGGGGAAGACGAAUUCACCCAAACCUCGAACUCCUUUUCUUAGGAAAUAAAUUGAAAGUUAUAAUCUAAGGCCAAAUUCAAACCGAAACAACAACAUUCUAUUCUAUAAUUUCUCCUAGUCCUGAUCGGUUAGGGAUUCUAGUUAGUUCGUUUACAAACUACGUUGGCUAAUAUAUUUCAGUUACAACUUCAUAUAUAAAUGCAUUCUUCGUCGAAUUAACAAAUAAUCAGUUUGUAUCUAUAUAUAUAAAGUGAGAGCCCUAGUUUGGUGAAGCAUUUGAUAAACCAAAAAUGCCCUCACUUCAUACACUAUACCAACGUUAAUUGUCCAAUAAAAUUAGGGUCAAAAUUGUAAUAUAAUACAACGAAAUUCUACUGUGCGAAUAAUACAUGCACUCAUCUGAACAAUGACAAUUUUCAACCACUAGAUAAAAAUAUACACACUUAAAAUUCAUUGUGACCCUUAGAUCAAUCCUCCCACAAAUACUGCAUCACAUUCUAUCUUUCCACCAAAACCAAAAUAACAAAUAAAUUGAUAAAAACUGACAAACACUCCCUCCAAAUUAGAGUAGAACUGUCAAACACGUUGUCGCACAAAACAGAACACCGGUUGCAGCAGUUGCAAAGAUCGGAGAUAGAACCACCAAUCUACCACACGUUCUAGAGGGGAUAGCGAUCAUUCCAACCCCAAAUGCACAGAAAAGAGGAAGAACUCAUUUUCGUCUUCUGCACAAACCUCUCAUCCACGUGUUUUUCCAGAGUUUCUUCUGCAUCCACACUCAAUUUACACAAAUUCAGGUGAUUUUUUUUUCAUAAUUUCUACCCUCCAAUUAAGUAAUAUUACCCACAUGAAUCUGCUUUUCCGCUUGUUUUGUUUAUUAUUCUAUAUAAUUUAAUAAGGAAAUUCGAAUCAUUGAUGGCGUAGGAUGGGAUUGCUGGGCGUUCAAAAUUGCUCAGUGAUUAGUACUUAAUCGACCACACUGCUUAUAUUAUUUAAACUUAAUUGUUGUCAUAUGGGUUUUUCUGGAUUCCAUUUCUCUUAUUUAUGUGAUUUGAGUCAGUGGUAGUCAGGUGCAUGCAAUGAGAGACAUUUGAGGCUAUAGCUGGGAAUUUGGUUUCUAUAAAAUUACUUCUGCAAUUGGUCAGAAUUUAUAGGAGUUACUAAAAUUACCCCAUUACCAGUUUUUGUUUUACUAUAGUUGGUAAUGAUUUGUAAGCAGAUUGUACAUUGAGGUAAUGUGUGAAUUGAAUUCUGAUGGUUAAACUAAUACGACAAACUGGUAAAAAACCAUCACUGAAAAAAGAUAAAGCAUCACAACUGUAGAGUUUUGCCUAAUGAAGAAUUAGAACCGCGACGUGGGAUUCAACCACCCUCCACGUUCUGCAAACUACAAACCAGAUUGACAAAGACUCUUCCUCUACAGAAAACGAGGGGAGGGAGAAAUAGAGAUACAUAUUGACAAAGACUCUUCCUCUACAUCGACUGAUUCUUAUCGCAGGUAACUUUCAAACUUGAUUCUCAAUUUUCUAUGUAUUCCUUCCAGCGUUUGUUCAAACUUUCAAACUUGACUCUACUCGCCGUGAUCAACAACUGCAGCUUCUUGAAACAGCCUUUCACUCGUCAUAAACGACAAGUGUGGCUUCUUUACCAGUAUGUUUAUUAGUCUCUUUUCUAAUCAAAUUCAUUGCCAUUAAUUAACUGUUUCUCAUCGAUCAUUCAUUUCUGAUCAUAUUUUCAAUUUCCGUUCUAUUCCCAUUUAUACAUCUUUUUCAAUUGUGUAUGAAUUAUUUGCUUUGAUGAAGCAGAAUUAGAUUUGCGUUCAUAUUCAAUUCUAAUUAAUUGACGAUGUCCUUUGAGAGCGAGCCCAAACUAUCUAGCGAUUCGAUAUAAUCGGAGAAAGAUUUUCCAGGGUGAACCAUAUCCUUUACCUGACUAUUGAGCCGUAAAGUUUCCGGUUUCUUAAGGUUUCGGAUAUCCACUCAAUCUAUUGGGACCUGUCUGGAAAUCCCCACAGCCAUGUGACUUGCGAUUCUUCUUCUUAAUAAACGACUUAGUUUUUGCAUUUUUUGUUCGAAUUCAAAGUUUUUUUUAUACAAAUUUGAAGCUUUUCUUCAAGCUUAUUCAUUAUAUAGAUUCCAAAAUUUUUAAAUCCUCUCAAAGUAGUAGGGAUUUGGAAAUGAACUCUGCUAGAGAAGGUGGCUUGCGUUGAAAUUACCAUAAUAACAGUGUUGGGUUGGGAAUUUUUUACUGGUUUUUUAUUUAAUAUGUUUUGAAUCUUAUCUUGCAACCUGUUGUUUUUCUUCAUGGGGUUCAGGAGGAGGAACUUCACCAAGUAUUCAAAGUAAUCAAAGAUUCUUCAAUCCCGAGUUUUACCGAUCAUUCUGUUUGAUCAGGUUGCUACUUCACCCUUUAUGAUAAGUUAUUAGAUGCAUUUCAGUGUGUCCUGCAUUUGAUAACUGAGUUAUUUCGUUAUUGCUAGAAAGGUAAAUUUUACGCUAGAUUGCAAUGCAAGGUAUGUAACUCGAUAGUUUGAUGAGUUUGAAUUAUUUUUUUUAUUAGGGCUGUUGCUACUUAUUUAAUUAUGCUUGGCAAUUAGCCUGCUUGAUCGGGGGUAUGAUCGUUGUGAAUGCCGUAUGAUUGCAAUGGCAAAAUUUUAUUGAUUCAAGUGUGAAAUAGAUAAACAAAUAAGAAAAAACCAUGUUCAUGCGUAAACCAUGUCAUUGUCAUUGAAAAAACUAUAGGUAACCCUCUAAAAAUUAAUAGAUGAAGUCAAUGGAAUUGAGAGCUAUGUAAUCCAAGUCCCAGUUGCAUAUGUUAUUGGUGCAUUCAAGAGCUAGCUAAUUGAGGAAGAAAUUCAGAGGUUGAUGUAAGUUGUCUGCAAAGCAUCAUAACCUAGGGUUGAAGCACUUAGCUUUUCUCUACCCUCUUCCAUAUAAUUAGGAUUACAAGUUGUUUUAGAUAUUCAGUUAAUUUUGAAGCCAUUGGCAAUGUUUCAGUUGCAGAGUUUGAUUUAUCAAUUAUCUGCUAAAUGCAUGGAAUUUCAUCUUUUUUACUUUCAAUUUUGGGUCAAAUGUUGGGAAAUUUUUACUGGUUUUUUUAUAUAAUAUGGUUUAAAUCUUAUCUUGCAGCCUGUAGUUUUUCUUCAUGGGGUUCAGGUGGAGGAACUUCACCAAGUAUUCAAAGUAAUUAAAGAUUCUUCAAUCCCGAGUUUUACCGAUCAUUCAAUUUGAUCAGGUUGCUACUUCAUCCUUUAUGAUAAGUUAUUAGAUGCAUUUUAGUUUGUGAAACUAGGAAGGGCAUUCUUUUUGCUUAGUUGUAAGAUACUUGAGAAGCCGAAUAUUACACUUAAUCAAAGAACCGAAAUGGCAAUGUGCUAUUUCACUUUGUUUCUUUGAUGACUCAAAAUUGUAAUAUGAUUGAACUGAAUGAUUACCUGUUUUCAUCUGCAUCUCCAGAUUCAUUUCUUUCAUUUUUAGAAUCAUCAACUCCAUGAUUACCUGUUUUCUUUCAUAUAUGUUUUUCUUUUACUAAUUUAUGUUUUAACUUUUCGUUCUCUUUCAAUUUUCGUAAAUCUGAGUUUUAGAAAACACAUACAAUUCAUGUUACUAACAAAACUUUUGAUGCUUUUACACACUCAUUGGGAUUGUGUAAUGGUACAAGAUUAUUGUGUCGUGGUAAUUACCAAAAUCUUAUUGAUGCUGAAAUUCUAACUGGACAAUUUGUCGGAUCCAAAGUUUUCUUACCAAGAAUCCCUCUCAAAAGUACUAAUACUGCUGGGCUUCCAUUUAAACUUACAAGAAAGUAGUUUCCAGUGAAACUAAGUUUCUCUAUCACUAUAAACAAAUCUCAAGGUCAGACAAUACCACAUGUAGGCAUUUACCUUCCAGAUCACAUCUUCAGUCAUGAACAAUGAUAUGUGGCUUUAUCGAGGGGGGUCUCAAAGUCAACCACAACCGUGUUAGUAAAAAAUGGCUCCAUAAUCAGCCAACAAGGUGUAUUUACACGGAAUGUAGUAUACAAAGAAGUCUUGCUUCAUUCCAGCUAAUUAUGGUGAUUUCUAAUAGGUAACAAUUUUAUUAUCGAUAACCUUUCAGUAUGCAUUUCUCACUUAUCAAUUAACUCUUUUUAUUUGAUUUUUAAUUUUCUCACUAUCAUUUGUAGAUUGGCAAUGAAAAUUUGAAGCAUCAAUCAUGAACAAAUGGGUGGAAAUUGCAGCAUUGAUAUCAAAAUGAAAACUUUUUUUUCAAAAGAAACGGUGACAUAUAGACUCUAUGGGUAUUGUGAAUAAUGUACAUAUUGUUAUGCAAGAUUUAUAUUUUGACAUUUAAGUUGUUUUGUAUUUUUCUACGAGUAAUGUUUUCAUCUACUCUUUUUUUUACAUCUACUUACUAUUGUCCAUGGACUUUAGGUAGGAACUUGCGUCUAAAAUCCCAUGUUGUUUGACAAGUGCAUGAAUAACAUUUAAAUCAUUACUUUACGCAAAGUAAAAACGAAAAACAUGAUAACUUUUUAGGAUAUGCAUGAUAAAAAAAGAGUUCCUCUUUGCACAAUACAUUUAAAAUAUAUCUUGACAAUUACGAUGGGAAAAACUAACACAAUACACAUUUAGGGGCGCGUAGCACCCGUGAUGUAAAAAUGCCUCUCGCACGCACAUUAGUGGGUGCGGAGAGGCUAGUAAUUAAUUAAGAACAAGAGGACUCGAAACAGAAGCAGCAAAACAUGACCAUGACCAACAACGACAACGUUUUGGAGCCGCCCAUCAAUUUCUCGAUGGUGGAUGAGGGCGUAUUCCGAUCAGGCUUCCCGCAGCCGUCAAACUUCCCAUUCCUCCAAUCCCUUCAACUCCGUUCCAUUAUCUAUCUCUGCCCCGAGCCCUACCCGGAGGAGAGUUUGGAGUUUCUUCGGUCGCAAGGCAUUCGGCUCUUCCAGUUCGGAAUCGAGGGCAAGAAGGAGCGGUCUACGUCUCCGCUGAUUCCAGCAGAGACCAUCUCCGAGGCACUGAAAGUUUUGGUUGAAAUUGAGAAUCAUCCGGUGUUGAUCCACUGCAAACGCGGCAAGCAUCGGACUGGUUGUCUGGUGGGUUGCCUGAGGAAAUUUCAGAAUUGGUGUUUGUCUUCGGCGUUAGAGGAGUACCAGCGGUUUGCCGGCGAAAAAUCUAGGGGGACGGAUUUGAGAUUUAUCGAGACGUUUGACGUAUUGGGCCUCAGGGGGGAUGCCUUCACGGCAUUGUCCGCCAUUAUUAUUAAGUUUAUGCUUCCGGAAAGAGGCGGUUGUUGUACAAACAAGAGUUGCAAACCCAUAAACCCUAGGUGAUGUUUUAGUUUUUACGUGUUGAAAUUUUAUGCCCUUUUAGUUGUACCAUAAUGAAAAUUCAUUCAUUCGCUUAGUGACGGGUCCCACGUAUGGGAGUGAUUUUUUUGUUGUUGUUGAUUUAGCAUAAUCACGAAAUUUAGACAUGCUUAUAAAUUUAGUCCUCAAUUUAGGAGUAGGAAAUUUUUAAGAAUAUAUGGACAUGCAUGUUUACUUAAAAAAUUAGAAUGAAAAAUUAUGAAUGGAGAAAGUCAAAAAUACAAUGAAAGAAAUUCAUAUAAAAUUAACUACCCCUGAUAAAUUUGAUACCUGGAAUGAGAAUAAAAAGUCAUGAAUUGAGAAGUUGGAAAUAAGAUAGAAUAAAUCCGUACGAAAUCAACUACUCCCUGAUAAAUUUGAUUCUUGGCAUGAGAAGUCAUGAAUUGAUACGAAGUCUAAUUCUAAUUCUUUUGACAUAUUUUUUUCUAUUUUUAUUUUAUUUUUUAGUUGUUAAAUUAUCAAUGUAAAGUAGAACUCAAAUACUUUUUGACUCCACAUAACCACAUAAAAAUCAAGAAUUGAAACAGAGUAAUUCUAAUACUAAUUCGUACUCUAUCCUAGUGCAAAAAGUUAGAAUUGUAAAAAUUUAGAGCUGAUCUUGGUGAAAUAUAGAACGUCAUAGGACCAUGAUUCUGGAACUCCUUUCCCUCCUUCGACUGUGGUCGGCCUGGGUCAGAUUUCUUCGUUCAGGGAUUUACCUGUUCUGAAUAGUCUGCCCUUGAUGGGUCAACUCUAGUUAGUUAAUCCAAGCAUAGGAAGAUGAGACAAAAUACACACAAAGUUGUUAGGAUAUCUUUUCUUUUUAUAUUUGAGCGAUAUUCUAGUCUAAUCCAAAUUCAUGGAAGGAGGAUUCAAAUUUGGCUACAAUCGGAUUCACAUAUUAGGAUUGAUUUUAAAUUAAAUCCAGGUUGAUAAAAAUAUUUCAAAAUUUUUAAUGGAAACUUUUUUGUGAAGGUAUUGAAGUUGGGAUUGAAACAGAAGAUAGAGCGUAAUAUAAAGUUACAAUAACAUGUUCUAUUAAAUGAAAGUGACUAAAUAUUGAAAAAAAUGCUACACUGCGUGAUCAACUCCGGCAACGAGCAUUAGCACUGCAUCCACGGUUGUAGGGAUUACUCUGAUUCUGAGCACCCGGCUUGCAGUUGUUGGAGGAAGCACCUCUCUGAGAGCAAGGCACAGUGUUUCUCUGCAGAGCUUCAUAGCUUAUGUUUCGUGAGGUGGCCAAGAUGCGCCUGCUAAUCUCCGAGUCCAUGCCAAAUUCAUCAUCACGAUCAUCCAUACACUCUGCUACAGAACCCUCGCGGCGAGGUCUCACUGGAACCCAGCUCACCCCAUGAUCGCCGCCUGCAUCAACGGAGAUGAUCAGAGCGGCCACGAAGGCCAAGGAAAAGAUAAUCGCUGAGGAAUUGGCCAUAGGUUUUGGUAUGGUCUGUGUUUUUAGCUGCCAACUUGUAUUUUGUUGUACGCCUGUUUAAUUACUGAGGGAGACAGAUGGGGCGGCAAGAGAGAGAAGAGUUGGUGAAUUCUGAUGUAUAUAUUAUUGCACUCUAUUGUGUUAUUUAUAGUAGUAAAAAGUAUAAAAAAGGGAAAGUCCUAAGGGAAAAUCCUUAUCUUUCAGGCAAUCCAUCUUAAAUAACACACAAUCUACAAGAUAUUCUGCAGUCCCAUAAGGAUUUUUUACACAAAAAUUCCUAGUAAGUUUGGACUUUGAUACAUUUAAAUUUGAUUAAAUGGAAAAUUGGAUGCUGAUUUCUUCAAGGAGGUGAUUGUGGAUGCAAAUUUCUUCCUCCUUGAUCUUGGACAAAAUUGGACCUACAAAACAAUUAACACCUUAGGGUCAAGGCCAAGAGCCUCACGUGUCCACGAUGAACGCGGGGGGGGGGGCUUUGGCCGUUUGGCCGAAGAACCUCUGAUGCCAAAGUUAGAAUUUAGAGAGAAAAGUGUUUAGAGAGUAUUGGGAAUUUUGCGUGUUGGACCUAGGUUUUGGUGAAAAUGGGAGCCAAUACAUAGGGCAUAGGGUGUAACUUAUGGUUUAAUGUGUGAUUUAAUGGAUUAAUUAGGCAAUUAAUCGAUUAAUUGGUUAAUCAACACAUUUUUGGCAUAAAUAUUUUGGGGGUUAUGUAAUUUAUACCUUGUGGAAAAUAUAGGAUGAGGAUGGAUGAAAUAACUUUGAAUUUGUUACUUAUUUUGGGCAUGCUUGAUUUGGUUGAAGGAUGAUUGCCCGCUACUCGCGCGUAGGAAUCCCGUUGUACCUCAAGGGUAUUUUUGUCUUCUUUUGUCCAAAAAUCCACGUGUCGCCUUGUGAUUAUUUUUGGCUCCAUAGUGAUUACUUAAAUGACUUGCACUAAUUAGCCUUAGGGCUAGUUUGGUAUUACUGUGCUUUGAAAAAAACUGCUUCUGCUGUGCUGCGAAAAUAAACAACUGUGAAAUAAAGCGGUAGAGUGUUUGGUAAACUUUUUUGUAAAAAUGCUUUUAGCAAAAAAAUCAGUGUUAAAGUGUUUGGUAAAUUUUUAUAUAAAACUGCUGUGAUUAGGUUAAAUGACUAAAAAUGAUAUAAUGUUAAAUUUAAUAUAUAAUUUUUUAUUUUUUAAUCUCUAUAAUUGUUGAGUCAUCCAAACUCUUCCAUUUUCCAAAUCCCAUUUAUAAUUCUAGAGUCAUCCUUUUCGCCUAAUUUUUUUUUUCAUCUGACGUUCAGAUCCGAUACGUUAGCGUUCCGUUGGUUAUCAGACAGGAUCAAACUAAGCGUAGGCUGUUUCCGGAUCAGAUCUAGUCGAAGAGCUCUCCCCUAUCGUACUUAACUUGAAUAAGGCAGUUUCCCACUAGCCGCUUAAAGGAGUACUCAAGGAUUACCCUAUUACCGAUCUCGAACUGGCCUCCUACUGUCCUCGCUAAGAAAGAGUCUGCCCGCUUAAUUCAAUGAAGUAGUUGAUAUUUAUCUAUUAAAGUAAUUUAUCAAUUACGGCAUUCAAGGUCGGAUGAUAACAGUUCUCUUUACCCAAGAAGCUCGGGGAAAGGAAACAGAAGCCAUGCAGACUGAAAUUGACGAACUCCCCACCCACACUAAAAAGCAAAUAAAGACCCAUGUUUAGCGUCCUCCACUCUAAGGACCACAUCAUCCAGAAGUUCAAUCUCAUUUACCUCAAGAUCAUCGACAAGAUCGAUCUUCCAAUUUCUGAGACUGAUAUUUCUACCAUUUUUUCCCCUAGUUAUAUAACUUCCACUACCACUAGUUUCCCAGUUUCAUCUCCCCUACCAUCCAUGGCGUCUGCAAGCUCUCACAAACACCCAUCUCUUCUGUCAUCCAUUACUUUCCCCAUCACUUUCCCACCUUCCUCUUGGAGUUGCAGAAGGAGCUUGCUAUGAAGAUCUGUUGUGUGAAAUUGUGCAUCUUGGAUCGAGCACUUUUUUGACAACUGGGUUUUGGAUUUGUUUCCUGGUCUACAAUGCCACGAUGAGUUGAAAAAUACUCUGAUCAGAUUUCGAUUUCGAAAAUUGAAAUCCGACAAAACAAAAAUAUCAAUGAUGAAGAUUCAAUCUCAACCCAGCGAGAAGGAGAAACGGAGGAGAGUAUUUUUGAGAUUGUGAAAGUUUCAUUAAAAUAUACUGUUCACCCGCCUCCUUGAAAAAAUAAGUUGGUUUUGAGAAAUAACAAAAUGUAGCUUCUGUUUUUUGCCACUUUUCAGCUUUUAAUGAUCUGUGACUUUUAAAAUAAGCAGUGUUACCAAGCACAAAUUGUACUCCAAUUUUUUUUCAUCCCAGCUUUUAAAAUAAUUUAAGCAGUACCAAACCUUACCUUAUUCUAAUUGCAACAAAGAAAGCUGAAAUUGGAAUAAUUCGUGAUUUGUUCAAACCAAGAAUACAAAAGCAACAACCUACUAGAAAAUAUGCUCGUAGAGAUUUACGGGUUGUUUCUGCAAGUAAUUUUGCUAAAAGCGCUUUUAUUAGAACAACAUUGAGAAAUCAAUUUUAUAAUGAUAUGAGCAUGCCAAGAGAUUAAACUAGUUUACAACAUCAAUAUUAUAAUGAUAGUACUCUCAGUUCAUUCUUGCUCAUAGAAUUAAAGAGAGAAACCGAACUAAACAACAAUGCGGACUAGCUUGGUCAACUCUCAGGCCUUUAUUCUUGAAGAUAGCAAAAUUACUCAAAGUUCCAUAUCAUAUGUAUGCAUAAAUCUUGUGCUUGGCACUUAUUCCUUGAGAAGAUGUGCAUCAAUAUCUUUAAUGACAUUGACCAUAAAGCUGAGGUACUUCUGUGGAGGCGGAUCGUUCUCGUUGAGUUUUUCAUAUUCUAAAGUAAUUUUCACAAAACCUCCUUCACUCUUUGGAGUGACCUGGAAAAUGAUCUUGUAGCUUUUGUAAUUGUCCAGCACAUGUGAUCCUUCCAGAGCUGUAAGACUCACCCACUUGUUUACUUCAUCUAUUUCCACCUUUUCCUUGAAUGUCUCGACAUUUCCAUCUACACGUCACAUGGAAAAUUACAAUGAUACAUCUAUUCAUGGAGAGAUUUUUCAAUGCUCAGAACACUGGGUGGUACAACACAUGUUAUUAUACAAACGAAUGAAAAUUAUUUUCAAAUGUCUCUUCACUUAUAUAAUGAAAUAUAAUUUAUAUAUCCAUGUUCUGAGCACACUAAAAAUUCUCUCCUGUCCAUGAUCCGAUUCUUUAUAUAUUCAUCGUCAGGUAAUGCAAACCUAAUGGCGCAUGGAUGGCCUGGUCAAUAUAUUUCAGUUUUAAUUCUAGAAGAAUCUUAUACGUACAUAUACAUAUCACGUUAGCAUGUUUAUUUCAUAGCAGGUUAGUUUGUGUUAUUCAAUAAUAAUAAUAAUAAUAAUAAUAAUGUUACAGUAUUAACUAUAAACGUAACAUUAUUAUUAUACAACUUUUUUUAACAAACAAUAUUAUCUACAUUAAGGGAAAGAGGUGAGCUUAGCCUCACAAUGUUUGAAUGAUGGAAAUAAAUUUGGACUUUUGACAAAAUUUAGAAUUUAUAAAUUAACAUGCACCAAUUCUCUUGUCUAGAUUCAUAAACAUAGAAAUUUAGAAUUUCCGCGUGAAAAAAAGGGAGAAUUUGAGACCUCCAAUUCCCAAGUUUAAAUUUCAUGUAAAUAAGUCACUCAGUACUACGGUCUUGUAGUAUUUCUCUUCACUUGAAAGUGAGAGGUUAUAAGUUCGAAUCUUGUUGAUGACGAAUUUGAUACCAAAUUAGGCUACCCAUUGUGUGGCUUUGCCGAACUCCUUAGUGUAAAAAUAUCGAUGUACUAAAAAAAAUCAUGUAAAUAGGUGUUAUUCCAAAUUUUUAUGAGUGAGAGUUUAAAGAUAACAAAAUCUAUAUUGAAUUUAUAUUAUUCUUUUAAGUUAGUCAAACAAGAAAAUUUACAAAUUCUAGAAAUAAAAUUUCUUAGUAAUUUUAAAUUUUCUCAUCCAAACAGAAUGUUAGAGUCAUGAUGUAACACCCGUCGCUUUUUAUUUAACAAAAUUAAUUAUUAGUUUAACUAGGUUAGGAGGAGAGAGGAGGGUGAUUAAUUUCAUAUUACCUAGGGUGUAUUUCCAGAGCUUGACAGAGCCAGAAGUUUCCCAGUCACCUUCAUGUACUGCAACAUCGUGUAUUUUAUCAGAGGCUGCUUUGGGGACGUCGUGGUGCUGGUUGCUGAUGACUUUGUACAACUUAUCAGCGUUGGCUUUGAUCUCUACCUCAGCCUCCACAGUCAGCUUGCAAGCACCAGCUCCACUCACUGCCAUUUUCUUUUAUUUGUUAUUAGUAAUAUGUGAUUAGUCUGGGGAAAUUGUAGGAGACGUAUACUAACCUACAGGUUUCAACUUCUUAUAUAGAGUCGCAAAGUUGUAAAUUAACAUGUUAUAAACUGAUAGUUAUGGAGGCAGCGUGUGGAUAUGAUCCGAUCACUUAAUUAAAUAGUUAUAUAAUAAUAUUGUGUCUGUGGAUCUUCCAGGCAGAGUUUUAUUAAUUAUUACAUCUAGGGGUGGAAUUUUUUCCCGAAAAUCCCGAACCGUCCCGAUCCCGUCCCGAAAUUUGACUGAAAAAUUCCCGAACCGAAUUUUCCGAAACAUUCGGUACCCGAAACCGAACCCGUCCCGAAAGUUUUGGGUUGGGAUUUGGCCACAGCUUUGAAAGCUUUCGGUAAUCCCGAACCGAACCGAUUAUUAUAUAUAUUUAUUUUUAAUUUUUAAUUAGAAAUUACUUGAACCGUUGGAUUUGUUAAAAUCUAAUCCAACCGUCCAUUAGUUAGGUCAUUUUAUUAGGUUGUGAUCAGAUCUCUCGGACUCACUCACUCUCGGUCUCUCCGCUCCACUCUCGCUCACUCUCUGCGCUCCGCUGUCACUCACUCUCUCCGCUCUCUCUUGCUCACAGUCUCAGUCUCCCUCACACGCACUCUCACAAACAGUCUCGCCGCCCGUGCUCCCGCCGCUCUACUCCUCCGUCGAAUCCACGCUGCUCCUCAUCCUCCACAACUCACGCAAACACAGGAAGGAACCAAUUGAGUCCCAAAAUCCAGGAUAGGGUUUUUAAUUUUCACUGGGGUUUUGUCCUUUCUCUCUCUUUAACUCUUCAGACAGCAUUUCACAGAAACCCAAUUAAACAUAUGAAAAUAUACAAGCAACAACCUGUAAAAUUUAACAUAAAUAAACAAUGGUAAACUACAAUUAACAUAAAAAUUGCUCACAGAGAGAGAGAGAGAGAGUUCUUACAUGAGGUGCUGCAAUUGCUUGAGAGAGUUCUUACAUGUGGCUUUGUAGCUAGUGUGGAUUGUGACCUACUUAUUUGUGUGUUUAGAUACGCAAGCUAAGUAUAGCUGAUUGGUUUCGUAUCUGUUUGAGAUUUUUAUUUUAUUUUAUUUUGCUGUCAUAAUGUGCAGGACAAUCCCAAUUUCGAGGGUGAAACAUGUAGGAUCACUACUAGAAAUUUCCACUUUGCCGACAAAAAUAGUUUGUAGGCAAAAGUCAAAAUUCGUCGGCAAAGAGCCUUUCCCAACGAAAAAUUUUGUCGGCAAUUUUGUCGCUAAAAGCAUGUCGCGCAAGAUCUUUCUCGACAAAUCUUGAUAUUUCGUCGGCUCAUUUUUAAGGCGACAAAUCUCAGCCGUCAAACUGUGCCCAUCACCAAAACAACAUUGCGACAAAAUAUUUUGUCAGCAUAGGUUGUUUCUUCGCGAUGAAAUUAUUUGUCGGCUUAGUGAUCUUGUCGCGACAAAAUAUUUGUCGGCUGAGUAAUCUUGUUGCGACAAAACAUUUUGACGGCUAAGUAAUCUUGUCGUGACAAAAUGGUUUUUCGGCUAUGUAGUCCUAUGACAACAAAUUGGUUUGUCAGCUCAAAUGACUUGUGUAGACAAAAUAAUUAGUUGGUUGAAUCUUUUGUGAACAAAAACAUUUGUCGGCUAAUUAAUUUUGUGCCGACAAAACAUGUCAAGUCCAAUAUUUUCUAAUUUUUAAUAAUAUUUUUAACCAUCACAAACAAGCAAGCUUAAGAGAUCGAGAAGGGGCGUGAAUGAAGAAUUAAUGUAGGAACAACACAAAAUUCAUGUAAUAUAAACUAAUGUAAGGUUCACAAUUCGGUGUAGCUACAAAAUACAAAAAUAUCUAUGUUUUCAUUUCGAGAUUACUAUAAUAUAGAUAAAAUAUCCUUAAGUAUCACCAUUCUCACUAUAGUCCUCAUCAAGUUGAUAUGCAGCAUCAUGAAAUCGGGAAACGAUAAGGAUCAUCAUGAAACACUCCAGUAUCAAACAACUGUAGAAGAAAAACAAAUUAAAAAACUUGAUUAGCAAACGUUAAGGGUGCUAAAUAUCAUUGACAUUAAGGAACGCAAGGCCACACUAGUGGUAUUUCUAAACAAAUAACUUAUGAAACCAUAAAUGUGUAAACAACAAGAUAAAGAUAUCUACUAAUCAAGUUAACUUACCAACGCCAUGCAGCAUCACAACCUAGCAAAAUUACAUGUUUAAUAGAUACCAGGUAAUAACCAAGUUAACAUCAACUACUUAUAUGUCAUUCAUCAUUGUAAACAACAAGAUAAACAUUAUAAACAGCAAGGCAACAUGAUUAUCACUCUGUAAACAAGGCAGCAUGAUAAGUAGAUCAUAUAAAUCCUUGAAAGGUAUAUAAUUUAUAUAAACAUAACAAUACCAAUCACCUAUCUAAGUAGGUUAUAACUCUAGAACAUAAGCAUAUGCACCUGGAAACAUAAAUAAACUAUACUAAAGCAUCCUAAUUCAUCAUUGUUUAUAAUCUUUAUCAGUGUAAACAAGAAGAUAUAGACAUCUACUAAUCAAGUUAAUCCUCAAAUAUCAAAAUUACCUGGUGUGAAUGAUCCUCACAUUGGUCUCCAUGCCGUGCUGAUACCAGUUGUAAGCUAUCUAGCCCAGAAUUCCACUGAGCCAUAGACAACCUGCAAGUGUUAUAGAAAGGAAAAACAAAUAUGUCAAACCUAGACCACAAUAUCGAAAAAUUACAGUGGAAAUCUGGAAUUAAAGUCAAAGGACAUUGUUUUCACCAAUAUUAUACAAAUGGAUUGCCAAAUCAACCAAAAAUUGGAAACCUAGAUCAUAAAACUCGAACCCAAAUGAAAUAGUUCAAUUAAGAACAUGUUUUUCAUCCAUAUAUGCGAUUCAAUCAAAGCAAAUACAAUUAUUUCAUUUUCCAAUAAAAACAUGGAAAACGAAUACAAAAACAAACAAACAAGUUAGCAAAUUAAUGUGGUAAGGAAAAUGCAUAUACAAAAUCAUGAUAAAACCUGCAAUCAUGAUAAAAAAAUAUAAUAUUACAAAGAUAGAAAAAAAUUCCAGCCUUGAAUAUUUAUAACACAAAGAGAAUGAAAACUUCAUUUUAUAUCCAAUUCUACUCUCUCACUGACUGAUUAAUUAUGUGUGUUCCCCAUUUCCCAUAUACCAUUCCAUUCCAUUAGUUUUAAUAGGAAAGAUCAUCCAAAUCAUCUAAAACAAUGAAAACUUCAUUUUAUAUCCAUGAACAAAAGCUCCAAACUCUGAAAAACAAAACCAAUUUUAAUUCAUUCCAGAGCAACUGAAUAAAACAGAACUAAACACAACUGAGAAGAAAAACUGUUUAAGCCAAUCACACAGACUAUAUUAAAUCUUUACAAACCAACCGAAUGAUGCAGAAAUGCUUAAUAACAAAAUAGUUAAGCAACAAAUCAUGUAAAAUAAUCAUAAGUCAACUCAACAAAACCAAACAAAACACCGACACCACUGAAUAAACCCUGCCCAUUGGAAAAAAAUAAUACCUAACAAAGAACCCAACCACUGCAAGUGUAAAUUCAAAAGACAUAAGCGUUCAAACACUGCAAAAAUAAGUGGAAGAAAAACACAAAGUCACCAAAGACAAAAGCUUCCUAAAACGAAAAAUCAAACCAGAUGGAACAACCAUAGACAAAUGAUCACAAAAUAGAAGAAAACAUUUGAAAGAAAGAGCUAACAGACCUUUAUUCGAAAGGGCUUGCAACGCUGUUCACAAAACCCCCAAACUCUGGAGACCAAUAUUUUCUGCAACACAAAAGCCAAUCAGAUUAGGGAACCACACCGAAAUCACUAAAAAAAUAACCAAACAAUGAAUGAAAAACGCUAAAAGUUCAAUUUCACACCGAUCAAGCAAUAAUGUAUAGGAAAACCCUAAACCCGAAAGACCCAAAUUUCCCAAAACGAAAAAUCGAAUUAGAUCGAACAGCCACACCAAAAUAAGCAGAAAAAAAGAAGAAAACAUUCGAAACAAAAAACUUACAGACCUUAAUCACAUAUGCUCUGCAAGACUAUUCCCAAAAACCCUAAAAUUCACACACCAACUUUUGCUGAAACCAAAAACCCAAUCGGAUUAAACAAACACGCUAAAAACAAAGAAAAAAUUAGGAAACAACCAAUAUAACACAAACACUCUAAUUUUACAGGCAUCAAUCUGCAAAUUUUCUUCCCAAUCAAAGAAAACACACACACACACACACAAAAAAAAAAAAAAAAAAGAGAAACGACCUCAAACAGCGCAAUGAAUCAGAAAAAGAAACUCUUCAGACAACAGAGGAUCGAUGCAGAGAGAUAAGCAGAGACACGAAAGAUCAAGGCAGGCGGAAGAACACAUAAACAAAGAGGAAGAAAAAAGGGAAAGCUACGGAAGAAAAUAAGCGAUCCCUCGCUUCCGCACCAAAAACGACGGAGACCACGUGGUAGAUGCAGCAAUUGAAAUUAAACAGACCAAGCAGGGGCAAUUGCGUCACAACACUGUUACUUUCACUGUUCAUCAACAGUGUUCCACCCGUUUGGGUUUUAGUAUAUAUAGAAUUUAUACUUUCAUUAAGUAUAACAUAAGAAUCUGUGGUAUCCACAAGUGUAAAUAUUUUAAAUUGAAGAUCGAGCUCAUUCAUUGUAUUCAUAUAGGAUCAAGGAGUGUAGCUGUACAAAAUCAUCAAAAUCGAAGUUAAAAUAACCGUUAAAUCAUGAUUUUUCGUUUAUAACCGUCAGAACGUUUUGUCUCCUUACAUGAUCUCUGAAGGUUUUUUUUUUGCAAUUUUUGGCGUAUACGAUCUCGAAACAUAUAUAAACAAGUUUGACGGUUGGAUCGUUGAAACUAGUUUCGUAUAAUGCGUAUCCUAUGAAAAUGAUAGAUUCACUAACACUUAGAGUUUAUUUAUACUUUCAUUAAGUAUAACAUAAGAAUUUGUGGUAUCCACAAGUGUAAAUAUUUUAAAUUGAAGAUCGAGCUCAUUCAUUGUAUUGAUAUAGGAUCAAGGAGUGUAGCUGUAAAAAAUCAUCAAAAUUGGAGUUAAAAUAACCGUUAAAUCGUGAUUUUUCGUUUAUAGCCAUCAAAAAAUUUUGUCUCCUUACAUGAUCUCUGAAUGUUUGUUUUUUGCAAUUUUUGGCGUAUGCGAUCUCGAAACAUAUAUAAACAAGUUUGACGGUUGGAUCGUUGAAAUUAGUUUCGUAGAAUGUGUAUCCCAUGAAAAUGAUAGAUUCACUAACACUUAGAGUUUAUUUAUACUUUCAUUAAGUAUAACAUAAGAAUUUGUGGUAUCCACAAGUGUAAAUAUUUUAAAUUGAAGAUCGAGCUCAUUCAUUGUAUUCAUAUAGGAUCAAGGAGUGUAGUUGUAAAAAAUCAUCAAAAUUGGAGUUAAAAUAACCAUUAAAUCGUGAUUUUUCGUUUAUAGCCGUCAAAAAGUUUUGUCUCCUUACAUGAUCUCUGAAUGUUUGUUUUUUGCAAUUUUUGGCAUAUGCGAUCUCGAAACAUAUAUAAACAAGUUUGACGGUUAGAUCGUUGAAAUUAGUUUCGUAGAAUGUGUAUCCCAUGAAAAUGAUAGAUUCACUAACACUUAGAGUUUAUUUAUACUUUCAUUAAGUAUAACAUAAGAAUUUGUGGUAUCCACAAGUGUAAAUAUUUUAAAUUGAAGAUCGAGCUCAUUCAUUGUAUUCAUAUAGGAUCAAGGAGUGUAGCUGUAAAAAAUCAUCAAAAUUGGAGUUAAAAUAACCGUUAAAUCGUGAUUUUUCGUUUAUAGCCGUCAAAAGGUUUUGUCUCCUUACAUGAUCUCUGAAUAUUUGUUUUUUGUAAUUUUUGGUGUAUGCGAUCUCGAAACAUAUAUAAACAAGUUUGACGGUUGGAUUGUUGAAAUUAGUUUCGUAGAAUGUGUAUCCCAUGAAAAUGAUAAAUUCACUAACACUUAGUUUAUUUAUACUUUCAUUAAGUAUAACAUAAGAAUUUGUGGUAUCCACAAGUGUAAAUAUUUUAAAUUGAAGAUCGAGCUCAUUCAUUGUAAAUAUUUUAAACUGAAGCCCUUUUGUGACGCCAGCAUUAGUGUCGCUAUUCCAAUCCGACAUUACAUUGUUUUAUGUCAGAUUUUUUUCUAAAUUUCCGAUAGAAAUUGGGUUUCUUGUCGGUUUUUGCUUCGCCACUGAUAAGGUAUAUUGCAGUAGUGGGUGUUGGUACCAAGUAACAGAUUCAUGAUAAAUCGUUCAUUUAUUUGAUUCACAUACAUUAUCUCUGAGCGGGAAGAUCCCCGCCAAAAUAUUACAUGAUAUUUUAAAUGAUUUUUCGUUAGUUUUCAUUUUUUAUUAAAGUGUAACAAGGUAUGUUUAUAUCUUUCGCCAAAAAAGUAACCAAAAAUUGUUAGAGAAGGGAGACAGAUAAUAGGGGCGUGGAUGAUAAUCAGUUAAGAGUGCAAGAAUCGUAAACCUAGGGAUAGAAAUCGUCAAAAUUGUUUCUGAGCGGGAAAGACCCCGCCAAAUUGUUAGAAGAUAAAUAAGAAUUCUUAUCAAACUGAAAUCGGAUGGCGUGAGCGAAGAAUGUGGGAGGGAAGUCAUGAGCAAUUGGGAUUAGCAUGCAAUUGGGAGGGAGAUCAUGAGGCGACAAAAUAGGAAUAGCAUGCAAUGGGAGGGAGAUCAGGCAAUUGGGGGAUGUGAACCGACAAUUGAGGGAUGUGAACUGACAAUUGGAAUAAUAGAAAUAUUAUGGGAGGGAGAUCAUGAGGCGGCAAAAUAGGAUUAGACAAAAUAUGGGAGGGAGAUCAUGCAAUUGGCAGAUGUGAACCGACAAAUUAGGUUUGGAUUGCCACGGGAAAUUUAUAAGUUUGUUCUUAUAAUCAUAUGUUAUGUUUUUAGAAAACUUGGCAUGCUUGUCGAAUUAGAAUGGAUGAUUACAUACAACUGUAUUCAAAUUUACAAUUGUAAUUGCUAAUAAUUGAUCAUAGCCUAAACCAAGUUAUAUGUUGCUAGAAAGUAGUUUGGAGUUAGAAUUGAUAGGAAGAACUUUUUCAAACACUCACAUAUUAUGAAAUCAAAUUGUCAAUAUAGAUUAUUGAUGGCAUAAAACUACAAUCCAGAAAUAUGAAAUGCUAGAUAUCUCUUUAUCUAUGCUCCCGUUCAUAUAGAGAAACAAGAGAGAAUGACAGCAUAAAUAGUUGCCAAGAGCUUUGAUUGUGUUCCCCGGAAAAAAAUGGAUAGGUGCACUGGUGAAAACCUCUCACGUAGAGUUAUUAAUACCUUACCAAUGACAUACUUUAUUGCCUCUCUAAUCAAUUUGCCGAUGAAAUACUUUGUUGCCUCACAUCAUCGGCUAAUAUUUCAAUAUAGUGGGAAAAGUUCCCGCCAAAGUUUACCCGUCAAAACAAAAUUUGUCAGGGUAUCGAAUUUACGCCUACAAAAUGAUCGUCGGCUAACGUUUCAAUUUUCUCGGCUAAGAUUGGCAUUGUAAAUUGGUUCUAGUGUGAGUAUUCAGCCGACAAAUUAAAAAUUUCGUCGAGAAAGGACUCUUGUGCCGACAAAAUUUUGCUUUGUCGGUUUAAUUUGUCGGCAAAAUUAUAAUUUCUAGUAGUGGAUAUGCAUGAAUGCAAUAAUCGACAGGGGUGUUCUCGAUUGCUGCCAGCAUUGGUAUGUGCUUUAGUGUGGUUUUGUGUGUGUGAGAGAGAGAGAGAGAGAGAGGAAUUUUAUUUUAUGACAUGGGUUCAUCUUGGGGUUUUCAGGUUCUGUUUCUCAUGCAUUGACAAUUGGGCUACCAUUACAAACCUCUGCCCGCUUUGCCAGAAUGAAUUUCAAAUGAUCACAUGUGUUUCGGAGAGUGAUGCAAAUAAACAGUUAUCGCUUUAGUAUUAUUUCUGUUAUGAUUGCUAUGGAUUAUAGAAUGGUAUUAAUGUACAACCAGUUUAAAGCACAGUUGUUACUUUGAUUUCUUAACUAUCUGUUUUCAAUAGUUUUCUUUUUGUUGCAAACAGAAUUUUUAUUUUGAAGUUUUCUCAAAAUAACGAUUUGAUGCUGGUUUGAAGUGGCACUAAAUCAUAAGAGUUUGAUUUGUAUGUGAAGGUAUACGAUACUAUUGGGAGCAUCAAAGCGGACGAGGACUCAACUUAUAGGUACUUUCAUAAUUAUGGAUAAUGUGUUUAAGUCUAUUGGUGAGGGUUCUUUGUUCACAUUUAUGCGGCACAUGUUCCCAAUUUGGAAGCUUGGUUUGUAAAACUUAACUUAUUUCAUUUUGGUUGCAUGCACUUUUAAUUAAAUAGUUUGGUAGACAAAUACAAUUGUGAACUUAAGCUUAACUUGUUAGUUGCUUCCUUUGUAUGAAAAUUGAAACAUGUGGUAUUGUGAUAUUCAUAUUGUGGUGAAAUUGAAACAGGUGGGCUGGGCAGUGGCUGUGUAACCUUAAUUUUUUUUUUUUUUGGGGGCAGUGGCUGGCUGCAAUCUUAAAAGCCCAACAUUUUGGGCUUCAAGGCCCAAUCCCGAAGUAUCCCGAAAAUCCCGAAACACUUUCGGGAAUCCCGAAUUUCGGGAAAUGCACAUAUUCGGUUCGGUUUCGGGAUAUAAAAGCCCAUCCUGAAAUGUUUUGGUUUGGGAUUCGGGAAAGGAGUUUCGGUUCGGGAUCCCGACCCGAACCACCCCUAAUUACACCUACCAAACUUAAGAGCACGCGCAAACUUGAUGAGACAUAUAUCAACACGUGAGAACAAUGAUUGAUCAACAUUACCUCCAUAGUAUUAUUAGAGUGAAUGAUUGUAUGAUAUUAAUUUACUAGAGUGAAUGAUUGUAUGAUAUUAAUUAUGCGUUAAGAUCUUGGGAAUUUUAAUGAAAAAUUACUGGUAUUAUUCAUUUUAAUAAAAAAUUACAUUUUUACAUUAAAAAGUCAAUCUUAGUACUAUUCACUUUAUUCUUUAUUUUGUCCUUAUUGUUAAAACUCAAAGUUUUCAAGUCAUUUUCAUUAAUUUUCCUUAAGAUCUUUUGAUUUGGCAUGCGGAAGUGUGUGUGUUUGUAUAUUAUAUAGGGAUAAUACUAAGUUAGGUUCAUAUUAUCUUAACUAGUGAUAAAUUAAGGGUUCUUUCGAGUUAUUCGAAACAGUGGUUUAUAUUAUCUUGACUUACGUGCAACCUAAACACAAAAAAGAGAGGCUGUACUGGCUUCCAAAAUAAAACUAGAUGCAAACAAUAAUGUGGAGUUCCGGUUACUCUUUUGGAAUCAACCAAAGCUGAAUCAUUGAUGCCUAAUUUCAGAAAGUUUUCCUUUUCUGCAUGCAGAUCUUUUCAAUGGAUGUAGCUCAGUUUUGGGAGGUAACCACUUACUUCAUCGAGUUCAUUAAUUUUAAUCAAUCUAAAGUAAUUUAACUAAGUUUAUUAACCUUACAAUGUUGAGCGUUAAUACCCAAUUUUGGAGGAAUUGCAUCACGUUUAUGUAAAGGUAAUCGAAAUAAUAGAGCGGAAUUAAAUUCCAAUUACGGAAUACUCCAGUAUUUACCAAAUAUUGGAGAAUAAAAAAUUUGAUAGCACCCACUCAAUUUUUUAAUCCAAUACUAAUUCAUAUUCAAAUUUUGGAAUAAAAAAUCUAAUACUAAUUCGUACUCAUCAAAUGAAAGUAAAAUCUAAUUCUUCAUUUUUUAAGUAAUUAUUGUAAUGUGAGUAAACGCAUGAAAAUCAUGAUUUAGAAUAUUUUCUAAUGCAGACUCUAAGUCUGAAAUUGAAAUAUAAAGAUAGCCGUUGACGGGUCGAUUCUGGUUAAUCUAGGCAUGAGAAUACGAAAAAAAUACACACAAAGUUAUUAAGAUAGCUUUCCUUUUUUAUAUUUUAGCGAUAGUCUAGUCUAAUCCAACAUUAGACCACAUUCAGUGAUUCAAACUAAGAGAAGGGGGAUUCAAACUUGGCUACACUCGGAUUCUCAUAUGAGGAUUGAUUCUGAAGUAAAAGAAUAUAACCAAGUUGAUCAAGAAAUUUCAAAAUUUCUAAUGGAAACUUAUUAGAAAUUUUUUGUGAAGGUGUUGAAGUUGGGAUUUUUUUGUUUGUUUUCGUAUUGAAGUUGGGAUUGAAACAGAAGAUAAAGCAUAAUAUAAAGUUUCAUUACAAUUAACAACAUGUUCUAUUAAAUGAAAGUGACUAAAUAUUGAAAAACAUGCUACGCCGCGUUGAUCAACUCCGGCAACGAGCAUUGGCACUGCAUCCGUGGUUGUAGGGGUUGCUCUGAUUCUGAGCACCCGGCUUGCAGUUGUUGGAGGAAGCACCUCUCUGAGAGCAAGGAACAGUGUUUCUCUGCAGCGCUUCAUAGCUUAUGUUUCGUGAGGUGGCCAAGAUGCGUCUGCUAAUCUCCGAGUCCAUGCCAAACUCAUCAUCACGAUCAUCCAUGCACUCUGCUACAGAACCCUCGCAGCGAGGUCUCACUGGAACCCAGCUCACCCCAUGAUCGCCGCCUGCAUCAACGGAGAUGACCAGAGCGGCCACGAAAAUCAACGAAAAGAUAAUCGCAGAGGAAUUAGCCAUAGGUUUUGGUACGGUCUGUGUUUUUAGCUGCCAACUUGUAUUUUGUUGUACGCCUGUUAAUUACAGAGGGAGAGAGAGGGGGCGGCAAGAAAGAGAGAGAUAAUCGGUGAAAUUUUGAUGUGUAUAUUAUUUCACCCUAUUGUGCUAUUUAUAGUAGUAAAAAGGGAAAAUUUUUGUCUUUCAAGUAAUUCAUAGGAGUUAGGGAAAAUCCUUGUCUUUCAAGUAAUCCAUCUAAAAUAGGACACUACGUAAAAGAUAUUAUACAAUUCCAUAAGGAUUUACACAAUCACAUUCCUAAUUAAAUUAAGACUCUGACAUUUUUAAGUUUGGUUAAAUAAAAAUUGGAUGUUGAUUUCUUCAAGGAGAUAAUUACUUAAUUGACAUGCUUUAAUUCAACCUUAUUCCAAUUGCAACAAAGAAAGCUGAAAUUGGAAUAAUUCGUGAUUUAUUCAAAACCUACCAAGAAAACAAAAUCAACAACUACUACAAAAUAUGCUCGUAGAGAUUUCCGGGAUGUUUCUGCUCUUAAGUGUUUUUGCUAAAAGCUCUUUUAUCAGCACAAGGUUGAGACUUUAAUUAAAAAACUAAGUUUUUCUCGAAAAAAUAUAAGCAUGCCAAUAGAUUGAACUUGUUUACAACAUCAGCAUUAUAAUAAUAUUGUUGGAAAAUAUUAGGUUUACUUUAAUGUUUGGUUUUCUGGGCUUAGCCCGUUAGUAUUAGGGUUUCGUUUUCUUGCUUAUUAGGGUUAUGUUAGUUCUCUAUAUAUAUGGUGUUUUGUAGCUUGUAUGAUUAACAAGUUAGUCACAAUGUAGUCUCUAGGGUUUUUGUAGCCGUCUCGGCAUUCUAUGUUUGAUAUCAAUAAUAUUUCUAGUUUUGUAAUCCGUUUGUUUGUUCAUUGUGGUAUGUGCACUCUGAUAUUCAACUUGGUAUCAGAGCGGGUUUGAUUCCUCGGAAUUUAAUCUGUUUUGGAUGGAUAUCAAUUUGUUCAUCUGUUUGUCCACUGCGUAUCAGUUCGUCAUGGUAUGUUUUGUUGGUUUGUCUGUCUAGUAGUAGUUAGGGUUUUGUUAUAUGUUUAAAAAAAAAAAAAAAUUGAAUCAGUUUGCUGCGUCAUGUCAUCGUCCUCUGCUAAACUUGGAAUCGCCGCCACGAACCCCACAUCACCAGCGUGCUCCUACCAUCAGGACAUCACCGCGCCAACCCGCCAUGCCUGCACCCAGUGCCACCAUGUCCCGCCUACAACCCCGUUGUCUUACCACCACCUGCUGUAAACCCACAUCGCUCGCCUGCUUGCGCGCCGUGCAGACGGGAUUUGAUAAAGCCACACCAACUUGCUGCAAAUACAUGCAGUUGAUCCGUACCCAUGAGCCUGCUUGAAUCUCCGCACCCGACCCGCUUGUCGCCUGCACCCACUGCUUGCUUGCCGUUCCCAUUGUUCGUUGACCAGAACUCGCGCUUGGUUUACGCGUUCUGGAGAAAACCAUUGGAAAAAAGGAAGCAGAAUAAAAAGUAAGAAAAAGAAAAAAAAAGUGAUGUUUGAGGAAAAGGAAAAAAGAAAAAAAAGAAAAAGAAAUGCAAAAGUAUUAGAAGUUGGGCUUGCCGUUGGUCUUGUUGAUUGUUUUGGAGAAUGACUAUGGUCGUCUGCUAUUGUACCCACAACGAUUGUUCGAGUGCUUGGAUUGUUGAUUACUCGAGUGAUUAUUGUUGAGGUUUUCGUCUGCUUGUUUGUUGCCGUUGGGCUAUUGGAAUCUCGUCCGUUUAGUGACAAGGUCCAUGCUCAAACGAAAUAUGUCUGCCCUCUGCCAUGUGAAUCUAUAUCCACCUGCCUGUCUGUCUGUCCGCGUUGCGGAGCCUGCCUGCCUGUCUGUCUGUCCGCGUUGCGGAGCCUGCCUGUCUGUCCGCGUUGCGGAGCCUGUCUGCCUGUCUGCCUGUCUGUCUGUCCCCCUAACGGAGCCAGUCCACAUCUGCUUGUUUGCAAACCCAUGUCGUAUACCGCCAUGAGUUUGACUGGGGGUGUUGGAAAAUAUUAGGCACACUCAAUUCAUUCUUGCUCAUAGAAUUAAAGACAAACCAAAUCGGAAACCGAAAUAAGCAACAGUGCUAACUAGCUUGCUCAGCUCUCAGGCCUUUAUUCUUGAAGAUAGUUAUAUUACUCAAUGUUCCAUAUCGUAUGUAUGCAUAAAUCUUGUGCUUGGCGCUUAUUCCUUGAUAAGAUGUGCAUCAACAUCUUUAAUGACAUUGAAUAGAAAGCUGAGGUACUUCUGUGGAGGCGGAUCGUUCUCGUUGAGUUUUUUAUAUUCUAAAGUAAUUUUCACAGAACCUCCUUCACUAUUUGGAGUGACCUGGAAAAUGAUCUUGUAGCUUUUGUAAUUGUCCAGCACAUGUGAUCCUUCCAAACCUGUAAGACUCACCCGCUUGUUUGCUUCAUCUAUUUCCACCUUUUCCUUGUAAGUCUCGACAUUUCCAUCUACACGUCACAUGGAAGAGUACAAUUAUACAGCUAUCCAUGAUCCGAUCCUUUAAAUAUUCAUCGUGUGGUAAUGUAAACCCUAUGGUGCAUGGAGGUCUUGUCAGUUUUAAUUCUAAAAGUACAUACAUAUGAGGUAACGCAAACCCCUAGCUUGCUAGGUUUCAAGUUAGCAUGCCUAAUUAUUUUGCAGCAGGUUAGUCUGUGGUAUUAAAAAAAAAUUGUUAGUCAUAAGUAUAACCUUAACAAUGUUUGGUUGUAAUUUGCUUGCUCCUUCAUGCAAUCUCACAGUCUCACUACCAGCUCCACAAGUUUGCGGAGUAAGCUGCUUCAUUCACCCCAAAAGGGGUUCAUUUCACUAUCUUUUACACAGCGGAGGCUGUAUAAAGCUACGACAGAACAAAAUUCGGCACCCGGGAGAGGGACGAUCUCCAGAGAUUCUUUUACAUUUUUUGUAUUUCUUUUUUUGUUGAAUCAUUUCUUGUAAUUUAAACAUUUAGCGUCAUCUUGUAAUUUAAAUAUU
rnacentral:lncRNA from 1 species